rnacentral:lncRNA from 1 species
UUUUUUUUUUUUUUUUUUUGUUGCUUAAACAUCCUAUUCUUUCUUACUUCUUGGGUAAAUAUCCAUCAGAUGCAUCAGAAAAGAUUAUCCUUUCUAAAUUGUUGAUGUUCUUGUAAGUGGUUCUGUUGUCUGUCCAUUGUAGGUAUGGACGGUUUCGUCCUUUAGGUAAAAAGAUUAAAGGCUGGCAAACAGCAUGGUGGCAGUAUGCACAAAAAUCUGUUUUACUGGAUGUUCAACAGAGGUUGAGGAGAACUUCUUGGAAAUACCUUGGAGAGAGACUGUAAGUUGAUCUUCUCAAGAAACUUUUCUCCAAUCAACAUAGCAAAACAUUUGAAGGACUUCCUUUUUUGUUUUGUUUAUUAGAUUAUUUAGAUGUAAAUCCAGUACAGUUAAUUGUUUGACAUUUCAUUUCAGCUUCAUGUUCUUUUGCACUUUGUGAAUGUUGAAACUCAAAUCCUCCAGCUACUCAUUAUCAAAAAGGAAACUUAUUCACUAGCCGACGGAAGUUUAAUGAUUUUUGAUACCCUGGCCUGUCUUUUUGUCUUGGCAUUCAUGUGCCACUUGUGUUGGAUGGAAUUAGGUAUGUCAUUACUGUGACGAAAAAGUCCAGUGAUGCACUCCUUUUUUUUUCUUAAAUCAAGGGUUUCAUUGAUAAUAACAAGGCCAACUUGGCCGUAUACAAGAGAUAUACCAAAAAGAGAGAACUACAAAAUAUGGUUCUCUCCAAAAGUCACCCAAUCCUCUAUAUAAACAUAAACUACAUGGGUGUACCAAAAGAAAAUAAGGGAUUGGAGACUACUCCUCAAUUGAGGAAAGCUCAUCUCUAGCCCUUCAAAAGGUCUCCUAUUUCUCUCUUUCCAAAUGACCCACAUACAUUAGAGCUAGAGGGGUAGCAUUUCACGCCUUGUGCCUUCUUCUCCUAGCUCUACUUCCAACUGAACAUCAACUCCUUCACUGAUCUUGUCAUUACCCAAGUGACAUCAAACCAUGUAAACGUAUACUCCCAUAACCUCGUGGCUAAUUUGCAAUGUAAUAAAAUAUAAUCCACAUCCCCACAAGUCUCCUUACAUAGGAAGCACCAGCUUAUGUGGACAACCUUUUCACUUCUGAAGGUUCUCAAAAUCACCCUCUAGUAGCUAACCACAUGAAGAAGCACAUCUUCCUCGGCAGUUGGCACCUUUGGUAUCCAUACCGCACCAUAUGGAAAAACAUCCUCCACCCUCACCAAAAGUUUCCCAUAGAAGGACUUGAUAGAAAACACUUUGUUAUGCCCCAAAGCAUUGGAUCCAACUGGCUCACAUUGCUUUUGGAGUAAAUCUAGCAAUCUCUAAAGCUGUCAUCUGCCAGUCCUGAAAAUUCCUCCUGAACCUCAAAUCCCAAAAGUUCCACCCCCUUGUGUCCCCCUAACUUGUGGAAUAGAUAAUUCCCUUUGGCAAGAAACCCUAUACAGUACUGAGAAUUCAUCCAUAAGCACCAAACUUCCACAACACUUUUUGCCCCCCAAAACCUAACUCCGUUCCCCUCCCAACCCUAAAAGUAAUUUAUCAUUGAAAGCAUCCCACCCCUUCAUUAUAUUCAUCCACACACCACAUUCAAAAGGCAUAGUAAUCCCUUUUGUUCUCCACCCCCCUUCCAUUUCACCAAAGCUUCUCCCUCCAUCCCAAAUCUCCACAACCAUUUACCUAGAUGAGUUUUGUUGAAAGUUUUCAAGUCUUUAACACCAAGUCCUCCCCACUGUUUAGGAGAUGUCACAAAUUCCCACUGAACGAACUGAAACUUCUUUGCUCCGUCCGCCACAUUCCAAGGAAAAUCUCUUUGCAACCUCUCCAUCAUACCUAUAACCUGGGAAGGUCUAUUGAACAGGGACAUGUAAUAUGUAGGGAUACUCGAUAGCGUGCUCUUAAUAAGCAUUUCUUUGCCUCCUCUCGAUACGUAUCUUUUCUUCCACCCUGCCAACCUCUUCUCUUACUCUAUAAAUGACCGGAUUCCAAAUGGCGAGAUCCUGGUUCGAUGCGCCCAAAGGUAAUCAUAUGUAGGUAGUAGGGAGAGCCCCUACCCUGCACUGCAAGACUUGGGAAAGCAUGUCAAUGCUAUCAACUGCCCCAACAUGUAUGAUCUCACAUUUGCUGAGGUUAAUUUUAAGCCCUGAAACCACCUGGAACCAAGUUAACACUUAUCCAAGAUAGUCCAGUUGGAUCCCAUCAGCAUCACAAAACACCAAAGUAUCAUCUGCAAAUAAGAGAUGGGUGACCGACAUGGUGCCACUGCCACUAACCACAACCCUUGAUAUGAUCGCCCAAAACAUCUUUGUCCAUCAUCCUACUUAGAGCUUCCAUCACCAAGAUGAAAAGCAUAGGUGAUAAAGGGAUCUCGCUGCUUCAAAAUCCUCAUGCUACCAAAAAAACUGUCACGCCCCGAGACUACCCCUGAGACGCAUACACGGAACCUAGGACCACAAGUGAUCCCAAGCUGACCCUGCUGGCAUGAUCAUGAGCAUACUAAAGAUAAUAAACUGAUGCGGAAGCUAAAUCAUAAAUAAAAAUGAAAAGAUGGGGAAUACCCAUAUACUAUAACUGAGAUAUAUGAAAACUGAUGAGUUUAAUACAAAGAAGAUAUUAACUCAAUACUAAGCUGAAUCUAACUAUGUCUGAAAUAAGCCUCUAAACUGACUAGAAAUGUUGGGACAUGCCCCAACUAGAUCUAGCAAAACUGAAACUAAAGACUAAAAGCGAUAAAGAUAAACAUGUCACUAGUCCUCGAAGAAUGAGGACUCACCACUGAUGCUGCUGAACUGAAGAUCGGGAAUCGAUCUAAGCGUGAUCUGGAUGCUGAGAACCUGAACCUACAUCACGAGAAGAUGUAGCGCACGUAUGCAUCAGUACUUNNNNNNNNNNNNNNNNNNNNNNNNNNNNNNNNNNNNNNNNNNNNNNNNNNNNNNNNNNNNNNNNNNNNNNNNNNNNNNNNNNNNNNNNNNNNNNNNNNNNNNNNNNNNNNNNNNNNNNNNNNNNNNNNNNNNNNNNNNNNNNNNNNNNNNNNNNNNNNNNNNNNNNNNNNNNNNNNNNNNNNNNNNNNNNNNNNNNNNNNNNNNNNNNNNNNNNNNNNNNNNNNNNNNNNNNNNNNNNNNNNNNNNNNNNNNNNNNNNNNNNNNNNNNNNNNNNNNNNNNNNNNNNNNNNNNNNNNNNNNNNNNNNNNNNNNNNNNNNNNNNNNNNNNNNNNNNNNNNNNNNNNNNNNNNNNNNNNNNNNNNNNNNNNNNNNNNNNNNNNNNNNNNNNNNNNNNNNNNNNNNNNNNNNNNNNNNNNNNNNNNNNNNNNNNNNNNNNNNNNNNNNNNNNNNNNNNNNNNNNNNNNNNNNNNNNNNNNNNNNNNNNNNNNNNNNNNNNNNNNNNNNNNNNNNNNNNNNNNNNNNNNNNNNNNNNNNNNNNNNNNNNNNNNNNNNNNNNNNNUACUGGAUAGCUCAAACUGAACAUGCAAACUGAAAUUGCAACAAUUAAACUGAUAUUGAUGCAUUAAUAACUGAGGCAUGUAUAACUGAAUAACUGAGAUAUCUGACCUAGCAUGUGUAAUUCAAGAACUAAAGAAAUACAUAGCUAGGGUUUUGAAAUUCAUGCAGAAACGAAGUAAUAACAUGAUAAUCUGAUUUGGAACAUAUUAAUAACUAAGUCAUGAUGGUCUGCUGUAAUUCUAGAAACCCUAGGUCUAUUCAUAAUAAGGGAAUCAAGAAACUGACUGAAUUCUAGGGACCUAAUGGGCGAAAGGAACCCACUAGUGAAAUCCCACAUACCUUGGUGACGAAUUUCACGGAGAAAUCCUUUGAUUUCUGGGCUGGAACUGAAGAAAACUUGCUGCGUUCUUGAACUAGGGUUCUUGACCUUUUUCUCCUCUCUUGCUUCUAAUUUUCUAAGUUUUGAUUAAGGUAAGUUCUAGUUAAGUUUCUAGGCUUAAACUAACUAAAACCUCAUGAUUUAGGGUCUAAACGACGUACCUUAGGGGUUAAUCGAAAUAGGAAAAGACCAAAAGACCCCUAACUUAAUUGCUGUCGGAGUGACCGACGGACUGGACCUACGGGCCGUAGGUCAAUCGACGGUCCGUCGAUUGGAGUCGUCGGUCGAGUCUGCUUGACAGGGCUUCACUAAAACGAGCAUAACUUUUUACUCGGAGGUCGGAUUUUAGCAAACUCGGUGGCGUUGGAAAGAGGAUUCAAUUAUCUAUCAUAUAAUAGGUCAUGGGACACAUAAUUCCUUUUGUGCUAAAAAUUAUGGCCAUCUGAAGUUGACCCAUCAACAAUUUCAGCUAACUGGCUGCUGACCCUCAUCUAUGGUCAGACCUACGGACCGUGGAUCAAAUGACGGUCCGUGCUGGUCGACCGUAGUUUGUGUCAGAGGCUGGGUAAAGGAGGUCUCGAUCCACGGACAUAGUACCACAGGACAGUGGUCUGAUCUACGGACCGUGGGUUUGUCCGUGAGUCGGGACUUAGCCGACUUUCUGAGCUGGUUUAGGAGGGUUGCAGUAGUGAACCACGGACCACCAUCACGGGCCGUGGUCUGACCUAUGGUCCAUGGAUGGCAACUGUGGGUUGCACCUACAACUUCUCAAAAUCUGUAUUUUUGGUCUGUUUAGGAUACGGGGUGUAACAAAAACCAUAUGGAUUGCUAUUCACCAAAACUGAGUAUUUGAUAAAAGAGAUACAAAAUCUGACCCACUUUCUCUAUUUCUCCCCAGAGCUCAUCUUCAGAAAUAUGAAAUCCAAGAACUUCCAAUUUACAUGGUCAUAGCCUUCUCAUGAUCUAAGCUUGCACAAAAUAGCCAGCACAUCCGGUUUCUUUCUCGAAUCUACUACUUCAUUAGCCACCAAAGUUGUGUCUAGGAUUUGUCUUCCAUUGACAAAAGCAUUUUGCGAUGAAGAAAUUGUCUCGUCCAAAACUCUCUUUAAGUCUAUUAGAAUGCCCCUUAGAAAUAGUCUACUAGAUGCUUCCCACUAUACUAAUAGGUUUGUAGUCCCCGAUGCUUGAAGCCCCUUCCUUCUUAGGAAUGAUGACAAUGAAUGAGGCAUUUAAGUUCCUUUCGUAUUCACCCCUUCUGAAACUCAUCAAUAGUACUCAAAACAUCAAGUUUGGCUGUGUUCCAACAAUUUUGAAUGAAGGCCAGAGUGAAACCAUCUAGACUUGGGGCCUUGUAACUCUCUACCGCCACCCACACCUCUUCCUCCUCAAUAGCCCUCCCUAACCACUCACUAUUUUCUCCUCCAAUCUGAAUCAUCAUCAGAAGAAUUAGGCCAAAAAUUACGAAACAUUCUGGGAAAAUACACCCACCCACCCCCAAUUUAGGCCUCCAAUUUGCUUCCUCUUUGAACAAUAGCUUAGCUCCCUCUACCUCCUCUUCCCCCUCAUAAGUCUCCCCCAAUCCUCCACAAUCUCUAUUAGAUUCCUCCUGUUAUUUGUUGCUGCUACCCUGUGAAAGAAUUUGGUGUUAGAAUCUCUUUCUUCCAGCCACAAAGCCCCCCAGCCUCCACAAUCUCUAUUAGACUCCUCCUGUUAUUUGUUGCUGCUACCCUGGGAAAGAAUUUGGUGUUAGAAUCCCCUUAUUCCAGCCACAAAGCCCUCGAUUUUUGUCUCCAACUAGUCUCUUGAGCCAAAGCCUAAGAAGCUAGCUCCCCUUUUGGAACUUCUUUCUUCUCCUUUUCCCUACCAUCUAACUCCCUUUCCACCUCUAUUUUUUCUAAUAAUUCCCCUACCUUAUUCAUAAUCUCCCUAAUUUUCACCUCUACCCUUCUAAACACUUCCUUAUUCGACACCCUUAUAUUAUUUUUGAGCAUUUUUAAUGUUUUAGCAAGUCUGAAAAAAGUUCUUCGCUCCAUGUCAUAGGUGAUCCACCACUUGGCUACUUUAUCUCCAAAAGCUGUCGCUCGCAGCCACAUAUUCUUGAAUCUGAAAGGAGAUCUCAUCCUUCUGCUUCUACCACUGUUCAAUCACAUGAUUGAUGAAUAAUCUGAGAUCAACUGCGGGAGAGGAUAUUGGAUCACAUUCGGCUCCUCUCAAGAAGUAGAAACAAGAAAUCUAUCCAGCCAAGAUUUGGAAAUUGAUUACUCCGACCUUGACCAUGUGAAAUUAGCAGCUGUCAAAGGCAAAUCAAUUAGAAGAUGGUUAUCAAUAAAUUCUGAAAACUCCUCCAUAGCCCUGGAUAUCACCCCUGCAAUCCAACCUCUCCUCUGUGUUAGAACAGUGUAGCAUUCUCAGAAUUUUCUUGGUAUUUAGAAGUAGCUACUCUACCUAGUGGUUAAUUGUUUAGGCAGUGCCCUAAACUACGAUAUUCAACUUCGUUCCAUUUUCCUUUUUGAUUGUGGUUCUUUGGUUGGGAAGUAGAGAUACAAUCAUAACAUAAGAUAUCUUUACCCAUAUCUUGUACUUGAGCCAUUUUUAUCCCCAUUCUGCUUGUUCUUGUAAUAUGUUAUACACUUUUUUACUUGUGCAUGUAUUAAUUAAUGCUUUCUAUGGACAAUAGAAAAUGCUUUAGAAUUUUUCGAUACCUGUUAGAUGCUUAGUUUUUGCUGUCUUGCUAUCUGAUCCUUUAGGUGCAUAGACUGCUAGGGGUGGCAGUUUAAGCCCAUAUAAGUGAAAUGGAUCCAUUUUUCCUAUAUUAAAUUAAAUGUAUCACUCAUAUUUUCUUAAAUGGGUAAAUAUGGACUUCAACCUAUUUAAGCUCAUACAAAUAUGGACAAAAUGGGUAAACAUGAGAAUCCAUAUAUACCCAUAUAUCACUCACUUAUCAUAAAAAAUCCCUAAUGCACUAUUUGUUUUUGAAAAUAAAAAAUAAAAAAAUGUGGGGGGAGGGUGGGGGAAAAUUGAAAAGUUUUUUAUAAAUUUUUUUUUGGUGUGGGUGGGAGUUGUCUGGGGGUGGGGUUAGGGUUGGCAAAAUCAACAAAAAGUAAUAAUUUAUUUUAAGAAAAGUUUUUAAAUUUUUUUUUGGGGUAGCUACAUUUUCUAUAAUUCUGGAGUUCCUCUCUCUCUCAUGAUGACCCAUCAAAUUGUUGCUGAGUUUGCCUUCCUAAUUCUUGAAUGCAUUCCCCUCACUCCCCUCGUGUGCCAGCUUUGUAAAAGUUUGUGUGCAUCCCUUGCGUUGUCCAUCUUAGUUCCAAAUGUUAAAAAAGUUGUGCAGAAUUUGAGGUGGUUUGUGUCCUCUGGCUGCUCUUCUUGUAAAGAGCAUCUGCUGCAAAUUAGGUUGUGUUAGACAUGCAUUUUCGACUACUAACCAACUGAAUAUCUGGACUUCGUAAGGAGAAGAACUUCGCCAAACUUUUUCCCAAAGCCAAACUGAUGUUGCAUUCUGUGAAUCGAGCAAAAGUGUGUAGCAUGACUUGACUGAAAAGAUACUAUCUUUCCUGUCUUUCCAACAAAAAAUGUCUUUCUUGUCUGCAUUUGUAGAAUGGAUUCCUAUUUGUUGGAGUAAGAUGUCCUUUGUAAUUCCCAGUCAUUACAGUUCCUUCUGAAAAUAAUAUUCCAUCUAGAGCUAGUGUUCCGGUUGGCUGGAAGGGAAAAAAGGAUGGGGAAAGCUACUUGAGAGGUGUUGCUUCCAAUUGCACACGCAGGUGUACGUGGUCGCGCAAGUAAUAUAGUGGCUCUUAACAAAACCGGAUUAUUGAAUCCAAAGGACUUGUCAAUUAACUAUUUACUAAAUUAUAUUAAUUCUAAUUAUUUAUUUAAGGGGAGGAUUUCAAAAGAUGAAUAUAUUAACUAAACUAAAAUAAAGAUAAAAGACUAAAAAGCAAUUAACUAAGAAAAGAUAGAUGUUUACACAAUCAAUGAAUGAAUCGAUCUAGGAUUAUGAUUUAACUAACAAUCAUGUUUAGCAUCAAUUUCAUCAACUUAUUUGAUUAUAUAGUUAUUGAUUCACGGGGUUGAUAAUAUAGUCAUGAUCUCCCGACCUCUAACCGUCUACCACAAUUGACAGCCUAGCUACAUCGUUGAGCAGGGAUAAACUGAACCAACUAUGGAGCAUUACGUUGUCUUCCCGUAUUUGAGCCAAGCAAGGCACCUAGGUAUAUCCCUAUCCUUGACACAAAUCAAUUCAAGUGAUAUGCAAGAAAAGAUCAUGCUCCUUAUAUUCCACGUUCUAUCCCUCUAUUCCUCUCCCGAGUUCAAAAGAAGACAAUAAAUUUAUUCUAAUGGUGAUCAAGCAUCAAAAUAGUAAUCACAAGAAUAUAAGAACAACUACUAUGAUAAACAAAUCAUGCCGAAUUAAAAUCACCAAACAAUCAUAUUGUAAGUAAGUAUAAUCCAAGAACGAGAAGUUUAACUCCACAUAGACAUAAAACAAUUACAACGAAUCAUUUAAAGAAAAGAUGUAAAAUAAAAUAAAAGAAAAGAUGAAACCCUAAAUCAAAAGUUAAUUUCUACAUUGUAUCCUCCUCCCUUAAUAAUUAUUCUUAUGGACUAUUUAUAGAUGUUGGAAACCCUAAAUAAAAUAAUUGAGUCCAAAACAAAUAGGAAUCCAAAACCAAAAGGAAUAAGCAUUCCUGUACGCGUGAAACACUCUAGCCGCUCUUCAAUUUGUAUUCUUCUCUUCCCUUGCUGGCAGUAAUUCCUUUUGCAGUUCGCAAUUUUGCAGCAUGCAAUUCUUAUAUAUUAUAUAUUAUUAUAUUCCAUUUAAUCCAUUAAGCUGCCUGCUUGAUUUCCUUCUUCAACCUUCCAUCUUUAAUUCGUUUUAGCUCCAAACUUCUUCAUAUUUCCACCAAUUUAAUCGUACAAAUAAAAUAUACUAUUAAGCACAAUCCAUAAAAUUCAAGCUCAAAAAGGACAAAUAUAAAUACUAAAUAUGAGGCAAAUAAUGAUUUAAAAUAUGUAAUUUGGCCUCACAUCAAGAGGACUGGUGUGGCGUAGUGGUAAAUGAAGUGGGUUGAGAACCAUGAGGUCUCAAGUUCAAAUCCUAGUAGAGAAAAAUCAUUAGGUGAUUUCUUCCCAUCAGUCCUAGUCUUGGUGGACAGAGUUACCUGGUACCUGGUACCUGUUGCUGGUGGGAGAUGACAUGUAUCUUGUGGAAUUAGUUGAGGUGCGUUCAAGCUAGUUCGGACACCAUGUUAUUUAAAAAAAAACUUGAGAGGAGUACGUCCCAACCAAGCAUCAUGCCAAAAGUUAAGCUUUCUACCAUCCCCCAACUUGAAGUAUGUUUUGCCUCUAAAAUCAUCGCAGAGUGUCUUGAUGCGUUUCCAAACAGAUUGACUAUAAAUAUAUGUGACUUAUAUAUGAUGCAUGAAUAAAGGAAACAAGUUACCUCUAAACGUGAAGAUUAUACAUUUCACAAGAAAUCUUUUCUUAAAAGAAGUUUGUCAGUUCAAAUUUCAUUAGAAUGAAAAUUCUUAUUGUUGUGUCCUGUAUCUUCUUUCACCCAGUAUCCUUAAUGUUCGGUGAUUAAUAUGACACAUUUAAGGUGUGUUUAGGUGUUCUUCGCAAGAAGAUAUAGUUAUGUUGGAAAUGGAAGAAAGGUAAUAAUUUUACAAGAUGCUAUUCAAUGUAAAAUUUGUGGAUGGGAGAUAACUUUUAGGAGGAAUGGCCAUGAUUUGGAGAUUGAAAGUAUUGUUCAGCUCCUUAGCAAUCUGGAAAAGAUUAAACAUUUAAUUGGUGAGCUAGACUCUUAGAAGGAGCAAACCGUAUAAAAUCUUACCUACAUUUGACAACCCUAGCUCUCUUUGACCUUCUAUGAUUAUUAGAAAUGCCUAAGGUGGCAUGUUUUACCAUGAUUGCAAUCUAGAAAUAUGUCUUUGCAUAACACAAUUUACAAAAUGAAUAUUUUGAAUUUUCUCUUAAUCCUAUCCCCAAAGCCCCAUCUCAUCCCCCGAAGGAUCAAUAAUGGUAUCUUACUGCUUUUUCCCUGUGUGAUACCUCGAAUGGCAACCUAAUGGUUGAAAGGCGAGUGACUUUACCACGACAUCAGUACUCACCCAUAUUUACAAUGGAGGGUGUAGCAUUUCUGAUGGAUGCUUCAUGUAUGAAGAUACUAAUCGUUUCACAUUAUCUUAUAGUCAUUCAACGAUGGGUUUUGUUCCCAGACCUGUUUGGUGUUUGGCCUGAACAACAUGUAGAAAUAUUAACAUAGACGUUUGGAAAUUUUGGAGUGCGUUUUAUUGUGCACUCUAUCAUUUUUGUGUAAUAUGAAGUGGAUGCUUGCCUCUGGAGUCUUGUGUGUUAAAAAAAAUACCAUUUUAACUCAAUGGCAAGUUCUAUAGAGUGGUGGUUAGACCGACAUUGUUAUAUGGGGCAGAGUGUUGGCUAGUCAAAAGCUCUCAUGUUCAGCGGAUGCAUGUUGCGGAGAUAAGGAUGCUAAGGUGGAUGUGUGUUCAUAUUAGGUGCGGUGAGAUUAGAAAUGAGGAUAUUCGGAAUAAGGUGGGAGUGGCCUCCAUGGUGGACCAGAUGAGAGAAGUGCGAUUGAGAUGGUUUGGACAUGUGAAGAGGAGAUGCAUGGAUGCACCGCUAAGGAGGUGUGAGAGGCUGGUUAUAGAAGGUACGAGGAGAGAUAGAGGUAGACCAAAUAAAUAUUGGGGAGAGGUGAUAAAACAUGUUAUGAUGCAACUUCAAAUUAGUGAGGACAUGACCUUAGAUAUGAGGAUGUGGAGGACACGUAUUAGGGUAGAAGGUUAGUAGGUAGUGUAGUGUUGUCUUGCUUAGGGUGGUUGGUUUUUGCCAGUGUACUAGUUGUAUUACUGUAGUUCUUGGUAUCUUACUGCUUUUUCCCUGUGUGAUACCUCGAAUGGCAACCUAAUGGUUGAAAGGCGAGUGACUUUACCACGACAUCAGUACUCACCCAUAUUUACAAUGGAGGGUGUAGCAUUUCUGAUGGAUGCUUCAUGUAUGAAGAUACUAAUCGUUUCACAUUAUCUUAUAGUCAUUCAACGAUGGGUUUUGUUCCCAGACCUGUUUGGUGUUUGGCCUGAACAACAUGUAGAAAUAUUAACAUAGACGUUUGGAAAUUUUGGAGUGCGUUUUAUUGUGCACUCUAUCAUUUUUGUGUAAUAUGAAGUGGAUGCUUGCCUCUGGAGUCUUGUGUGUUAAAAAAAAUACCAUUUUAACUCAAUGGCAAGUUCUAUAGAGUGGUGGUUAGACCGACAUUGUUAUAUGGGGCAGAGUGUUGGCUAGUCAAAAGCUCUCAUGUUCAGCGGAUGCAUGUUGCGGAGAUAAGGAUGCUAAGGUGGAUGUGUGUUCAUAUUAGGUGCGGUGAGAUUAGAAAUGAGGAUAUUCGGAAUAAGGUGGGAGUGGCCUCCAUGGUGGACCAGAUGAGAGAAGUGCGAUUGAGAUGGUUUGGACAUGUGAAGAGGAGAUGCAUGGAUGCACCGCUAAGGAGGUGUGAGAGGCUGGUUAUAGAAGGUACGAGGAGAGAUAGAGGUAGACCAAAUAAAUAUUGGGGAGAGGUGAUAAAACAUGUUAUGAUGCAACUUCAAAUUAGUGAGGACAUGACCUUAGAUAUGAGGAUGUGGAGGACACGUAUUAGGGUAGAAGGUUAGUAGGUAGUGUAGUGUUGUCUUGCUUAGGGUGGUUGGUUUUUGCCAGUGUACUAGUUGUAUUACUGUAGUUCUUGUUUUUGAUACCCAUCAUUAUUUAUUAUUGUUUUCAAUACUCUAUCCUAGCAUGUUUAUUUUGUUUUGAUUAGUGCACUAUUUUGUUGUUGUUGUUGCUCCCUUAUGGUACACUUUGAACUAUUUCCUUAUGCCUUGCUAUAUUUUCUUCUUUGUAUCUUUAAUUGCUGCAUCCGAGCCGUGGGUCUUUCAAAAAUAGCCUCUCUACCUCUACGAGGUAGUGGUAAGGUCUGCGUACAUUAUAUCCUCUCCAUACCCCACUUUUGGGAUUUCACUGGGUAUGUUGUUGUUAAUUUCUCUCGACAGAAUGUACAUAUAUUCUUUUGGUGUGGUUUAUCUCAUGAAAGAAGAAAAAACGACAACAAAUUUUUUCCGAGUCUGAGAGUUGGUGUAGCAAAGGGAAGAGAAAGUUACUGUUCGUACUGCAGUGAAUCUAGUCAUUAUCUACUUUCUUUUACUUUGGAAAUUUGGGGGCUUAUUAUUGCUGUUAUUUGAUUAGUUGCUUAGUACUCAAGGGUUUAUUUCCUAGUUGUUUUGACUUCUCUUGUUUUGUUUUAAUAAGCUUCUUGAUCGAGAGAGUUGGGUAUCUUACCUUGUUUAGGGCUAUAGCUUUAGAUUCUUAUCAUAUGGAUACAAUUGCGGAGCAUGCAACCAUUUUUAGUGAAGAUAUUUUUCAUUUGGGCUUUUAUCUUUUCUUUUUUUAAUAUAGAGGCAUUAGGGUUUUCUUAAAAGGAUUUUCUAUAGUUUUCCUUUAAUAAGCUAGUUUGAAGUGAUUCAGAGUAAAACUUCUUCCUGCCACACUUUUGCUUCAUAUGUAUAGAGUUUUUUGGUACAUCUAUAUAGAGUUCCUUUUAGGGAUGAAAUUGUGUUUCAACUAUAAAAUAAGUGGACCGUGAACGCACUCAACCCCAAAAGUUGAAGUGUAAGGAUUGUUCAAGACUAUAUAUGGAGACAACAACUCAUCCCCUCAACCAAUGCGGACAGUCACACCAACUAUUCAUAAAUGAUGAGACAUUUCGCUUGUCCCUUUUAAUUUUAUGUUGAGAUUCGAUAAAAGUUAAUUGUGAAAGUAAUUGUACUUAAAUUUGUCAUGCUAGAAAUUGCCGCCGGAAAUAUGUGAACUUGUACAAGAUAAAACUGAAAUGCCUUCGACAAGAUCAGGUUAGUGACUUUAAACCCAGUUGCCUAUCAGUUUUUUAAAGUUAUAUAUACCUGUGUUACGCAAAUUCUUUAAAAGUUAUGUUUCUCCCAUAAAGGGGAAAAUAAUAACGAGAGAGAUUAAGAAAUCUGGAGGAUUCUAUGAGUGAAAAGAGUUGAAGAACAAGGGAUGUCUCAUAUACUCCCAUGGGAAACUGCCUAACGAAAUAUAUCUCUGAUUGCUUGCAGUUUUUGUAUCCCACGUUCUUUGUUUUGCAUUUGCAGUGAUACACUGACAAUUCUUCAUCAAGAUGAAAACUGACAUAGUUUUCCCUACAAAUAAAUAUAGACUAACCUCUGUUCCACUUUAGUUUCAAAAUUAUAUAGACUAACCAUUUAUUUUUCCAAAAAUCUAUUUUUCUCCCAUUGCCUACCUUUGAAUGCAGCUUGUUGCAAGAACUGUGGCAACAAGUUUCUAAUAUUUCUCCAGACACUAACACUCUGUGGAGUAGAACCCAGAUUUGACACCAUAUAUUCAUCCACCCAAAUUUUUAUAAUUUCCUUUCCCCAUAAAACCUCAACUUUCACAUUUAAUCUCCUCAACCAUUUCAUGAGAAGACUCCUAUUUUUAUUCUUUUUUGAAACUGGUAACUGUGUAUACAUUUUAUAAUGAGCAAAAUAGUACAUGGUUCAUACUGAUUUACAGAAGUACUCCAAAACUCUACUGUCCUAUACCUGUAUUGAAAUUAAAACAUCAACAAUAGAAACAAAAUCAUUUGAGUAUAACUAAUUACACCAAAAAAAACACAGGACAAGAGACAAUUCAACUUGAGCUUCUGCAUACCAUUUCUGCAUUCUCAAAACAUCUAGAGUUCCUCUCCUUCUAGAUUGUCCACUAGAUGUUGGCUGGGAAAAUUCUCCGUCUACUUCUGUUCUUAGCCUGACCUGCUUCCUCCCAACACUUAAGAGUGUCUUACACUUUUCUACGCAUAGUCCAUGAUAUGCCUUUGAGGUUUAAGAAUAUUCUCCAAAGUUGUCUUGUAUUCGUGCAGUGUGGGAAUAUAUGGUUAAUUGUCUCUUCCUUUUCACCAUAAAAGGAACAUCUGGAACAUAAUGGGAUUCCUCUCCUCAUCAAUUUAUCCUGUGUAAGGGUUGCUUCCUUAUCCAGAAGCCACACUAAGCAAGCUACUUUGUGUGGUAUUUUGGUUUAACAAAUAUGUUUCCAAGGACAGUUGUUUAACUGUUGAUUGGAGUGGUUCAUCAUUCUGUAAUCUGCAUAAACCUUGAAAGAGCCACUGUUAUUACCCAGCCACCAAAAUACAUCUUCUCCUGUCUGAAGCCCCCUGAACUGUUCAGUUGUGCUAAAAAAUUCAGCCACACUUUGAGUUUCCCAGUCAUUAAACUGUCUUCCGAAAGUAAAGCCCCAACCUUGAGGUGUCCAAAGUUCUGCUAUAGUUCUUUGUUGGUGUAGAAGUAGAUUGUAUAUAUCUGGAAAAAGCAUUUCUAGACUGCCAACCUCAUGCCAUUCAUCCUUUUAAAAGUGAGUGUUUCCCCAUUAAGCACUUUCAUCUUGGUAUUGGUCUUGAAUUCACUCCAUAGCUCUCUAAUGGAUCUUCAUAAGCUUAUCCCAUCAGGUGUAGUAACCUCCUGAGUCAUCCAUUUAUCGUCCUCGUCAUACUUUGAUUUAAUCCCCCCCNNNNNNNNNNNNNNNNNNNNNNNNNNNNNNNNNNNNNNNNNNNNNNNNNNNNNNNNNNNNNNNNNNNNNNNNNNNNNNNNNNNNNNNNNNNNNNNNNNNNNNNNNNNNNNNNNNNNNNNNNNNNNNNNNNNNNNNNNNNNNNNNNNNNNNNNNNNNNNNNNNNNNNNNNNNNNNNNNNNNNNNNNNNNNNNNNNNNNNNNNNNNNNNNNNNNNNNNNNNNNNNNNNNNNNNNNNNNNNNNNNNNNNNNNNNNNNNNNNNNNNNNNNNNNNNNNNNNNNNNNNNNNNNNNNNNNNNNNNNNNNNNNNNNNNNNNNNNNNNNNNNNNNNNNNNNNNNNNNNNNNNNNNNNNNNNNNNNNNNNNNNNNNNNNNNNNNNNNNNNNNNNNNNNNNNNNNNNNNNNNNNNNNNNNNNNNNNNNNNNNNNNNNNNNNNNNNNNNNNNNNNNNNNNNNNNNNNNNNNNNNNNNNNNNNNNNNNNNNNNNNNNNNNNNNNNNNNNNNNNNNNNNNNNNNNNNNNNNNNNNNNNNNNNNNNNNNNNNNNNNNNNNNNNNNNNNNNNNNNNNNNNNNNNNNNNNNNNNNNNAUUUUAACCCCCCCCCCCCCCCCCCAACACACACACACACACACAAAGACUGAUUUUCAGUAGUGAACUUCCAUAACCAUUUCAUUCUGAGUGCCUUGCUCUGUAUCUUCAGAUUCUUAAUUUCCAGUCCCCCAUAUCUCUUUCCAACUAGUGCUUAACCAAGCAAAAUGCUUUCUUUCUUUGUUCCGUUGUCUCUAAAAGUUCCUCCUGAUGCUAUCCAACCUAUUAAUGACCUCUGUUGGAAUUGGGAACACGGACAUCAUGAAUGUCGGGAGGGCAUCAAGAACUGAAUUAAGGAGAGUCAGUCUACCUCCCAGAGACAGAUAUUGAGUCUUCCACCUGUCUAAUUUCAGUUUACGUUCUUUGUCUUUACAACAAGGCAAGGGGGUGUGAUCAUUUAGACCUGCUUUUAAACCUCUUGAGUAAAUCUAUUACAACAGUUGUGCAGACAGCCAGUUUCUAGUUUGAAUACCUAAUCUAGUAUCAAUUUUUGCGCAAACUUUUAGGGGAAGGUACUAUUAUGAAAAGGCUGAAUUUUCUUUUUGUCCUGGGCUGCACAGUUGUGCAGAUAGCCAGUUUCUAGCUUGAAUACCUAAUCUUGUUUCAAUUUUGGCACAAACUUUUAGGGGAAGGUACUAUUGUGAAAGUGCUGAAAAUACUUUUCUGUUCUGGGCUGCACAGUUCCCUUGAGCUUGCAUUUUGAUCACUGUUUAUCUUUACUUUGAAUCUCAGGUGAUUGAUGUGGAUGUUCUUCAGAUGCUCGAGGAAAUAGAGAAAAAAUCUGAAGUGGGUGACAUCCUAAAUUACAGGUCUACUGCUGAACGUGAGUUACAGGUAUGUUUAAGUUUGAAAGAGCUAGUCAUUAUUGCCAAAAUUAUGUUGCAUUCCUAAUCGUUCUGCAUUUAGAAGAAUUAACUAGCUGAUAUGAUAAUAAUAGUUGGUGGUGUAAAUGUUAUCACUGGAGAUGGUGAAUAUAUGCAUGGUAUCAACCGAAAAUAACCAAGUCACAUUUUCUUUGAUAGGGCGAAAUAAUCAACCAAGUAACUUUGAUGUUCUAAGUUUUUUUUUUUUUUUUUUGGGGGGAGGGAGGAGGAGAGGGAGGCAACUGAAACUUUUAGAGUCAAGUUUACGCUCUUUCCUCCUCUUUCAAUAAGCGAGAAGGAAUCCACUUCUGAGAUGGAGAGAAUCCCGGGAUGCAUAUGCUCUUUAUAUGGUUAAAGAAAGAUGCAAUGAAGUGGUGGGGAUGGGCAGAGAAUAUGUCAUUUCAUCAUUUUGCUUCGUGUUUCAUUUCUUUUAAUUACUGUGGUGUUCGGUCUAGCUUGCACGCACCGCGAUUAUUGUAGGAGUACCUGCUAUCUCGCACCAACAUACGUACCGGGUAACUUUGUCUACCUAGACUUGGACAUAUGGGAAGAAAUCACCUACUUCCUCCGUUUUAAUUUGUUUGUCUUAGUUUGACUAGGCACAAAGUUGAAGAAAAUAAAGAAGACUUUUGAAUCCUGUGGUUUUAAACUAAAGAUAUGUAUAAUGUACCAUACCUAACUGCCCUUUAAUCUUGUGGUUUUAAAUAUGCCAUGUGAGAUGUUGGAAACAAAGAGUUGCCAAGUAAGUAUAGAGGCAUCAUUUUGAAAGAGACUAAAAAAGAAAAUAAGACACACAGAUUAGUGUGUCUUAUCAUUCCUUCUUUUUAGUUUACAAUGUUCGGAGAAUUACUAUCUAUAAGUAGUGAACUUUUUUUGGGGAGUGGGUCUCAACGUUUAUUUUUUCAUGCUUGUUGUAUUGCUAUUCUUCAUUUUUGUUGAAUAAUCACUCCCUUAUAUCCACACGCAAACACAUAAAUAUAUAAAUAAUUGAUUUCGCUGGGUCUACAGGAUAUUUUGUUGAAUUCAUCUUCGAGUAAUGUAAGCAACAUUGUCAAUACUGUUAAACCUAUGGAGGAUGAGCAUAUGUCCAGCAAGCCUCGUGGAUGGUUAAAUUGGCUAUCACGUGGCAUGCUUGGUGCUGGAGGAACUGAUGAUUCUAGCCAAUUUUCUGGUGUUAUUUCUGAUGAUGUGGUCAAGGUGAGCCUUAUCACUCCUUUUCCCUUUACUUCCCUAUCUCUGCAUUGCCUAUAAUAAGCUAAAAAAGGGUAAAUAAGCAAAUAUUAUAUUGUCUGUUGUUCAUAAUGGACUGUUUAGUUCUGAAGUCACGUGGAAUCAAUAUAAUUGACAUAUUCUCAGUAUGAACGAAAGUAGGCAUAGAAACUUACAUACUACUACUUCUUUUUUGAUGAAAAGAAACUUGCAUGCUUUUUGUGGGGCUUACCUUGCGCCCUGUACUUUCUCCACCUGCAAACAUACCAUUUUCUGAAUAAACUUUUGUACUCGUCGGAGUGGGAUAAUGACUUCAAAUUUCACACAGUUACUAUAACCCAAGAUCUAGUGUGGUCAAUGUCCACUAUUACUAUAUUGUGGACAGUGGUAAAAAGGUAGCUCUUACCUCAAAUUUGGGGACACGUGGCCUUGAUUAAAACAAAUGGUAGAUCUAGUGAGCAGUGCUGGGAUUGUUACCACAUUAAUGGUGUACUUAAUUGCAUUUUGGCCGAGAAGCUAAAUGUGUUAAAGAAAACCUGAAAGAAGGGAACAAUAAGAUUCCUGGAAUCUUCAAAAAAGAAGUAGAAAAGAAUGACGUCCUGUAAAGGUUACUAAUACUUAAUAGACUGGCAGGAAGUAUGGUAUUAACAAAAGAAUUCUCUCAAAGAAAAGAGGUAGAGAUAGCAUUUACUUCAUAAAAAAAGAAUAGAGGUAGAGACUAGCUACACAAGGUGGCAAAAUGUGAAGAAAUCAUAGGAGGCAGAAAUCAAGGUGUUAGUGGUUAAAAUAAGGCAACAAAAGCACUAGUAUCUGUAUGAAGAUGACCAGUAUGCACGGACAAUAUGAAGCACACUGAAAGACCCUAGAAGCCAAAGAGCAACAACAACAUACCAGUGUAAUCCCACAAAAUAGUGUCUAGGAAGGGUAGAGUGUACGUAGACCUUGCCCCUACCUUGUAGGUAGAGAGGUUUUUUCCGAUAGACCCUCGGCUCAAUGGUAGAUAGUAUCCCACAAAAUAGUGGCUAGAGAGGGUAGAGUGUACGUAGACCUUACCUCUACCUUGGAGGUAGAGAGGCUUUUUCCGAUAGUCCCUCGGCUCAACGGCAGAUAAUAUCCUACCGUUAACAACUGAGAUGUGAAGUGAAUGCCUAGCAAGGUGGUGGGUGGUGGUUCUGCCACUCGAGCGUCUGAACCUGCAUUGUUAAUUACAGCGCCCCCCACAAAAGGGACAUGAGUACCGUGGAAUAACACUUGUAUGAUAAGGCAGACAAAAUAACAUAAGAUAGGCAAUAAAGCUCAUGAAUAUAGGGGCAUAAAACAUGACAUAGUGGUAGCGUAGGAAAGGUAAGGAACAUCUUGUAGUUCAUUAUGCAUAUUAUCUUUCUUAGUCCUUUUUGAUGACAUUAUUAUCUUUAAUUUCUGGGAUACUAUCUGCUGUAUCCGGGCCUUCAUGCUUAACACAGCCAUAAUAAAAUAGUGGAAUACUAUCUGUCGUAUCCCAGCCUUUGUGCUUAGCAUGGUCACAAUAUACCGGUGGGAUACUAUCUGCCAUAUCUGUCCAAUUUUGUAUAAUCUGCACAUGCAAGUUAACAUCCACAUUUCGUAGUAAGAUACUAGUGGAUCAUUCAAAUACCAAACUUUUAUAAUACUGUCCAAUCUUGCACAAUCUCUCAUCCAACUUUUGAGGUGCAUUUCUAAGUAGAGAAAAUGGAUUAGGUAAGUUGAAAAAACAUGGAUAACAUCCAUUGUUUGCAUUUAUGUUAGAUUUGCUAUAUUCCUGAUAAAAAAUGUUAGACCAGAUGUUUUUUGUGUUAUUAAACUGGGGAGAUCAACAAUCACCUCUUCCUACAUCGUAAAUUCACUGCUCAACUUUGGCAUAUGUUCUUCUCUAUCACCAAGACUGAAUGGACAAUGCCUGAGCAUACAGCUGAUCUAAUGAGCUGUUGGAUCAGAAGAGGGGGGAGCAAGAGUCGGAAGAAGUGGUGUAGGAUAAUCCCAUCCUGCAUAUGGUCGUCAGUGUGGAAGGAAAGAAAUGGGAGAUGCUUUGAAGACAAAUCAAUGCCCAUCCAUGUUGUGAAAGGGAACUGCCUAUCCACACUGUUUUUUUGGUGCAAAUGAAAUUGUAUAGAGGAAAUAGAAGAUCUUGUAGAUUUCAUUGGCUCUCUGUAAUCUAGAUUUUAUUUUUUCUUCCUCUUGUAACACUUUUUGAGGUAGCCAGCAUUCCUUAAUGCUGAGGAAUACAACAGUACCAUUUAUAAAAAAAGAAGAAGUUAGUUUUACUAUAGUUUAUAAAGGGUUGGUAUUUGCAUUAACGUGAUGAAUUUCAACUUUUGACCAAAAUACUUGCUGACACUUUUUUUUAACAGGAUAUAUAUGAAGCUACUAAGUUCCAGCCUGUUCUAUCACUGGAUGAUGAUGCUCCUGCAGACAAUCAAAUCUAUUUCUCUUCAUUGAAGUUCAACAUCAAACAAGUUUCUGCUAGUAUACGGAGCAUGUAGGGUGUGAUGUCUUACUUGUAAAAGACAAACUUAUCUGACACUAAAUCUACAUUUUUCCUUUUCUGGUCAUUAUGGUUCAAAAUUUAAGUGGUUGAGUUUUGGAAAUCAUUCUUGUGGUUUUAAAGCUAUACUCAACUGUUUCAAUAGCCUUUCUCCUUGUUCUUUUAAAAGAUUUAGCUCUCCUCAAAAGCAUAACCUGCCAACCUGGGGACCUACUUUGAAUUAGAAAUGGACAAGCAAUGGAGACACUUGCUUUAUUUGCCACCUCUUUCUAUGGGAUCAUAGGAUACACUUCAUACAAAGUUCCUUUCCUUGAAGCCUCUCCCUUUCUUUACAUAUGUCAGUGAUGUCUCUGGUGUUACUGAAUACAAUAAAUAGACUAAUCAGUUCAAAGACGAUAUGUGUGUUUGUCUUUUCUUGAUCCUUGGCCUGCUACCUAUUUUAUGCUGAUUAUUGUUUUAUGGAGUACAUGGUAUUGACCUGAAGUGAGUUGAAAUGGAUUAACACGGGGAAUGAUGAUUCACAUAGUCGACCCUCACUUGUUCUUGAUUUAUAGUUGUAUUGAUUUAUGUUAUGGUGCACUUACAAGUUGCGCUUCUGUUUUAUUUUCUAGGAAGCUGGGUUAUGCCAUUGCCUGUUUGGUACUUGAUGGGAUUUCUGUUGGGUGUGAGACUUGGGAGGAGGCUGCUGUUAUCAUUGCUGAAAUAAACUCGGUCAAGAUGCUUAAUCCAUUCAGCAAACAAGUCGUUUUACGAACAAGGGUUAGUCUAUGUUAAAGAAGUUAGUAAUUUUGAGUGACAUGUUCAUAUUCAUGUUACUUCCAAUUGCACAUGCAAGUGUACGUGGUUGCGCAAGGAAUAUAGUGGCUCUAAAAGAGCUGGAUUAUCAAAUCCAAAGGAAUUGUCGAUUAACUAUUCUAAUGAAUUAUACUAGUCUAAUUAUUCAUUCAAGCGUGCCAAAAGAGUUUAAUUUAUAAUGGAAUAUUAAGAAUGCAAGAAUAAAAUAAUAAAAUUACUUCCAAUAAGUGGGAUAAUUCCAGGGCUGCAGUGUGCUUAAGGUUUCAUGCAUCACAUCUCAUGCAUGAAUUAACUACGGUUAUCAACCAACAUGGGUUGUGGUGCACUGGUGGGAGUGCUUCACCCUUAACCAGAGGUCUCGGGUUCGAGCCCUGGGUAUGGAGAAAAUCCUGUUGGGAGAGCCACCCCUAAAUGGGCCCUGCAGUGCGCGAUUCGGAUUUAGUCGGAGCUCCAAUGUGAGCUCCGAACACCGGGUGGGAAACCAAAAAAUAACUACGGUUAUCAAAUAACUGAUUUACAUGGUUGAUUUUAUGAUCAUGAUCUCUCGACCUCUAAUCGUGUACUUCAAUUGACUGUCUAACUACAUCAUUGAGCGGGUAUAGACAGUACUCAAUUGACAAGCAUUUAUAUUUCACCCCGUUUAGUAACCAAGCUCGGUGUUCGUCCGAGUGUCAAUCCUAAACACGAAUCUGAACAAGUGAUAUGUAAGAGAGAAUGAGCUCUUUGUAUUCUUUUGUCUAUCUACCUUUCUGUCUCUCGAGUUCAAGAAUAGACAAUAUAUUUAUCUCUAUAGUUAUCAAACAUGAAAUACUAAAACAAGAAUACAAAAGUAAUUUAAGCGACAACCAACAUUAAUUCAAAACAAUCAAUGUUCAACAAUUACCCGUAGCUACAACUCCAGAACAAGGGCCUUGAACUACUAAUGUCUAAUAAAAGAAGAAAAAGAAAAAAAACCCUACAAAGUAUUGACAACUUUAUACUUGAUGCUCCAUAAUAUUUAUUCCUAUGGACUAUUUAUAGAUGUAGAAAUCCCUUAAUAAAAGAAUUGAGUCCAAAACAAAUUGAGAACCCAAAACCAACAGGAAUUGGGUUCAGGCUGAAACAGUUCAACCGCCUCAACAAUUAGCACCUUUCAUCAAUUGGCAAGUGCCUUCAGAAAUUGCCACGUGUCAAUGAGUAAAGACCAUCAAUUUGCUUUCUUUAAUUUCAGCCGACUUUGCAUAUCAUAUAUCAUAUAUAUAUAUAUAUAAAAGAGAACCUUAUGCCCGCCUAGGCGCCACCACAAACUAGAAUUUUCUUUUAAUUUAUUUAUUUACAAAACUAGCCUUCCCCUUCCAUGAAAAGUUGUGACUUUUAUGAAAAAGUUGCGACUUUAAUGAAGAGUUGCGACUUUUAUGAAAAGUUGUGACUUUUAUGAAAGUUGUGACUUUUAUAAAAGUUGCGACUUUAAUGAAGAGUUGCGACUUUUAUGAAAAGUUGUGACUUUUAUGAAAGGUUAUGACCUUUUCGAAGGGUUGCAACUUUUUUCCAAAUAGUUGUAACAUUUACGACAAGGCACAAUAAACAUUUGUUCACACUACCCUUUGUUGUCUAUAAAUAGAGGGAUUUCCUCUCAUUUUAAUUUUAAAACAACAAAAAUUCUGAACCUCUUCUUCUUCUUCACAAUUAAAUAUUUGUGUACUUUGCUCCUGUUGAGUGACUCACUGACACCAUUGCUUAUGUUACAGAUUCUGGUAUGUAUUUUUAUAGUCAUUUAUUUAUGCUUAUGUUACUAAGGAUAAAUGAUAAGAUGUAAUAAUUUUCAUUUUCUUUUACGUUAUUAAUGUUUGUUACAACAUAAUCUUAUGUGUAAGAUAAUAUAGUGUUUUGGUUUUAAUGACUGAUAGGCUUUAAGUAUCAUUUUAUAAAUUUCAUGAUAUUAAAUUUCCGCACAAAGCGCAGGUAAUUUUACUAGUAUAUAUAUAUAUAUAUAUAAAUAUUAAUAUAAUAUUCAAUUUAAUUCAUUAAGCUGUCUGCUUGAUUUCCUUCUAUAAUCAUCCAUCUUUAAUUAUUUUAGCUCCAAACUUCUUCAUCUUUAAACCAAUUUACUUCUACAUAAAAUACACUAUUUAGCACAAUUCAUAAAACUCGUGCUCAAAAAGGACAAAUACAAAUAAUAAAUGUGAGGCAAAUAAUUAUUAAAAAUAUAUAUUUUUGGCCUCGCAUCAAGAAGAUUACUGGCUUGAUAACAAUUUGAAAUCUUUCCUUCUGAUAUUUCCACUGUACUCAUUUUGUGGCUCAUGAACUUAAUGGAAAAGGGUCAAAAAUGCCCUUGAAGUAUGGCAAAUUAAACAAAAAUGCUCUCAAUUAAUAGUUUGGUCUUAUAAUGUCUCUGCCGUCAAUAGUUGUGCAUCUUUGACCCCUAUGAACUAGGUGGCUAGUUAAUUGUCUCUAUGUUUGCUUGUAUUUAUGCAUACGCCUCACUUCUUGCAACUAAUUAAGAUUAUAUUUGUUUAUAAACUGUUAUAGCUUAAAAUGCUUUGGUUACCUUAGGUAAAUUCUGAUCGAGGAAAGCCCAAAAUUCAUCAACCUUCUCUAAGUUUCCAACUUGACAUGUCGCGUCUAAAACAGGAUUCUACUUUAUCUGUAAAGGUAUUGUCAUCUUCUUUGCUUUUACAAUAUUUAAGUCAGUUGCAAACUUUUUACUAUCACCACAAUGUUAUGCAGCUGUUAUAAGUUAUUUAAUUAUUGAACAGGAGGUUUUUCAGAGAUUGACAUCCUAUAACUUUGUAUAAACAGGCCUCUGUCCAGCCACUUCAAAUUACUUGUGAUCUAGAGUGUUUCAAGAAUAUUAUGAGUCUUUCUUCCCUUUUGGAACACUCUUGUUCUCUGCAGGACAGGGUAAGUAUUCAAGCUAUUGUGAUUGUUUUACUUAGAACUCCAUAAAAUUUGAUACUUCUGAGAUCUCUGGAUAGUCGUCUUAUUUUCACUUUGGCCUCCAGGUUAAUCCACUGAUCACCAAAAUUCCAUUUCAUCGUAUAACAUACAAGUUACUACUUAAAACAUGACAUUUUGUUUAGUGGUGUUCAACGUCAAUGUGUUACAUUCAUUUGGUAAUUGAUUUCUGAUUGCCUUUAUAUCAUUUUGCAUGAAUGUUUCUUAUCAUAAUGAAUAUCAUACAGUGGGUGUUCUAACAGUGACAGAGAACAUCAAUUUACUUUGCGAUUGGGAGCUAAUGCAACAAGUAUAAGAGUGCAGAAAAGAUGCAUAAAAUAAUUUUGUGAAUGGAUACAACUAUUAAUAGAAGUCAAGGACAGUGUGUAUAUAAUAUUUGUAGAAGCAGAAAAUAUAUAGAUUCUAGACUUAACUUUCUCUACUAUAACCGGGCACAUCUUCUAUAAGUUAAGGCGUAAACUAAUCAGAUCUCAGCUUUAAAACAAAAAUGUAAUUUAGCCAGAACACUUGGGAGAAGUUUGAUGAUUUCUAACUCAAAUUCUGACUUACUUAUAUAACUGUUGGAGUCCCACAUCGGUGGGUUAAGGGCCUUUUGGUCUCAUUAUAUGGUCUUGGGCAAUGCUCCCCUAGUUUUUGGGAUUGAGUUAGCUCCCAAGUUUCAUUCUUUAACAAUAACUAACUUAUAAGUUACAUACGAACAUAUCCUCAAACGUAAGUUAAGAAAGAAAUUUGCUAACUUUGAAUCAGAGCAAAUAGUUGGCAAAAUAGUACUGAUGGAGCACUUGGAACAACUUAUCGGAAGUUCACUAGAAUGUUGCUAAAAUGUUAUACCAAUUUUUGUGGUAGCAUCUCCUUUUUAUGGUCAUUUUUGCAACUUCUUUUUGGGAGAUCUUUUUAACUAUACUAUUUUUUCUUAAAUCUCCCAAACAAAAGAUGCAAAAAUUGACCAGAAUAAGGCGAUGCCUUUGCAGAAGUUACAGGUCAGGGCCCAAAUACUAUUGGAACAUUCACCUAAUCUGAAGUGUUGGUCGCCAAAACAAUCUUUUGCAAUAGACAUUGGCGUCAGACGAUCACUAGAAAUAGACAUCGUGACUUAGAAAUUAUCAAAAGAAAUGAGACGUACACUGCUGGGAUUGUCAGUGAGAAUGAGAGUGUCAUCGGAAUGGUAACUUAGAAAAGAAGCAAUGCCAGAACAGUCACCAGAAAAUCAUAAAAACGGAAAAUUUUAGAAAACCUUAUUAUUGAUGGAUGCUUUACGUCUCUACCAAAAUCGUAGAUGCUCUGAUAUCAUGUUAGGAAAAUAAAAGAGAGGAGAGACAUUGAUGAUUUGAUGAAUGUGUAACCAAAUUAUAGAUGUCAAACACAAUGUGGGACAAUAUUCAACUUUAAAAUUGAACUGUCUUCUAUUAAAACUCUUUUAACCUUCUAAUACCUAAACUAGUCAUUACAUUGUUUAAUAAGGCAAGGCUUUACAUGCUAGAUGGUGUUAUAACUUGAUAGUGUUCCAUGUUACAGAUUCUGUCAUCCAUCAACAGAAUUCAAAAUACGACUGCACGACUUCAGACUAAAAUUGAGUAAGUAUAUCAAGUAAGCUCAUCUAUUUAGUAGAUAUUCUUGCCUCCUAGUCAAAGACAUGGAUUUUACUUUGAUAUGCGAUAUGAUUAUACUGAUACAAGACAAUUUGAUAUCCGUGAUAAUUCUGCUGCCUUGCUGCUCUUCCUAUGUUUUAUGUUUCUCCGCAGGCAUGUCUUAUCAAAUCGCAAGACUGUUACAUGGAAUGUCCAUAUAUUGGGUAUUGCCAUCCUUGUUCCUGGUGGAGGUGCAGAUUCUGACAUGCCGAAAAUGGUAAUUCUUCCAUGCCAUUGCUGGUGCAUUAUCCCCAUUCCCCCAUUAUUUGUCUACCCAAUGUCCUUCAGCUUUUCACUUGCUCUAGGGCUUUCUUCCUACCUUGUUAUUCUUUCUAGGUCCGAAACAGCUCAUAUUUUCUAUUCAAGUUUGGUAGAUUCGAUUUGCAAUUCCCAAUCACAUGUAUAUUUGUGUUCUGUUCCCUAAAUGAAGUUGUAGUUAGAGGAUUUCACAUCUACAAAUUUGGGACCGUUUAGAGGAGAUUUUGAUUUGGUCCGAAUUGAAUAUUCAGUGUAUAUUUCAUGUAUAGUUAAACUAAAUUCAAUUUUUUGAGUGUAUCGUAAGGAAUUGUUAGUGUAUAGCUCAUGUAUAGUUAAGCUAUAUUUAGCUUUUUAAUUGUAUCAUAAUGUAUAGUCAGUGUAUACUUUCUAUCUUUUUUUGACUAUUUUUUAUGUAAAUAAAAACAUGGCUAUAUUUAUUGUUGACUAAUUACUUUAUUGUAUAUAUUUGAAACUAGCCCAAUAAGAUAUUGGGUUGCCCUCCAGUAAUUUUAUUGUGAUCCAUUACUUGCAUGGUGUGAUUGACCAAUUUAUGAUUGAGAACUGGAAGGCUUCAUUAUUUCGAUGUAAUUAGUGCAUUUUCAGUGGCCUAAAAUUUCUAGUUUGGGCAGGUACUUGAAGCAGGGGAAUUAACCUUUGGGUCUAAAGGUGACAGAGAUACUUUAUUAGCAUCGCCUCUUUGCACUAGUAAUGUUGUCUUGGGUUGUCAGCUUCAAGAUCUCUAUGAUCACUUUGAGAUUAACAUUAGUGAUCUUGAGGUUAGUCAUUUGCACUUUGAUAUUCAACUUCCUCGUAUGGUGUAAAUUAAGUGAUUCUGUUCUGCAGGUAAAACUUUUAACUUCAAAUCCCUCUAGAACUAUCCCCCUUCUGGAGAAACUUUGUACCAAUAUCAACUUGACAUUGUGCAUUAUUGCUGAUGAAUCAGAGUUGAAAAAUUGUGAGGUAAGUGAAUCAUUUUGAUGACUAUUUUUCUAUAUGUUGUGAUAGCAAUUUGAUUUUUGGUUUCCAAUAGUCUGUUACUUUUCUCCAGAAAUCAUAGGCUCUUAAUUCUUAAGCCUUUAUUUGUUGUCGUGUAAUUGAAAUUGAUGGAUAUUGCUGGUGGUGCAAGGAUCUAAUUUAGUCGACAAACUAUUUCUUGCCUCUAUGUUUUUUUGAUUUUGCACCGGGUGUCCGAGUCUCUUUGAGCCCCGACUAAUCCCGGGGGUGCACAGGCCCUCGGCAAGGAGUUUCCCGCAAGUGCACCACGGUUAAUUCAGGUUUUACCCAGUCCGAUGGCCCUCAGAAAUUGUUUGCACCCAGUGGGUUUCGAACUUGAGACCUUGAAAGGGAGCAAACCCCAAGGCUCAAGUCAAUUGCCAGCAGGCCAACCCCUGAGGGUUAAUUUCUUGCCUCUAUGUUCUUGACUGGUAAAAAGGAAAAAAGUUUAACUGCUAAAUGUACAUAUUAAUUGUUUCACCUUUAGGUUCAUUGUUUUUCUUGCCUUCAAGAUACUAAAGAUGCUUGUUUUCCUUCUCCUGCAUUGGAUGGGCACAGUUCAAUGUGGGACAGAAGAGCUAAUGAUCCACACUGUUCAGUUUAAAAUUUGAAAGCAUGUAGACUCCAACUUAAUUGAGUAUAGUUGCUUUUAAUUUAAAGAACGCAUAUUAUCAAGGUUUCUCAACAUUUCUAGACUUUUAUUUUACUAUCGGAAAAUAGUCAAAAAUGUCCUUAAACUAUGUGAAAUUGAACAAAAAUGUCCUCCGUUAAUAGUUUGGUCCAAAAAUGCCCAUAUUGUUACUUUUUGGUAAACAAUUACAAAUAAACAUAUUGUGUCUUUCUUGUCAAACAGAUAAUUUUUUAAAAUAAUGUACUACUUUUAAAGAACUUUUUUCUUAUUUUUUUCUUUUAAAAUCCUAUUAACUAAUAAUCUUUUUUCUUCUUAAUCUCCUUUUAUCAAUAAAAAAAAUAGAAUUACCCCAUAUACAUUUUCAACUAAUAAUAUAGGUCAUAUAUAUAUAUAUACAUAAAAGAUCCUUAUAGCUUCAUCUUAAUUUUCAUUUAUAUAGUGAAUAAAAAAAUUUCCUAAUAAAAUAGAUUUUCUUUUUCAUAUUCUUUUCCGAAUUGAAGUAGGAUAAACAUUUGCUAGUAUAUUCCUUGAUUUUAAAUAUAACAAAAAAAAGGGUCAACAAUAACUCCAUCGACGAUAUUUAAAGAUAUUUUGUGAUUUGAAGCAAUGUAACAAUUUUUUGUGUUUUGUGGCAUUAUGAUUGUUGUAUCUUAACUUUAAAACUGUAUAUUAUAUUAACAAAUUUUUAUCCUUCUUCAAUUAAUUUUUUUUGUAAAGACAUAAACAUAUUUCCUAUUUAUUAGAAUUUUUGUUAGUCGUUAUUUAAAUGAAAAUUAAUGAUGGAUUACUAUGAUCUUAUAUAUAUGAUAAUUAAUGAUGAGUUACAAUAUUUUUGUUAGGAAAAAAAUGUUUUUCAAAAGAAAAGAAAUAAUAUGUUUAUAAGGAAAUGAGUGUUUUUGACCAAAAAAUAACUAUAGGGGCAUUUUUGGAUCAAAGUAUUGGCAGCAUGGGCACUUUUGGACCAAAGCAUUGACAACAGAGGCAUUCUUUGACCAAAGUAUUAACGGAGGAUGUUUUUGUUCUAUUUCACAUAGUUUAAAGACAUUUUUUAUCCUUUUCCAUCUAACUAUUAAAGGUGUAUCAUUGAAAGUUUCUCAAUAAUGGAUAUUGUAUAUGUCCAGUUUGCGGCCAUGUUUAUGAAUAUAAAUACAUUUACCUGAUAAUUUUUUUUAAGAGGUGUCUGUUUUACUUGUUUUGCUUACUUUAGGACGGUUUAUCCUUCUUUUAUUUAAAUCUUAAUAACUCUAGCUUAUUACCAGAUGCUUUCUUUUAUUUUUGUGUUUUGACCCGUGAUUAAUUUUAUUGAUAACAAUCCUUCUGCAUUUGGUGUACUUCAUUAUAUAUACUCUCUUUGUCUCAAUUUAUGUGACUUACUUUCCUUUUUGGUCAGUCCCAAAAAGAAUGACACAUUUUUAUAUUAAGUAACAAUUUAACUAUAAAAUGUUUAUUUUACCCUUAAUGAAAUGAUUUAUGGCCACAUAAAUUUCUAUCAUUCAUUUUGGACCACAAGUUUUAAAAGUCUUCCUUUCUUUCUUAAACUAUGUGCCGAGUCAAACUACCUCACAUAAAAUGGGACGGAGGGAGUAUUAAAGAUGAUGAGAUGUACUGUCAUUUGUUUACAAAGUGGAUUAUUAGAUUUUAUAUACAAGAUACCCCAGAUAGGUAGUUCCGAUUUUCCUACCAAAUAGUGACAAUUUGACCCAUAAAAGAUUUCUCAUGCUAGAUAUUUCCUUCAUCAUUAAUACGUUACCAGUUUCAAGAAGAAAUAUUUCCUUCAUCAUUAAUCAUUCUUCUGCUUAAAAUCUUUAUUUUCAAAGUAUCUCAUACCUACAUAUGUCCACCGACUCCCAUGUCGUUUUUUUUGGUUUGGAUAGUAAAUAAUUUUAUUUAUGUGGGGAAUGGAAAUGAAAGAAAUCUUAGCUGCGGUUGGGUUUGGAUCCGUUUGAUGGGCGUCCCACUUACUGCUAGCAUGAAGUGGUCAAGGAGAGAGGAGAUUUCUGUGGAGGGUAGAUUGAGAGUGAAAAGGACAUUUCUUUGAAAAAAUCAUUUUAGAUGGCCCACAAUCAAAGUGAAAGGAGAUGGUGAUAACAUACCCAAGGAGGUAGAAGUGGAAUGUGAUGGAGUUUAUAUAAUCCCAAUCUAGUGUGAAUUUCAGGCACAUGUGCUCAUCGAUGGAGUUGCUGAGAAUGUGGUCUUGUCGGUUAAUACCCCAAAUACCAAAAAUGAUACACGUGAGCUAGGUUUAGACUCUUCUUUAUUAUGUACCUGCACAAUUUUCUAAUGAAGCCGAAUAAAUAUUGCUUAGAGAUUCGAGGGUGCAUAAUAUUCAAAAGCCAUGUCAUAACAAGAGAAUUAUCGGAAUCCCAUAGUUAGGGUCAGCUAUGGCAGGUGCUUUCUUUUCACCAGUUAUAUACCCAAUUAAUUUUUUAGAUUUAAUAAAAAUUAUGCAAGAUCUUGACCAAACACUACCGGCAUCAUCUAAUUUUACAACAUUGAUUUUGAGACCGAAGUAUUAUCUACCGUCUUUGCAUCCUCCACUGAAGAAAUAAUGGUCCAAAACAAUUUUCAAAUUCGAACAAUAGUACUUCUCAAUCUGGACUUCCAACGAUAAGGAGAGACAACAAGCUUUCAGAUCUGCACUUCAGUAAGGAAGAACUGUAGCUGGCACACUAGAAUAUCACUUCUAGUACUUGAAAAGUGAUGAAACCGGGAUGGAUAGGCUCAGAUUUAGCUGGCGAAACCAAGGAAGAAAGAAUAUCUCCUAGACAUUAUCAGAAAGUGGUCCACUCGCUGGCGCGUGAGAAUGAUGUGUAGCUGAAGUUAGAGCUUUCAAUAGCGCAUGCCGAGGUCUUAGAUGGAGCUGCUGACUGGGUUUUUGUUGCCGGUGGUAGAGGAAACCUGUGUUGUUGGUGUUUUAUGUAAAACACUGCUCGAGAGAUAACCAAGGGACAACUUGUUUAGGUCACGAAAAAAAAUGCUCAAGGGAGGUUACUCAAUCUCAUGCUACAAAUAGUGUUGCAGAGGGAGAAAACUCAUCUCAAAUAGGCAACAAUGGCUCUGUUCCAAUGAAGAUUACAAGAAAAGAAAAUUUUCUUUGUAUUUCUUGAUGAUCUUUACAUCCCAUGAGAAUGAGUGCUCAAACAUUGAGUCCUAAGACUAAAUAAGGAAAGACAAUCAAUUACAAUAUUCUAUAAUUAAUUUACUCGUAUAAUUAAACUACAAAAUCUCUAAUCAAUAAAACAUAGAGCCAUCUAAAUAGAACUCUUUGGAAGAAAUUGAAGACUCAUCAUUACCAACUCUUCUAAAAUGUCACAUAGCCAUAAACAACAUGAGGAUCCAUUUUAACAACAAAAAAUUGAUAUGAUUCAUUAGUUUGUGGUUGUAUUACUGCUUACAAAUUAUGGCUUGUGCGAGGCUUGUUCAGAGUUGAAUGUAUUAGCAAGGGACUAUAGGGGAGGUGCUUCUGGGAUGGAAAUUCAGAAGCACGAAUAGGAGAGCAUGGGAAGUAGCUCUUCUAGCAUUCAUAUGGACAAUAUGAAAAUUAGAAAUAGGUAAGCCUGUAAAUGGAUGGAAAUUCUUGAUUACAGACUAGUGGAUUAUUUUCUUUUCUGAAUUUGGUAAAACACUCUCUAUGUUCCUGUUAGUGUUCAUAAAUGGAUGCUUUUUUUAGAGAAUCAUGUCUUCUGUAAGAUGCUUGAUGUUGAAGUACUAUCAUCUUUGAAUCUACGUUCAAGAUCAUGUGGUGCUUUGAUGAUUCUCAAACUAUGUACAAGAGACAGUUUAUAUGAAGAAAGAAGACUGAAGAAUGAAGAAUGACGAAUGAAGUUUCAAGAACCAUGUCCUCAGUGAGAUAGAUCUCUAAGAAGAAGUGAAGAAAUUAACAAAACCGUCAGAGGAAGUCAUUAGAGAAUAUGUUCCUCUGGGGUAGCAUGAGAGACUAUCAAGAAUGAAGUUGUUUCACAUCUGCACUAGGAAGUAGGAAUCAUUGGAGAAUUGUAGUACGGUAGAAUUCAAUUCGACAAGGAACUGAAAUUCUAUACAUGGAAAGCUAUCAUACAUUAUGCACAUGGAAUUAGCUUGAAAAUAGGAGAAAGAAACUGACGCGUGAAAUGUUUCAAACCAAGUCAAACUAGUACUGGAUUUUGUGAAAGUCUCGACCUUAUUUAUGUUUUGGAUUAGAAAACCACAAGGCAACUAUAUAAACAACUUUGGAGUGAGACGUCAAAGUUAAAAAGUUCUACACGAAGAGUUUCGAAGAAGAAGUUGUUGCUACAACGAAAGAACCUGUUGCUAUCAAGAUUUAUCCAUAUAGUUCUUGAGCUGUAAUAGUAGUUUCUUUGUGUUGGUUCCAAGACAAUAUCUUGAUUACUUUCUUAGUUGAUUGUAUUAGGUGUUUUUUGUGUCCAUAAGUGACUUUGUUGACAAGAUAGAGUCAUUGAAGUAGAAGAGUAGAGAGGGUAGAGGUUGGGAACGAUUCCUUAGGUUUUACAAGAGCAGUUGUAAGCCUUAAAUUUGGCUCGAGUUUAGUGAAAGAGUUUGAGUAAAUCCUACGGAGGUGGGUCGCGGUUUUUGCCUCCCUUGAGCAAGGAGUUUUCCACGCUAAAUACUUGUGUUGAUGUACUAUUUGCAAUUUACCUUCUGGCAUAAGUGCUCAAGGAGUAUGGUACUUUGAGUACUUAGGUCGCAGCCAAACUAACACUUGACCUUUUAUAUAAACUUUGUGUGUGCCGAUUCCCCAUCUGAUCGAUGCGAUUUUACUUGAAAAGAAGAGGAAGGUUGCAUGAUAUUUUGAUAGGUUAUUGAAAAUUGUAGGAAAAUUAUCUCUUAGAUAAAUCCAAGGCCUUGAAUAUUUUAUGCGACUUUAUGUGUAAUAUGCAUGUACAUAUAUUGGUGGGUUGUUUACAAUAGGAUCUAUGAAACUGAAGCUUGUAUGCGAUGACCGAAAGAUAACAAAAAGAAAAGGCUUACCCCGUGCAUGAAGUGUUCUCUGGCUGCUAAGUCAUAGGGAGAGAGUGGCCUAUAAUGAACACUAUUUUCCUUUAAAUUGCCACAAAGAGACUGUAUCCAUGCCUAAAAGCUUGCGACAUACAGGUUAAAAGAGUUGAUCUAUCAUUGCAUCAACACCUGCCCUGAUUCCUAAAAAGGAUAAAGUUAGAAACUAAAUUUUGUGAGAUACAUGAUUUUUUGAUGAUUGUUGGGUGUAUGUUGAUGUAAUUAGUGCUUCUGAUCUGAUGAAACAUGGCAAGUGUUUUGGUUUCGUUCACUGGAUUAAAUUAUGCAGGUGGUACAUUCAUAAAGGUAUAAUAGUUGGUGUGAAGCAUGAAAAAGAUAUUUAAGUUGGGACUUUCACACUAACAAACUGAAACCUCUGCUGACUUGAGUUGUCGUAUGGAGCAAUUUCUGUUUGAAUGUUACAAUGCUACUCUGCUUGCUAUAGUUUCUAAUUAUCAGAGUAUGAGAUAUCUGAUCAGGUGUUUAUAAUUUAGGUUGCUUUCUUUCUUUAUUUCAGGUUGACAUAGAGGUUUCAUCUGUUCUUGCUCACUUUUCACCAUCUCUUUAUGGAGCAAUUAUGGACCUUAUUGUGGAUUUUGAUAUACUGGGUUUAUCAUCAGACUCCUUGCGCCCAACUACAGUUGAUGGUAGUGUGAUAACUGCUGUUUUUUGGUUCUCCAUUGCUGCAAAUGUGAAAUCUAUUGGUUUCUUGAUCGAUUUUGAAAGUGAUGUAGAAAAUGCGUGCAGUCUCAUGCUAUUGCUUCAGAUAUUAAAUAUUCGGUAUGUUGUUAGCAUCUUGUUUUACUUUUCUAUCAGCCAGAUAAAGAUACACCAUUAAUAAUAGAGAAAAUACGCAAAAGAUAAGAUGAUAGACAGAUGCCGAAGUGAAACUGUGUUGCAGCUUUAUACUCCUUGGCAAAUCAUAAAUAUCUAGUCUCUCUGUUAAUCCUUCUGCUUUGCACCGUAAUAAUGCUACAAGAACUGCUAUAAAGCCUAAUCAUCAUACCAAUGUGAUUUUAAAAAUCAUUUCUGUUUGGUGACUCUCAUGAAUGGUCUCUUGACAUGCAUCUCUAGCUUAGCUGUUUAUUUCCAAAAGGGAAAAAGGUCAAAUAUACCCUUGAACUUUUAAAAAUGGUAUGUAUAUACCCACCGUCAUACUUUAAGGUAGUAUGUAUCCCUACUGUCAUACUUUUGGACCAUAUAUACCCUUUAAUCAAAUGGACAGACGCAUGACGCUAUCUCAAUAACUUACGCGAUUCUUUAUUUUUUUUUAAAUCCAAAAUUUACAAACCCACCCAAUUAUAUCCCGACCAAUUUUUUUUAAAAAACACCCAUUUUGCAUUGCCAUAAACUUUUGCAAUCUUACCAACAAAGUAUUUGAUCAGAAAACUCACAAAAUCAACAACUUUACAACUUGAUAAUAUUAAAGUAUAACCCAAAAUAUUAAUAAAACAAAUAAGAAAUCAAUUCGUUUGUCCCAGAAACUUUAAAUUUCAUAUAUUAUCUACAACUAUCUUCAUGACUACAGUAAUUAUAUAAAGCAACAAAACUUAAAUCGUUAAAUUAAUAUGAAAACUAUGUAUAUAUUCCACUCUGUUUAGGUUUAGGACUAAGUAAUUACCCAAGAAAUAGGAGUUCAUCAACAGGAACACAGAUGAGAUUCAGAGAGAAAUAGGAGCCAAUUGGAGAGAAACUCAGAGACAAUUCAGAGUUCAUCUGGAAUUGUAAUUUUGGAAUGAUAAAAAAGCUGGUGGGUGCAGUGAAGGUGGGGAAUCCAGAGUUUUUGAAUGGAGUAUGGAAGGGGUAGAGAUGCAUGCUGAGAAGCUUGAAUCGGAGAUCGGAAAUUUCUCGAAGCUUUUGUUACUUGCACUUUGGUUAUGGUUUCCUUAAUUUUGGUCUUAAGUGGGUCAGGACAUAUUUGUGUGGGUUUUUAAUUUUUUUUUUAAAAAUAAUUAAAAAAUUGGGUAAGUUAUUGAGAUGGUGCCACAUGUAUUUCCGUUUGAUUAAAGGGUAUGUAUGGUCCAAAAGUAUGACGGUAGGGAUACAUACGACCUUAAAGUAUGAUGGAUGAUAUAUACUUACCAUUUUUUAAAGUUCGGAGGUAUAUUUGACCUUUUACCCUUUCCAAAAUAACUUGAGUUGCAUAAGGUCACAGUCAUAGUGGGGUCGUUUUCUGCACUGUUUUCAAUUGCAUAGGUUUUGUUUAUUCACCUCAAGUCAUUCUUGCUGCAAUGCCAAUUUCAAUAAGUCAGUCAUGACAUCCACAAUUUGUAAUCAAAACUUUAGCAUUGAUCAGAACAAUUCUUGAAAUUCUAUGGAUAUUUUUCUCGGAAUCAGCUUGAUUCUUGAAGAGCUUCCUUUUACCAGCGGUGUCCAGGCUAACUUGUGCAGACCUAGACUGAUCUACCUGGUAUAUGUGUCCUCCCACUAGUAGAGGUAUUGUGUGAUUCUUCCCACCAAGACUUUAGCAGAUGAAGAACUGACCUUAUAUUUUUGUCUCAUCAUGUGCCCCUGAUUUUCAUGGAACCUUUUUUGACAGCUACACUACAUACUUGGGUGCUGAACUUGCUUAAGUUAUAUUUUAUUUAUAGUAAGCAGCAAGUGAACAUGACGGCAUAUCUGGUGAGAAAGGAAAAAGAGGAAAAUGAGAUUAGUCUAGAGGUGCAUUUAAAGUUGUGCUUGAUAUAGUCGUUUUUCCAUAUAACCUUUAAAAUUCAAGUAUUCACGGUAAAGAAAAUGGUAGAAAACAUUAGAUUCUGGUAUCUAUUCUUGAGUCAGAUGUAUUUCCUUGUGUUCCUUGUGAGUCAGGAGAGUGAUUCUUUUCAAAUAUUAUCUGUUAAGCAUUAUAGCAUUCAUUUAUGAAGUUUGAAUGAAGUUGCAGGUUUGAUGGGAAUGAGUCCUUGGAGGGAAGAGCUUCAGUGAAGGAAAUAAACAUCCAUAAUUAUGGUGGUAAAAGUGAAGGAAAAAGCCUCAUCUUUUGCUCAUCUCAGAGCUUGUCUGGAUCUAUGUAUCAGGAUUGUAAUGAUGUUAGCAUUGGUCCUCAAAGUGGGAAUUCUGAUGAGAGAAGUAGUACCAACGAUCUGUGCCUUCUGUUCGAUUACAAAACCUGUGGGAAUUCAGGAUUCAUUGGCCAUGAAUGUAAAUUAAGUUUAAGUGGUCUUGAUAUUCACUGCCACCGUUUUAUAAUUGGAGUUUUGGUAGGAUUUAUUGAUAAAUUAUCUAAUAUCAGACCUUCUCUUCGAGUUGUGGACAACCCUGUAGUGAAUGGUGAGAAUUGUGUUCCUACUUCUGCUUCUUCGCUUCAAAAUUCUGGUUCUUCCAACUUCUUUGAAACCUCCUUCUCUGAAUGGGCAACUGUUUCAUUGGAUCAGUUCCCUUUCAUUACCCUAAAAGAUAUUGAUUCUUUUCGUAAUCUUGGAGGUUUCUCAAAUGAUAAUACUCCUGAGUGGAGGAAGGUUCUUAAUUUAAGAGACUGGAAGGACAGCAAUCCUAAGGACGACAUAGAAGAUAGAUCUAACAGUCAGCUUCCAAUUUCAGUUAAUUCUUCUUUUCAAGUUUAUGGUGCUAAAAGGGCGUAUUUCAUUGACUUGGAGCUCAGCAACAGUCGAGUUCAUUUUCAUGAAUCCUCUUACAUAAUUGGAACUCUUCUGUUUCCAAAUGUCAAGUCUGCAUUGUGUAUUUGCGCCGACUAUCUGGAUGUACUUUGCUGUGCAGAGGGGUUGGUUCUUUCUUCUCUACAAUGGACUCAAAUGAUGCAGGAUUUCCUUUGGGGUCCCUUGGAAUCCACUUUCCCUCCAACUUUAAAGUUGCGUGUCUGGAAAGAGAGUGUAAAGUCUCCGUUGAAAAUGAGUUUAAGUAUCAAGCACGUGUCUUGUGUUUUACCGCCUGAGUUCCUUGCAGUUAUCAUUGGUUAUUUUACCUUACCUGAUUUGAGCUCUAGUACAGAUGGAUUGCCUAUUACUGAAAGCUCCGACUCUAAUACUUCAAAAGAUAAUGUAUGCACUUCAUUCAUGUUUGAGAUACUGGACUCCAACUUAUUUAUACCAACAGGGAGCAGCGUAUCUCAAUUUCUGAAGCUUGAUAUACAACGGUUAUACUCUAGUUUCACGGAAAAUGGUGAAGCAAAGUUUGUGCUGAAGGAUAUUCCUAUGGAGUGCUUGGUUACAGAAGAUGAAAUUGCUCACAGAAAUGAUUGUUUAAACUUUUUUGGAUAUGACUUAUCACUAUCUUUGAUGCUAUUGGAAGAAGCAGAUAAUUUGUCAGGUUCUUUUUAUGGCCCCACUUGGACAAAUAUCAACUUGAUUGCGCCAUUUAGUGCCGAUGUAUGGGUGAGAUUACCAUCCCAAUGUGAAUGUUGUGAUGUUGUAUCCUGUUAUCCAAGUUGCAUUAUGACAAUAGUCAAGGAUUGUCAACUCAAUGCUGAAGGUAAGAAACAGAUUUCUGUCAUAUGUUUUCUCGAGUAUUGAAGCAAAACUUUUGGCACCUCAGUAUUUGCUGUGUCUUUGUCCACAGGUGCAUCACUCGUGAAUGGAUGUGAAGCAAUGAUGGAUGUCAUAGAUCAGUUUUCCUUGGUUGCUAAACAAGCUGAAGCAUUCAAAUCUGAUACCUUACAGUUUUUUCUACACAGGGAGGGAAAAGAGGGACAAACCGCUUCUCCACGUCAAGGCUCUCUUGAAAAUUUCAUGACAAUCCGAGCGUCUGUGAGGUCAAUGUCCAUAAAAUUGCGACAACAUAAAGGAGAAUCAGUUGCUUCUGACCUUAUUGGGGAAGCUAACAUGCAGUUUCUUUGUUCUGCCUCUUUAAAAAAUGAUGAGCUCUUAAGGCUGAAGAUCUCCUUCUCUUAUCUACAGAUAUUCUCGUCUCUUAACUCUGUUUUGCUUGCUGAAUGCUGUUCUAAAUCUGGCUCUCCAGUUAUUGUGAUAACCUUUUCAUUGUCUGAUCAGGGUGAAAGUAUGCUUUCUGUUUCUCUGCCUUCGCUAGAUGUUUGGAUACAUAUGUCUGACUGGGUUGCAAUCAUCAAUGUACUCCAGUCUUCUUCAACCAAACAAUCCAAUACCUUAAUGACAAACUCAUUAUCAAACAAUAUGGCAUAUGUCCCUGUUGACCAACUCAGGGAUGGUGAAAAUGAUGGUCCGCAAAAUUCCCAUCCAUGUCCUAAUAUUUUAUCUACUGAAGAAAAUGUAAGGCAUGAUACUGGAGUUCAUUCUGUUGAGUUGGAAACUAUCUGUCUCCGAAUUCAUAUUCCUGCUUGGGUUAGAAAAGAUGCUUUUAUUAUAUCGGAGGUGAAGCAGGGUGACAACCACAUGAAUGAUUUACGAAACACGAUUUAUGGACAUCGACAUGGAUUUUUCACUGUUGGCUUUCAAGCUAGGAAUAGUAAACUGUUUUACUUGGGGACCGUUAUGAGACUGAAACUUGAUCUAGAUAAAACCUGGGGUACAGUGGAGCUUGUGAAGGAUGAUAACACACGCUCGUGGCCCCUGUUUGAACUAUUUCAAGUGAACCUUGAUGCUGCAGUUUGCACUAGUUGCAUUAAGCAUAUCCAUGGGAAGGUGGAUCUUCAGUGUCAUUGCCUGGAUGUAUGGCUGUCAGAUCACAUUCUUUAUUUCUGGCAGUUUGUGGAUUUUGAAGGUCCAGCAGCUGGGCCUUCUCAAUUUAGUUUCAGUCAAGUGAACUUUGAUAUCCAACUUAGAAAGUUCUCUCUUCUUUUGGCUGAUGGAAAGGUGAUUUCCACUCCAUAACACUGUCCCUAUUUACAUCAUUUCUGUAGUUUGCCUUUGCUAGAUUGGGCUCCAAGAUUGAUUGUGAUAACUUGAUCUGCCUCAAUUCUCUUAAAUUUCAUUAUUAUCCUUAGAAGUUUUAAUAAUUUAUGCUUUUAACAGACAACACUAGAAAGUAGUAGACCACCAUCAUAUUUCCUUUAAUGCGUCCUUUCAUUUCCCCUUUAUUUGGGAACAAUAGAUUGACUGUUCAGGACAGGAGUUAUUUCUCAGUGGUAACUGAUAUCUGUUUUGCUGGAAUUCAUAUUUUCUUAGCUGCUGCACGGAACUUCUCUUGCAGGAUCUCAUAUACUCUAUAUGAAUUUCGUCGUUGACAUUGAGUGAAGUUAUGAACAUUCAUGCUUCUCGAAUGCAGUUUCAAACUUCUGAAAUUGAGUUCGGCCCAAAUUUUCAUUUUCUUUACAUGUUAAUUGAACCCCAACAUCCCUAUUUUGGUUAACCCAAUGCUUCACCACCAAUCUUAUAUUGUCCCGGCUUUUAAAUGUCCUGCUCCUGCCUGCUGACGAAGUAUUAAAAUAUCCACAUUGGUUGAGGGAAGGGUUAUCGUAUCCCUAUAUGCUUCUGGACAUCUUCACCUUAUUAGCUAGAAUUUUAGUUAAGUUUGGCCUAAUAUCCAUUUUCUUUACAACUAUGCUCAUAUUUUCUUGAAAAUAGUGUCAUGGUUCUUUUAUCCUCACUGUCAAACUCCUUUGCACUGAACUGGGAAGAGUUUCUUUUCAUGCUUGUUGUUUCUUUCCAGUAUUUCCUUUGUUUAUCUUUUGAGUGCAAUGAGGUAUUGUUCUUUGAUCAUCUCUACUGCUAAUUGUAUCACAUAAUUGCCUGUUUUCUUCUGCUACAUACGUUUUGCUAAUAUGUAUAUAUUUUUCUGUAGUGGAGUUCAAGCGGACCUUUGCUGGAGUUACUUGUGACAAACUUGCUUCUUCACUCAAAUGUAGCUGGAAAUGAAAUGGAGGGUUUGGUGAAGUGUGAAGUCGAAGUGAACUAUAAUAACAUUGACAUGGUAGAGAUGACAAAAUCAUGAUAUAUCUUCUUUUGAUUCUGAUUCACUAAUUUCUGUUCUCUAUUUGGACAAUAGGUCUCGUGGGAGCCUUUCCUAGAGCCCUGGGAAAUCCAGCUAAGCAUAAAAAGGCAUGAUGACAGUUCCCUUCUGAGUAGUGAUGUUACUAGCAAUCUUCAUAUCAAGUCGACAACUCAACUUAACUUGAAUCUUACUGAGUCCCUUAUUGAGGUACUUUGGUUUUCUUGUUCUACAGGCAAACCCUAUGUUGCAUUCAUUGAUAAAAAAUACCAAUUGAGAAGUUCUAUUAUGUUCACCAUGGAAUUUGGUAAAGCUGUUUGUAUCUGUCCUUAUUCAUUAUUCUUUAUCAGGCUAUCAAUGUGCUGACUGUCAUUGUGGAAUCAAUGAUAAGAAAUAAGCUGUUUUACUUUGGCAUUGAUAAAUGACACACUUGUGAGGGUAUGGGCUGUACUCCCUUUAUAUGGUUUUGGGUAAUCUUAUCUCAUUAACUAGGGUUUAGGGGAGAGUUAGGUCUAAGAUCUAUAUCCUGACAUUGUAUCCUAGCAUGCCUCAUCCCUAUUUUUGGUUUACCUAAUGUUGAACCCCCAUGUUAUGUUGGUCAGGCUCCAAAUGUCAAUCCUGGGUGUUCAAAAGGGUGCUGAGAGUCCUUCAUUGGUGAAGGACGACGCCCUGAAGUCUCUUUAUAUGCUCUUGUGUUUAAGUCUAAGGUCCAAUUUUCUUGACAGAAGCUCCUUAGACCUUCCCUUAUUCUCCCCUUCCCAAAUUAUUUAUUUAUUAUUUUGUAAUUUUCCCUUAAGGUUUAAUUGUCUAUUUCCAGGCGAAGAAAUUAACAAAUAUUUAAUAUUGCAUUAUCAAACACAAAAGUAUGUAUCAGUUGAUAACUUGAUAUCUAAUAACAAAUGAUCAGUAUUAUCCACUCAUAUAAACUCAACCGUGGCUCAUAAUAUGCUAGAUUAAUUUGCUGCAUCUUUGAAAAUGAUAUGACUAAGCAUAAAUUAGCCAGGUCAUCCUUUGGGAAGUGAUUAUAUCACUCAAUAUCCCCAAUCCAGAAUUGUUUGGGUCAACUACAUUAAUCAUCUCUGUCCAUAGUCAGAUAUUCAUCAUAGGUUGGUUACAUUUUAUGCUGGAUGUUAACCUGGCACAACUUGGUCCUCCUUUAUUAAAUAUUGGGACUCAAUGUGUUUUACAAAAGCUCAAAUAGAUGAGUUCCUUGGUUAAAAUGAGUGGGAAGGCUUUCUGUCAUUCCCUGAGGCUACCUCCUUGACGUAAACACGGGACCUAGGAUCACGAGUGACCCCAAGCUAACCCUGAAGGCUUUCUAUCACGCCCCGAGGCUACCCCCUUGACGUAAACACGGGACCUAGGAUCACGAGUGACCCCAAGCUAAUCCUGAAGCUGGCAUAUCAUAAGCAUACUAAACACAACUGAAUAAAGAGAUACUGUGCGGAAGCUAAAACAUGAGAUAACUGAAAGAUGGGGAAUAUGUCCGAUGUAUACGCCCCCAUCAAAAGGACCCAAUAUACCUUGUCAGAGGUAUAAAGGCAUGACUGACGUGAUCACUAAAUUUGAUGCCCACUGAGGGGACUUAUACUCCUACGGGGGCACGUAGUUUUGGGACUAUGAGGGUACGCUGAACCCUGGUCCAACUCGUUGCUAAGCUUACUCCCAACUGAAAAUGUAUCUGACACAACAUAACUGAAAUAUUGGAUAGCUCAAUAUUUUGACAUGCAAAUCUGAGAAUGUAACAUUUAAGUACUGACAAUGUAACAUUCAAAAAUUGGAGCAAGUAUAAUUCAUGAACUAAAUUUUUUUAUACAAUUAGGGCUUUGAGUUUCGUGCAAGGAACUAAGCAAACUUUUCAAGAAAACAAGCUAUUUCGAUUUAGGAUACUACAACAACUAAAUCACAACAAUUAUCCAAGGUUUUAGAAACCUUAGGUCUAAACAAAAUAUGGAGAAUCAAGAAUCUGACUGAAUUCUAGGGACCUGGUGGACGAAAGGAAUCUACUAGUGAAAUCCCACAUACCUGGUGACCAAAUCUAUGGAGAAAUCCUUCGAUUUCGGGGUUGAAACUUUAAGCAAACCUUCUGAUUGUUCUUGGGAAACUGUCGCUUCUUUCUUCUCCUUUUUGCUUUAAGCUUGGGUGAUUUUUGGUGAAUAAAGGUUCUGGGUAUGUUUGACUAAGUUAUUAGGCUUAAACUGAAUAAACGACGUAGCUUAGACAUCAAAUGACGUAGUUUAAGUGCCCAACACAUAGGGGAAAGGACCAAAACGACCCUGACUUAAAUCUGACGAGUGCCACCUACUACAGAACUGACAGGCCGUCGGUUGACCUACCAACCGUCGGUAGGAGUCGUCGGUCAAGCCCUGCCCGACAGGGUUUCACUAAAACGAGCAUAACUUCUUACUUGGAAAGAGGAUUCAAUUAUCUUUCAUUUGAUAGGUCGUGGGCCACCUAAUUCAUUAUGUGCUAAAAGAUAUGACCGUUUGAAGUUGACCCAACAACAAUUUUCCUCUAAUUGGCUGUUGACCCUCACCUACGGUUCGUAGGUCCAACCAUACGGUCGACCGUGGGUGGGAUCAGAGACCAUAAAACUUUGGACCCCAACGACGGAACCAUCCUACGGUCCGUGAGUCAAUCAACGGACCGUGGUUCAAGACCGUAUGUGUCAUCUUUAGAUUCUGAAAUUCCCCCAAGUCUGGGACUGAACCACGGGACCCCACCUACGGUCCGUGGUCUAUGGUCCGUGGGUGGUUUCCGUUGGUUCUGACACCAAAUUCUGGAAAGCUGCAUUUUCUAUUUUCUUGAGUCCGAGGUGUUACACUUUCCUUUUUAAGGAGAACAAUGAUCCCUAAUUUCGGUAGAGGGGCAGCUCAUUACCCACCGAGUUUCAAACCGUGUGCCUCUGGCCUGGGGAUUUCUCUAAUAUAUGUAUGUGUACACACAGAGACAUAUAUGAGUUCAUUAUUUUAAAUACGCAACUAUUGUAAAGUUUUUUGUGUUAAAGAAAUACUCAUCCUUAGAUUCCUUUCAUCUGAUUGUGUUAUCAGAUUUCUUGCAAUAUGCUCACAAAAUAUUGAAUGAAUUAGGACAUAUUGCACCAUGUAAAACUUUCUACCGAACUUACUGAUACAUUUCUCUUUCUUUUUUCUUGCCGUUUGGUGAAGGUUGUUUCUAGGACAAUCGAGAUGAUUAAAAAUGCAGGGGAUCUGGCGCAGAUGGCUGCUCAUUCUGAAAUCCCAUCAUUCUUAAAUUCUCAGAGAAGUGAAAAUCUGGAUACCGGGAGUUCUCCUCCUUACAUACUGCAAAAUUUGACUUCGUUGCCUUUAGAGUUUCAUGUCUAUCAACAGCGGCAGAGUGGUUAUGGCUUAGAAGUAUCCUCCAUGAAAAGUAGAAAGUAUUUACAACCAGGAUCUUCUAUUCCAGUUUAUGUUAGUGAAAGUCUUGAAGAUCAAAUUUUACGCUAUAGUCCGGCCCAAUCCUGGGAACAACUUGGUGACAAAAAAUCGGUGGAGCCAUCACAUCAUUAUAUCAUUGUUCAACUUGAGGGAACGUCACUUCCUUCGGUUCCUAUUUCAAUGGAUCUUGUUGGGCUUAGGUACUUUGAAGUCGAUUUUUCCAAAUCAUCGAGGAAGCCUGAUGUUGAUACAACUAAGAAUGUUCCAAACAGUAGUAUAAACGAUGGAAAGAACAACAAAAUAGAAGAAAAAAGUGGUUUUAUCAUUCCUGUAGUGAUUGAUGUGUCCAUACAGAGGUACACGAAGAUGGUGCGAUUGUACUCAACUGUAAGUGCUAAUGCAGGUUAUAUUUUGUGCAGCUUUGAUUUACUGUACUGCUUUACAUAUUUCUUUUUUAUUACAGGUAAUAGUAUCAAAUGCAACUUCUGUGCCUCUUGAAGUACGGUUUGACAUUCCAUUUGGUGUUUCUCCAAAGGUAUAUUGGUAAAAUGAUUAGUAGAAAUCUCCGUAUCUCUAUCGGCAAAAAGGGAUAUUAGUAUCUAUUUAGUUUUGACUGGAUUUGUGUUCCUACACCUUCAUGUAACUUGUCUUUUCCCUUCUUUGUCAUUUCAGGUUCUGGACCCCAUUUAUCCUGGUCAACAAUUUCCUCUUCCAUUACAUUUGGCUGAAGCAGGCCGAGUGAGAUGGCGUCCUCUUGGUAAUUCUUACUUGUGGAGUGAAACCCACAGUAUUCCAAAUAUUCUUUCUAAUGAAAAUAAAAUCAGCUUUUUGCGCUCCUUUGUCUGCUAUCCAUCUCAUCCGAGCAGUGACCCUUUCCGCUGCUGCAUAUCUGUGCAUGAUUGGUGCUUACCUUCUGCUGUGUCACCAGAAAAAGGCUUUUCUUUGUCCAACAAUGUUCUAACACAGACCAAUAAACCUCAUAAUAAUGUAACUUACAUGGUUAAGCCCGAGAAGAGGAAUGUGCAUCAGUUGACUUUAAGCAGUCCAUUAGUAUUGAAGAACUAUCUACCGGAGACGGUAUCUGUGACAAUAGAAAAUGCUGGUGUUUGUCGUACUGCAGCUGUGUCAGAGGUAUGCACUAUGUUAUAGUAACUAUCUUUUUCAUGAAUUGAUUUAUUUUACUUUGUGUUCACCAGCACAAUUUUCCCCGUUUCCAGGUUGAAACUUCUUUCUUCCAUGUUGAUUCAUCACAUGACCUCAUAAUAACUUUCGAGAUGCAUGGAUAUAAACCUUCAGUUGUGAAAUUUCCACGUGCUGAAACAUUUGGUGAAAUAGCCAAGUUCAGCGGAACAAGGUUCUCUUUGUCGGAGACUAUUACUUUUGACCCUCAAUCAUCAGAUGGUACUGAUUGAAUCUUGCUUUCCUGUUCUUCUACCGGUGCCAGCAUUAUUAGUUCUCUCUUAUUAUUUUUUAUUCUUUAAUCUCCACUUUAUUAGGUCCUCUUUGUGUUGCAAUUGAGAAGGUGAUGGAUGCAUUUUGUGGAGCUCGUGAAAUAUGCAUUUCGGUUCCAUUUUUGCUCUUCAAUUGCACUGGUUUCCCACUGGUUGUCUCUGAAUCCAUUAAUUGGACAAAAGGCCAUUUUAGUGUUAUUACUUCUUGCUAUGAUGUGGACGAGCAGGACUUGGUUCUCCACAAGAAAGAUGGUCUGGGCAUUUUUUCUUCUAAUCAAUAUAUGGAUACACCUGCAAAUAGCAAUAGUCUGCCAGUAGCUCCCUUGAACAAUUACCUCGUUACAAAGUCACAUGACAGUAAAUUCUCUCAGGCGGAAUCGAUUUAUUUUGAUAAUUCAACAAAUUUUCAUCGAGGUUCACAGAAGCAUGAUAUAUAUGCUUCGAAAGCAUCGCUUCACAGGAGUAAGUCUUACACAAGCAGUCAAUCCAGCUUAAAGUCCUGUGGGUUAACAGAAGGUGAUGCUUGGAAGGUCAAUUGCCGGAUGUAUUCACCUAACCCAAGUUCGUCUUCUAGUGAAAUUAUGGUCAGACUCUGUAGAUAUCUACCAAAUUCACUGAUGAAUGACAUUCCUAAUGAUUCUUGGUCUAGUGCUUUUGCCCUUGUGCCGCCUACUGGUUCUAGCAGUGUAACAGUCCCACAACCAUCCAGGAAAUCUGGUUAUGUGAUUUCUGUUGGUGCUGUUGCAGCACCAUUUUUUGGCAGGACAAAAAUCAUUACCUUCCAGCCGAGGUACUCUACUAUGUCAAUAUUUUGUUAUUUACUACUAUCUUCAAGGUAUUUAUAUAGAAUCUUCCUGCAAGGAAUAUAUCUAUAAUAAAGCACCCAUAAUUCUACAGAUACGUAAUCAGUAAUGCAUGCAAUAAGGACCUGUAUUACAAGCAAAAAGGAACAGAUGAUGUUUUCACAUUGGAAUCUGGAAGGCAUUCUCAUAUUCAGUGGACAGAUACAUCGAGGUAUAUUGUGACAGUGUUGGCAUUUUCAUUGCUCAUUGAUAUCUCAAGUUACUUCUAAGACUCUGUUUGGUAUGGAAGAAAACAUUUUCCAGAAUUUGUUUUCCAAUUUUCCCAUGUUCUGUUGAAAAAGAAUUUUUGGAAAACAUUUUCUUUAGGAAAACAAGUUGCUUAAUCAUUGCCAAGGUGUCUGCUGCAUGACACAGUAACAAACUAUUUUGUAGCCACCUCAUCCAUGCCAUCCACUUUUUAAUUUGCUAUUAUCAUUGUCAAGGUUACUGUGAAACACUUGAUUCUCUUUAUGAAUUUGCUCGGAUCUAUAAAGGGUAAUUGAUGAGGGUGUGAUGAUUGUGUGAACAGAUAUUGUUAAAUGUGAGGGACCAUAUGUUGUGGGAAGUCAUUGGUAAGAUGUCGUUUCUGACACUAUUCUUAUGAAACAAGUGAUUAGUUAAGUCUGGGAGGCAAUACGUUUUAAUUUUGGACGAACGAAAAUCAGAAUUGUGAUUCGCGUAAAUUUCGUUCCCUUUUUUUUCUUCUUAUUCUUGUUAUUUAUUAAAUGUGUCAAUGUUUCCCAGGGAGUUGCUAGUCUCUAUUCAAUUUGCUGAACCUGGAUGGCAAUGGUCUGGUUGCUUCUUGCCAGAACAUCUAGGUGAUACUCAGGUUAAAAUGCGAAAUUUUCUCUCUGGUGCUGUGAACAUGAUAUGUGUGGAAGUUCAGACUGCUGAUGUCUCAAUUAGAGAUGAUAAAAUCGUUGGCAGCCCUCAUGGUCAGUCGGGAACAAACCUGAUUCUUGUGUCAGAAGAUGAUACUGGCUUUAUGCCAUACCGUAUUGACAAUUUCUCCCAAGAGGUAUUUUCCUUCAAUGCAAUACAAUAGUUUGUAACUUUGUAUUUGUUAAGUGCCCGGCAUUGGUGGUGGGAUGGGUUAUUUGUCUCCAUAUAUGGUUUUGUGUAAUCCUCACUUCAUGACAUAACUUCUCGGAUUGAGUUAGGCCCAAGAUCCAUUUCUUAUCAUGGUACCAGAGCAGGCAAAUGUACUCAGUUUAAGUCUUUCCACAACUAGAUUGUCAAAAAGAAAUUUUUUAAGUUCUUGACCCAUGAAAAAGAAUCUGGUGUGUAUAUGAAAAUUCAUUUUGACAAUUUUUGGGUUGUGACAUGUGAAACUUCGAUGUGUGUGGUCUGAUACCAUGAUACAAGAUGGAUCUUGGGUCUAACUCAACUCAAAAGUUAGCUCAUGCCCAAAACCAUUUGAGAAAAGACGAAUAAGCCAUCCCUCAACAAAUGUGGGACAACAUUAUUAGCCACAACAAGACAUGAAAAAUAUUUUCUAAUUUUUUUGUUACCAUAAGAAACUUACUUUAAAGUCACCUUCAAUAGUUUCACCACCGCCACCCUAAUUAUCUGUCUAAGACGUGUUAUCAAAAGCGCAAAAAAGUUCUAAGGUAUUUGGGGUUUUACAUGCAAAUAAAGCGUGGACUGUAAGCGCAAAUGGAGAUAAAAUACAAAUAUAUAUAUAUCAAUUGUUUAGUGUGGCCUCUUUGGGAAACACUCAUUGGAAGGGAAAAGUAUGUCUUAGAGUCUUGAUGACAACACCGAAGUGCACAUUAAGCUAGGUGAAAUGCUCAACGUGUUUUGAGUCUCGCUUCAGGGCCUAAGCGUGCCUUUGAUAACACUGGUCUAAGUUUGAUUGGAAUAAGAUAAGAUCUCAUUGCUGAGUGGCGUAGGAUACUAGUAGCAAAUUUAUAUUGUGAACAAAUGCAAGGUUGGAGAAUGACACCACGAGAUGAAAAUAAAUGUCUAAAACUAGAGACAAUUGUAGGAUACUGUGACAUAUUUCUGCAGCAAAUUCUUUAUAUAGAUGUAAGCUACCAAAAGGAAAACAUUUAACAUAUAUUCUUAUUUAUGAACAAUGGACUAAAGUUAUUCAACUAAAAAGAACAUAAAGUAUCUAAAAGUCUAGUGAAUGUCAUUGGGUUUGCUCAUUUUAAAAAGGUGCAUGGGUGAUUUCCAUCUCUAAUUUGCACACUACUGUCCUUGUUUUCCUUGAGUAGCAACUUUUAACAUCUAAAUAAAUUAUUGUUUUAGUUGGUUUUUCAACAUGGUACCCACAUGUGGGAAAUUUACUUUAUUUGAGGGAAGUACGGUAAGAUAUCAUCAAUUCAUUUUGUGUGUAUCUGACCAGUUAACCUCAUCUAAAAGCUUCAGCUACCUAGAGGAGAUCCAUAUCUUAUCCAAUAUAUUUUGUCGGAGACCUUUAAGUUUAUAAUAUAAGGAAGGUCGAAGAUUUCGUCAAGUAAAUUGAUAUCUUUUCAAGUUUUUCCCCUGGCAGUUUGUUUUAGGUUAAGUAUUAAAUUACAUAGUCAUCCCUAAUCCUCAGAUUAAGAUAUCUACUGAAUAAGGAAAUAUUGGUUUAAUCACUUAGCAAACUCAUCAAAAUUAUGGAAUUGAUUAGUGAAUUGUUCUUUUUUAUCAAGUGAUGUUUGCAUAGAUAAUAACAAGGCCAACUUGGCCGUAUAUAAGAGAUAUACCAAAAAAGGAGAAACUUACAGAAUAUGGUUUUCUCCAAAGGACACCCAAUCCUCUAUACAAACAGGAAAUAUAUGGGCCGAAGAAAAUAAAGGAUCGGAGACUAAAUGAUUUACCAUCACUAAGUCCACUAAGUUCCUCAACUCCCUUGUUUUAGGUGUCAAAAGGAUUAGGCCUUUCAGAUGUGGUAAAAGUUUACCACCUCUAGGAAGUAAAUUUAAACUCAACUGAGAAGAGUGUUAACCUUAAAUUAUCCUAAAAUUCCACCAAUUUUUUUAGACAUCUUGUGCUCUAGUAGUUUCUCUCCAUUCUGGUAAUAUCAAAUCAGAAAAAAUGGGAUAUGGAGUGCUGGUGCCCUUUUAAUUUUAUAGUUUUAUUAAUGGUGAAAAACUUGAUAUAUAUUUCUGUCCUAUGUUACAAGCUUGUUCAUUCCAAUUUUUUACCAGCAUAUUAAAUGUUAGUUUUCAGCUUAGUUGAUCUUUAACUAAUUCACCUUUUUCUUCUUUGUUUAUUCAAGCGGCUACGUGUUUAUCAACAAAGGUGUGAAACUUUUGAAACUAUGGUACAUUCCUACACUUCUUGCCCUUAUGCGUGGGAUGAACCCUGCUAUCCACAUCGUCUCACUAUUGAGGUAUGUUUUGCUAUAUUUAAAAGCUAAAUGGUUUUUAAGCAGGUCUCUGUUCGUAAAGUUUUCUCUGGAUCUUUUAGGUUCCGGGGGAACGUGUUAUAGGAUCAUAUGCUCUAGAUGACGUAAAAGACUAUGCACCCAUUUACCUACCUGCCACUCCUGAGGUAAUUCACUUUCUAUAAUUCAGUUUGUAAAGUUUAAGCAGAGUUUGUACUCACCAUAUUACUUUUUCAUACUUUACCCAAAUCCUAUUCUUGCUGUUGUCAUAGCCUGGUAAUACCAACACCUGUUGGUUUGUUCUGUAAAUUAGAAAAUAUCAGAAGUCUGUACUUGAAUUAUUAAUUCUAAAAUAAUGUUGCCUUAAAUAUCAAUUCUGUUGUCUGAACUAGUUAGACCAGUAUACACCAAUAACCUAAUUCUAUAUAAAAAUAUAUUUUCUUGUAACAAAAGACCAACAAUAUUUUGCUACAAAUAUUAUCAUGAAUUCCUUAAAGCCGUUUAAAUGGAGCUACAACCUGUUUAUUGAUCAGUUGGAAAGGAAACAUACAAGAUAAAGGAGAACUUCAAAAGGGAUUAUAUUUUAUCCUCAAUUUCGAAAGUGGAAAGAGGACUUUCACUUCCUUAGGCAAAGAAAAAGGAUGCCCCCUAAUAACCUUUUCCAUUUUCGAUUUUUUUUUUCUGAUUAAAAAAAAAUAUCAGAACUUUGCUGAUCCUAUGUUGUUUCAUAACUUUGCUCCUGGUUUGUGCAUGUAUUUGGUGGUGUAUAUUGAUGAUAUAGUCAUAACAGGUAAUGAUGAAGAAGAAAUUACCAAAUUGAAACAUAACCUCUUUUAGCACUUUCAUACCAAGGACCUUAAUCAAUUAAGUUGCUUCACAUAGGAAGUAUGCUCUUAAUAUUCUUGAGACAGGAGUGUCAAAUGUAGACCUAUUGAUACUCUGAUGGAUCCAAAUAUUAAAUUCUACCAGGUUAUAGGAAGCCCUAAGUGAUUCUGGAAGAUAUAGGAGGUUGAUGGCAAGUUAAAUUACCUCAAGGUGAAACAACCUGACAUUGCUUCCUGAUAUAUGUUAGAAGUCAGUUAUUGGAUUCCCCUUGUGACAGUCGUUGGGAUGCAGUUAUGUGUAUCCGUCGACACAUAAAAUCUGCUCCAAUGAAAUGACUGUUACCCAAAGACUGAGAGUAAUUUGUUGGAUAUACAGAUGCAAAUUGGGCAGGGUUGCCAUUUGACAAACGAUCCAACUCUGGAUAAUACGUUGUAGUUGAGGGAAAUUUAUUGUUUUAGAAAAGUAAGAAACAAAUUGUAGUUGCUAGAUUGAGUUCACAAGCAGAAUAUCAGGCACGAGCUAUAUGUGAACUCAUAUAGUUCAAGCAACUACAUAAAGAAUUGAAAUUUAGAGAGAUUGGUUAAAUGGAACUUGUGUGUGACAAUCAGGUUUUACUUCAUAAUGGAUCAAAUCCAUUGUUUCGUGAGAGGCCCUAGCACUGAGAAAUUGAUUUGUCAUUUUCAUCAUAGAAAAGAUACAGUCUCAGAAGACAUGUCACAAAGUUCAAGCAGUCAAAGGAUCAACACCCAGAUAUAUUCACCAAGCCCCUUGCCACAUAUAGAACACGUUGUAUAUGUAUUAAGUUUGGUACAUUUGGUUUGUAUGCACCAGCUUGAGAGAGUAUAUUAGAAUCUUGUGAAUAUACUCCCUCCGUUUUAAAAAGAAUGACCGCUUUUCCUUUUUAGUUUGUUUCAAAGAGAAUGACCCCUUUCCUUUUUUGGAAAUAUUUUAAUUUCAACUUUCCACAUGGCAUGUUUAAGGCCACAAGAUUAAAGGGCAUUUUGGUCAUUUGACAUAACUUUAAUUUAGGACGACAAGAUUGAAAAGUCUUCUUUAUUUUCUUAGACUUCGUGCCAAGUCAAACUAGGUCAUUCUUUUUUAAACGGAGGGAGUAGUAUGUAGCUUGUUUGUUCUUUUUAAUUAUGUAUUGUAGUUAUGUACUAAUUUUCUCUCCUUCCCUAAAACAUGUACAAUUAGUUAUUUGAAACCUCAUUAGCCGAGGGAUCAAUCAAGCUUUGUUUUCUCUCAAUUUCUCUUUCACAACAUUCAUGCAGAUGAAGCGAGAAAUAGGGCAAGUUGGAGCAUAAAGAUCCAAAUAGGCGAUGAUGAUACAAUUUAGAUAGGAUUAUGUUUAGCCAUGUUAAUAUAUUUAUCUUAGAGUUAGGCGAUGAAGGGGAGUCUUGGCGUAACUGGUAAAGUUGUUUCCAUGUGACCACGAGGUAACCAUUCGUCCUGUGGAAACAGUCUCUAGAAGAAAUGCAGGGUAAGGUUGUAGGUAGACCCUUGUGGUCCGGCCCUUCCCCCAUACCCCGCGUAUAGUGGGAGCUUAGUCCACCGUGCUUCCUUCUUAGUAUAUUUAGUUUACGCCCAAUGCCUUCUACGAAUCUUUUAGGACUGUCAAUGAUUUAUAUUCCAAUAGUAAAUAAAGAGGACUUUGUGUACCUUUUAUUUAUCUUUAUAUUUUAUUUAAUAUUGGAUUAAGAUGACCUUAAAAUAUGGACAAUGAGAAUUUAUAUAGCCUAUCUCAACUUAUUUGGAAUCAAGACAUAUUUGUUGUUGUUGUAGUAUAUAUAUAUAUAUAUAUAAUUGAAAGCAGAAACUGCACGUGUCUGUUUGUCUUGUUUUGUUCAAUUGUAAGAGAUCCUUGAUAUCUGUUCUUAGUGAAUGGUUUUCCACUUUUUGUAUGGCUUCAUAUAUAAGGUAGUUUUCUCAACUGGUCGGCAUUUGUCACAUUAUUUUUCAGUACAUGCUGAAAAAGUACCUUGUGAUUUAAAUCACUGACACAUGAAAUGUUGUAAGAUACUUGCUCAAAAUAGCAGACAGGUUAUAUCCUUGUGAAUUGGAGAACUUGGAUAUAUAAAGUCGAAAGUCUGGCUUGUGUGUAAAAGAGAAUUGCAGAAUACUACAAUCUUGUACUGAUCCAAAAAAAGUACAAAGUCGAUAGUUGAUGAUCUCUGCAUUGUGGUUCUUUUAUGUUGCUUUCAUCUACUAGUGCUUUCCUAAGGUUUAACAGCCUUACCAUUCUCUUAUUUUGUUUUGUAACAAGUUCCCUUAUCAUUCUCUUUAUAUUAAUCACAAUUCUCUAUAUUAUAUUUUAUAUGAGACCAUAAUUAAUAUUUUUCCAGCCAUUUAUAUGCUAAUCUAGUUACCUUUCUUACACAUGACGUCUGCUUACUUUUUUCAGAAGCCUCAAAGAACUCUGAUUGUGUCUGUCCACUCUGAAGGGGCAGUCAAGGUGCAUUGAUGAUGCUUUAAAUUUCAAGACCAUCAUUCUUUUCAUGUCUCUUUUAUAGUGAGUUUUAUUUUACAAAUACAGAUUCUGAGCAUCAUUGAUUCAAGUUACCAUGUAUUGAGUGGUUUGAAGGGUCCGCACAUCUAUGAGUCUAAAGAUAAAAAAAACCAGAUAGUGAAGCACGAAAAUUCUGCUGACUACAAGGAGAGAAUAUUGGUGGACAUUCCUUAUGUUGGCAUCUCUCUAAUAAGCUCUAUGCCAGAGGUACCUUCUAUAGUUGUAAGUGAAGAUUAUUAAAUUGUAAGCUUCAAUGCAAAAUGCUUUUGAGUUGUCAUACCAAUUCUUUUUCAGGAACUAUUUUUCGCUUGUGCAAGAGACAUCACAGUUGAUUUCACCCAGAGUGUAGAUCAACAGAGAUUCUCCUUGCAAAUCACAUCCUUGCAAAUUGAUAACCAGUUAACAUGUACACCUUACCCUGUCAUCUUGUCGUUUGAUGUUAGUAAGGGUAUUACUAGUGGAAUUAGGGCAGAAAGUGUUUUGGAGAGCUCACGAGAACCGGUUCUUUCAUUGGUGGUGACAAAGUGGAAGAAUCGGUAUCUGUCACUUGUUUCCUUCGAGCAGAUAAAUCUAAGGUCUGUAACUGAUUCAAAACAAAUGUACUGGUCUCGAACUCUAUCAACAUUUAUUAUGUUGUAUCACUGCCUGACUAGUCUAUUUUCUUGCAGAGUGGCAGAUUGUCAUCUUGAACUUGAUCAGGAUGUAAUCUUGAGUUUGUUUGAUUUUAUUAAAACGUUAUCUUCAAGGUUGCAGAGCAGAGUGUUACAGCACUCUAAUGCAACAGACCAUCAUCUUUUUGAUGGUGUUUCUAUUAUGAACACUUCUAACUCCAUAGAUUGGGCACCCAAGAAAUCAAAUGUGAAUGAAUACUACUCAGUUAAUAUUCCUGUGUUUCAAGAAAGCAGCAAUAGGACCUCUUUGCUACCUUCGAUAGUCCCUAUUGGAGCCCCCUGGCAACAGAUUCACCUUCUAGCCAAAAAGCAGAAGAAGAUUUAUGUUGAGUUGUUUGAUGUGGCACCAAUCAAGUUGACUUUAAGGUAAUUCAUAUCAUGUUUUCAUGUGACUUUACUGUAUGCUUAUAACAUUGAACUACUUCUUGUAGUUUCUCCAGCAGUCCCUGGUUGCUUCGAAAUGGAGUGCUUACAUCUGGAGAAUCUCUUAUACAUGUAAGGCUAUAUGAAGGAUGGUGGAAAUUUGAUGAUUUUCUAAAUUCUUAAUCAGCUUGAGAAACCAUCUUAUAACAAUACUGUUUAUUGCUAAAUUUCACUUAGCAAAAUUCAUUAUAUAUGUGCUUCUCAAGACAUAGGACAUUGACUUUCACAGAGGGGUCUUAUGGCACUUGCUGAUAUUGAGGGAGCACAAAUUCACCUUAAACAAGUAAUCCUUUCACAUCAGCUAGCUAGCUGGGAAUCCGUUCAAGAGAUACUUGUCGAGCAUUACACACGACAAUUUCUUCAUGAGAUGUACAAGGUAAAUUUCGGCACACCUUUAACUGUCUUCCCUGUAGUUAACUACUUAACCUCUGCUCCUCCUUCAGUAGAUGGGUAGAUGGAGAAUUUCUCUCCAAAUUCUCACACUCUUGUAUAACUCAAUUGACUGAACUCCUGUCAGAAGUGUGCGCACCACUCUGUUGCAGUUUUACUACCUAUUCUUGAGCCCCGUUGAAAGAAAAUUUCAGUACUUAAGAGUCGUCAGGCUUAGUCUGUAACAUGAUCUCAUCUCUGCUAGGGAUUUCAGUGGACUAGUUUCAGUAGAAGAGUUAGAGAAUUUGAACACUCAGAUAUUCUAAUCUAAAAAGAAAACAUUGUUCUUGAUACUUCUCCGGGCAAAACCCGACUGCUCCUUGAAUAUUAGGUCUAGGUUAGAGCAUCCCAGUUCUGACUCCUGAUACAAAUGUCAAGCAGAAUUUCAGGUCCCGGUAUAAAGCUUGAGGAGUUGAGUCUGCAAAAGGUCUAGGCUUUGCUUGCACUACAUAUCUGAUCUUGCAAUGUGAGCUUAAUUGAAAUAGAACAAGCUUCAAGAAGUCUCAUUAUAUUCAAUUUGUACUUUAAUGUGAAAGGUGUGUGAAGAGAGGUAAUUCCAAUAACAGCCUAAGUUUCUCAGUGGAUAUUUUAGACAUUGUUACCCAUUCUCAACUGGUUUUAGGUGGAAGAGUUUUCUCCACUGUCUGUCUUUGCUGGCAUGGCAGAGAUUCCCUGUUUUGCUUUUAGGACUCCCUUAGCUGUGCAGAAUGUAGAGUAAAGAGAAGGGGAGAAGAGCUUAUCCGAUCUACCAGAUGUAAAUGUAAAAUAUCUUUAAUUGGUUGGACCAAAAUAUACUCUGAACUUUGUGGGAAGACUAAUAGAUUGAGAAUCCAACUUUAAAUUAUCUGUCAAGGAACCACCUCGAUUGCAUGUUGUGUUUUGAUUGCCGUGUUUCAUAUUUUUGUACGGGAACUUCUAUGGUGUUAUACUCAAGAAGAUUGUACUAGUUACCUCAUUGUUGGUGCCCAAUAAUUAUUCUUCAUCUGCUGUAACACCUAAUGAUGGCAUCUGGCUUUUAAUCAAAUAUCUGGCUUUCUUUUAGGCAUUACAGAUUCUUCACAUCAUAGUAUCUCUCAUUAUCAACUAUCCCAAAUGCCUUGGCUAUAACUCUUAAAGCUCUAUGUAAUGUCUCUAAGAGAAAGAAAAGCAUAAGCUUGAAGAGAAGAGAGAAGAACCCUGGGAUGCUGCAGGAAUUAGAGGUGGGAAAACCUAGAUAUCUUACUAUGACUAGACCUGACAAUCGACAUUACUAAUGCUUCUGAACUUCAAUCCAUUUCUCCGAAUACCUAAAACUGGAAGUAGUUUUCCAGCUUAAAAUAGUACUUGCUUUUAACUGUGGAAUUAACAAAUUUCUGUAAUGAUGUCAUACUUGUGAUGAUUCAUAAAAAACCUUCCCGAUUAAGUGUUGUUUGUCACUCAGUGCUAUUCAGAUGAACUAAAUUUGUUGGUUUCCGUGUAAGUAUCCAUUUGCCUAUGUUGGUAAAUGAUUGAAAUAGCCAAGCUUUGAUUUAUUAUCUUCAAUCUGAUAGUUGCUCAUUUAUUAACUGGAUAAUUUGUUUCUUGCAAUGGUCUUAGUGGUUAUGGACAGUGAAAAAUGGUUGUUUGCUGCAGGUAUUUGGUUCAGCAGGAGUUAUCGGAAAUCCUAUGGGGUUUGCAAGGAGCAUGGGUCUUGGCCUCAAAGAUUUCUUGUCAGCUCCUGUACAAAGUGUUUUCCAGGUACCCUAUGCAUUAUCUGCUCUUUUAUCCUUCCAACUAGAUGUAAACCCAGCUCUUUCUGCAGACUCGUGCAGGGUUUAUUAAAGGCAUGGCACAAGGGACCUCUAGUCUUUUGAGUAACACCGUCUAUGCCUUAAGUGAUGCUGCCACCCAAUUCAGCAAAGCUGCACACAAGGUACUUUUGCAUCAAAUAACAUUUUCAAAUUCUGUAUGUUAUCUGACCCUCAUAUUAAUUUACUUCAUCUUGUAGGGUAUCGUGGCAUUUACUUUUGAUGAUCAGGCUGUCGGAAAUAUGGAAAGACAGCAGAAGGGAAUAUCAUCCCAUAGCAAAGGGGUGAUAAAUGAAUUUUUUGAGGUAUAUUAUUUUCAGUUCUUAGUCGCAUGGGGAUAGAGGCCUAUUCACUUCCUCUUUUAUUCCUUCGACUCUUCUUGCCUUUAGAAUAAUAUAGCUCCUUGGAGUCUCACUGUAUCUUAUGUGUAUCAAGACGUCACCGCUAAAGAAGGAUUAGCGUGUAUUGACAGUUAAUGUCUUGCAAUUUUGAUUCAUUUCUUUUUUGCAAUUCAUACCUAAGAAAGGGUUGAAAGAAGACUUGUUGGGUGGCAAAAGAGGUAUAUGUCAAAAGAUGGAAAUGAAGUGUUCAUGAAGAGAACCCUGUUGAGUGUUCAUCAAGUUGGUGCUUUAUUUCCAAAAACCCGGGAUAGGGAGUUGGUCAGUUUCUUAUAACAUUGUCUGGUUGUUGUUUUGUUUUUUAGUAAAUGUGAGAAGUAUAGGAGAAAAAUAUUAUUGAAUUGUGUAUCUACAUUAUUACACAGAGACUCUAUUUAUAGACACUAUAAUACAAUUCCUUACCAAGUAGGAUACUAUAUAUUAUUCCUAUUCCUAUUCUAAGUAGGAUUGUGUAUACCUAUUCCUUUUCUAACACUCCCCUCAAACUGGUGCAUACAAAUCAUAUGUACCUAACUUGUUGCAAAUGUAAUUAGUACGAGGACCAUUGAGGGACUUGGUGACGAUAUUGCAAGUUAACCACUUGACUUCACAAAUUUUGUAACAAUAUCUCUUUUCUCUGACAAAGUGACUAUCAAUCUCAACGUGCUUAGUCCUGUCAUGAAACACUAGAUUUCUUGUGAUAUGAAGGGCCGCUUGAUACACACAAGUUCCAUAUGACUGAUUUUUCCAAACUUUAGUUCUCUCAGCAAUUGCUUGAUCCAAACUAGCUCGCAAGUUGCUACAACCAUUGCUUGAUAUUCUAUUUCUGCACUAGAUCGAGUGAGCAACCAUUAUGUUUCUUACUCUUCCACGACACCAAAUUACCUCCUACUAAAACACAAUAUUAGGAUGUAGAACAUCUAUUAGAGGGUGAUCCUGCCUAAUCAGCGUAUGUAUGUCCGAUGAUAUGGUCAUAGCCUUGAUCCUCGAAAAGUAGUCCUUUAUCGGGAGCCGACUUUAUAUAUUGCACAAUACGAGUAACUGCAUCCCAAUGGCUAUCACAAGGGGAAGUGGAAAGUCCUCUUUCAGUUGUGGUCUAGUUGCGCUCUGUCGGUGAAAACCUCCUACUUCACAACAAGAGAUCGUAUUGGUGCUAUCUUGUUAAGAGGUCGUAAACUUAGGGCUUAGAGCCUUAUGCUCAUCCAAGAGAAAGAUUCCAUCCCAUCUUCAAAGCAAUGGUCUGCGACUCCGCAGCUUGCUUAGGUUAGGAGAUUCUGAUUUUUGUUCUAUCGUUAAGAGAAGGAUCAUAAGCGUAGUCCCAAGUUAAACAACUUAACAUCCACAAGAAAAGAGAUGUCAGGUCUAAUUACGGUGAGAUAAUUCAAGUUUCCAACCUAUAGUCUAUACCUUUCCGGAUUACUAAGUGGCUCCCUUUGUCCUGGAAGGAAUUUAACUUUUGGAUCCAUAGGAGUGUCAAUGGGUUAACAUCCCAACAUUCUUGUCUCUUUAGAAUGUCUAACGCAUACUUGCGCUGAGAAAUAACAAUACCGUAUCUAGAUUGAGCAACCUCAAUACCUAGAAACUACUCUAGUCCACCGAGGUCCUUAGUCUGGAAAUGUUGAAAGAGAUGUUGCUUCAAAUUAGUGAUACCGUCUUGAUCAUUAACCAAAUAAAUACAUAGAUUUGGUGUUGAAUGCUGACAAAACACAAAGUGAUCGGCUCCAUUACGAGUCAUGCGAAACUCUUGAAUUACUGUGCUGAAUUUUUCAAACUGGGCUCGAGGAAACUAUUUCAGACCAUAAAGUGACCUAUACAAUCGACAUACAAGGCUAAGACUCUCAAGAUUACUAGAUAGGCAUUCUUAGCAUUCUUACUAUCCAACUGUUGAAGAAGCCAAUGACGAACGAUAGCCAUAGAUAGAAAAAGAUGGAUAGAUGCUAUUUUAUCCACGAGAGUGUAAGUGUCACUAUAAUCUAGCCCAAAUAUUUGAGUAUACCCUUUGGCAACAAGGUGAGCAUUUAGCCGAUCAACCUGACCAUCUAGACCAAUUUUGAUUGCAUAAACCCAGUGGCAAGCAACCGUAUAUUUACCUAUAGGAAGAAAGACAAGCUCCCAAGUACCACUCGUAUGUAAAACAGACAUCUCAUCAAUCAUAGCCUGCCUCCAUCCAAAAUGAGAGUGUUUCACCUAUAGUCUGAGAAAUGGAAAUAGAGGACAAAGAUGAUCCAAAGGCAUAAUGUGGUGAAUGAUGAUGAUAACUCAAGAAAGUAUAAUGUGGGUUAGCAUUUCAAGUGGAUCGUAUACCUUUUUGAAGUGCAGUCGGUUGGCUACAAGGAGGCAAGUCUGUAGUAGGAGCAGGGUCCAAUGCAUGACAUGAAUCAUCUGAGACUAGUGUUGGAUACGGACGACAAUGAUAAGUCUGGAAUGGUGGCACAACAACUGGAGAUGUAGAAGUAACUGCAGAUUCCUCAAAAGUCAGUACAUGUACGACCUGAGGUAUGAGUAAGACCUCAAGACAUCAGGAUGAUCAAAAGAUGUAUAGUAAUGUUGAGAUUCAAAGAAUGUGACAUUGGCGGACUUCAAUGGGUUAUCGGCUGAAAAAGAUUCUAUCAUAUGGAAACACACUCGAGAUGGAAGCCUUUCUGUUAACAAGCUAUAUAUUAAGGAGGUGAAGGAGCAUCCUGGUGAGCUUGGCCCCUGGAAGUAGAUUUGGAGGAACAAGGUGCCAACCAAGAUAAAGUGUUUCUCUUGGUUGGUUGCUAAAAGAGCAUGCUCCACACAUGAGAAAUUGAAAAGGAGGGGUUUCUAUAUUGCCUCUUGGUGCUCUCUCUGUAAUGAGACUGAGGAAACCAACAACCACUUGUUCCUCCAUUGCAGAGUGACAACACAAUUGUGGAACCUUUUUUUGGGACCAACACAUGCAUAACGGAUUAUGCCUGAGCAUACAACAGAUCUACUUUGCUGAUCCAGCAGAAGGGGGAGAAAAUCUAAGAAAAAGUGGUGGAAUAUAAUACUAUCAUGCAUUUGGUGGUCUAUUUGGAAAGAAAGAAAUAGCAGAUGCUAUUAUAACAAGGCUAAUUCAAUAGAGAAAGUCAAAUGGAACUGCUUGACUACUUUUUAUUUUUGGUGUAAAGAGGAAGGGAUAGAAGAAGAUGCAAAAAUUUUGGAUUUUAUAGGCACUUUGUAAUCUGUUAGCCUUUUUUGUUUUUCUCUCUUGUUGGAAACCAAUUUUUGGAGGUCUCCAUCAUGUCCUUAAUGUUGAGGAAUACAACAUUAUCUUUCUAAAAAAAAAAAGUAUCGAUGAAGACCAGAUAAAUAACAACGAUGCCCUUUUUGAACUCGAGAGUAAUCAAGAAACACACAUUUGAGAGCAUGAGGGAUAAUUCAUCUUUCUUUGGGGCUAAGUUAUGAGCAUGUUCUCCCAAAGACACGAGGGGGGAUAGAGUAGAGAUGUGACUGAGGAAAUAGUAUGGAAUGUGGAACCUGAUUCUGAAUAGAAGAUCAGGGUAUUCUAUUAAUUAAAUAAUAAGACGCAAGAACUACAUCUCCCCAAAAAUGCAACGAAACAUGGGAUUCAAUGAGAAGUGUGAGUAGUCUCAAUGAGAUGCUUAUUCUUCCUUUACACCGUUUUGUUGAGGGGUGUACGACAUCUUGUUUGGCAAAUAAUUCCUUGGUGAGUCAUAAACUCCUAAAAUUGGGAGGACAAGUGGUCUAAGGUAUUAUCACUACGAAAACUAUGAAUAGAAACUAAAUGGUCAUGCCAAAAUUCAAGUUAGUGGGGAAAUUGAUGAUGAUGUCACAUUGUAUUGGUACAAGGUGGAUGAAAUGGAGCUCAUCUCCAGAGUUCUGUGUGAUAAGAAGAUGUCACCAAAACUUAAUGGCAAGAUCUAUAGGAUAGUGGUUAGACCAAUAAUGUUGUAUGGGGCAGAGUAUUGGCCCGUCAACAAUUCUCAUGUUCAAAAGAUGAAAGUUGCAAAAAUGAGAAUGUUGAGAUAGAUGCAUGGGCUUGACGCAACUUCAUCUUACCAAGGACAUGACGUUAGAUAGGAGGUUAUGGAGGAUACAUAUUAGGGUCUAGGGUAAGUAGAUAGUUGAGUGUUGUCUCGCUUACCCUUUCAUACUAGUAGUCAUUGUAGUUUCUUGGUCUUCCAUUUCUGUUACUAUCUGUUGUUUCUUCUACUUCGACUAUAGUAUUAUUUUGUUAUAGUUAUUGUUCUUUUGUUCGAUGGCUUUGUAAUGCUAUCUUUAAUAUUUUGUCGUCGCUUCUUCACUUUGGUAUUUCUUUCCCGAGUUGCUUUUCAAUGCUUUUCAUUGAGCCGAGGUCUUUCAGAAACAACAUAUCCUUCCGAGACCCCACUUGUGGGAUUACACUGGGUAUUUUGUUAUUUUUGGUGCACUCGUGAGAUUUCUAUUUGUACGGAUGAAUGUCUGACCAUGGUAGAGAACGAUCAACUUUUGUAGGUUCUCUUUUUUGGUUUACUACUUUUAUAUGGGAGUUUCCCCCUUUUAUUAAUAAAAUUAUUCCUUCAUUAAAACAAAAUAUUAAAAAAAUUGGUACCUAUUUUUGAUUUGUAGGGUCUGACUGGCCUAUUGCAAUCACCUAUUAAAGGGGCAGAGAGACAUGGCCUUCCAGGAGUUCUCUCAGGUAUCAAGUUUAUCCAUGCUAUUCUUCUGGUCACUAUUGCAGGAAAAUUGAAGCUCCUGGGAAGUGAAAGGACUUCUCUUAGAUAGUAUAUUUUUUCUUGCAGGUAUAGCUCUUGGAGUGACUGGACUGGUGGCAAGACCAGCAGCCAGUAUCCUUGAUAUCACCGGCAAAACUGCACAAAGCAUCAGAAAUCGGAGCAAACUGCAUAAUCUGGGAUCUCAUCGCUUUAGGGUCCGAUUGCCAAGGCAUUUAAACAGAGAACUUCCUUUACGGCCAUAUUCUUGGGAAGAAGCAAUUGGAGUAUCUGUACUUAGAGAGGCUGAAGACCAUAUUAAGCUCAAAGACGAAACAUUAGUAGUGUGUAAAGCUCUUAGACAUGAUGGGAAGUUUGUUAUCCUCACUGAGAGACUUAUAUUAAUCGUGUCUUGCUCCAGUAUAGUAAAAUACAGAAUGCCUGAGUUUCAAGGAGUGCCUGCUAACCCUGAAUGGUUGGUAGAAACAGAAAUCGGGAUGGAUAGUGUAAUUCAUGCUGAUAACGACGACGAUGAGGUAGAUAUUGUGGGAAGUAGCUCAGACGCAUUGUUAAGGCAGAACCAUAUCUCACAUAAAAGAAGCUGGGGACCAAAGGGAAAGAGAUGGAACAACAAUCCUCGCACAUCGCUUCCGCUACUCCAGACUAAUUUGGUUUUCACAUCAAAAGAUGAAGCAGAAGACUUCCUGCAGGUACUUCUAUCUACAAUUGACAAAGCAAAAGAACAAGGUCGGAGCUCUGUGCAUCUUCUUCAUCAAAGUAGUCUCAGACAACUAUAGAAAGAUGUAAAGGAUCCAAGUAAUUUUCCAUCUGUACAUUGUACAUUAUGUACAUAAUCUACUUUACCCCUCUUCUGUUAAUUUAUGUCCAUAACUGUUCAAUUAGUGUAGGACUUCCAAUUCUUUAUAGGCACAGUCCUUCUCUCGCAGACUCUUCGCAAAUCAACGAUAGUUUGAAUCAAAAUUAAAUGAAAUUGUGUUGGUUUUUUUGUUUUUUUUGUCAGUGGAUAUACAGAAAAUGAUGGUCACUACGAAAUUUUACCAAGUUUGUUGUAUAUUGGUUGAGCUGCGAUGCAUGGUGAUAUGAUUCUUAGGAAAUCUUCCAAUUUUAAUUAUAUUUUGGGAAAUUCACUUCUUAAUUCAUAAGGUAAAAGUUUUAACCCUUGAACCCUGAUUGAUUUCUAUUUAGACGGAGAUUAAAUUCAACCAAACACAAGGCGGACAUUGAUUUAUUGAAGGGCCAUUUACAUGAAUCCCCUUGUUUUGGGGUAGUUUUUAAUAUUUGGUCGCUAAUCUUUGUUCUGUAGUACUUUAAAUAAUAAAAAUAGGACAAAAAUUUACCCCUCGUAUUAAAAAGAAUCACUAGGUACAAGUUAUGCCUUAUUAGACAUAAAUUCAGCAUUAGAACUUAUGCCUUAAAAAGUUGAUACACAUUUUAUGUUAUGCAAGAAGAAGAGAAAAAGGCUCAUAUGCCGUAUGUUAUACAAGUAAAGGGGCCAAUAUGUCAUAUGUUAUAAUUGUCGAGCGGUAGGAUAAGACGAUAGGUUCAAAGCAAUUAGAUAAGACGUGGUUAAAGUUUCCUCGUCUCUACAAUACAUAUAUUACCCUAAAAUGGGACCUACUGCUAUGAACACAUGUUAUGUCAUGUCUAUCCACAUGACAUUGUGGUGUGACGGUCCAUUCUGAUCGGGUCAAGGAUUGGAUUUCAUGUCAUGUACAUGGUGAAUUAUAUUAUGUCGGUAUUUAGGUGAUUCCUAUUGAAAGAUGUAGUUUAUUUUCAAGUCUAAAUGCUUGUUUGAAUCAAUGAAUUUGGAGAAUAUAUAUUUCAUGUUGUGAUUCAUUGUUCAUGUUUCAUUGUGUAUUAUGUGUAACAAUUGAGGAAGAUUUGGAUCGGAUCUUGAAAUAGAAGCUUAACUAGGUAAUUUGCCCGCGCGAAUCAUAAAUAAUAAUUGCAUUGAACUUGCAACUAAUCCUUUACUAAUAUCCAUACAUUAAAAAUAAUGGAAAAAAUAGGUCCUUAAUAUUAGCAAUGUUCCAACAUGAAUUAGAUUAUUUGUCAUUAUCACAUAACUCAAGAACCUCUAAUGAAUGAAUUAUUCAGGAAAUAAUAAAACAUUGGUUCUUUAAUAAGCAUUAAAAGGAAAAUAAAAAAGAAAAUAACAAUAUAUAUAUACAAAGGCAUUUUGUAAGAAAAAGAACACAUUUAAGUUGCAUAGAUUAUACAAUUGUGAUAUAUGUCUCAGGAAUUUUUUUUUUUGAAUUUGUUAACAAAUUCAAAAAAGAAAUUACGCUUGAACAUGAAAGCAAUUAUAACUUUUGAACUUGCAUAAUGAAUUUCUUCAAUUGAUAAGUGAGAAACUUCAUAUCUAUGUUAAAAUAGAUAAUAUGUAAGCUAUUUAUAGUACUUUUAAGUUAUAGAAUUUUAUAUAGAAUAUCAAAACAUAAAUUCUUGGAACUGAGUACAAUAAUUAAUUUCUACACAUUGAAUAUACCUACUAUAUGUGUAUAUGUUCAAUAUAACUGGAGAUAAUAAAUUUGCAGAAACAUAAACAAUAGAGUUUAAAACAUGCACUCAAAAACAACAAUUAACAUCAUAAACAUAAAUUAAUGACUGUAAAAAAAAUACUAGUAUAUGUAAAAAUAGAAUGAAAUAAAAAGGAAAAAAUUGAGUCCACUGAAUGCACAAUGUUCCCUUAAGAAAGUUACUCUCCUCUAAUACCUGAGGUUUAAAGAAUUAGACCCUCUUAGGAUGGAACAAUUUUAUUCACCAACGUAUUGAUACAAAAAUAAUGGUGUCAGUAACUCACUCAACAGGAGCAAAGUACACGAAUAUUUAAAUGUGGAGAAGAAGAAGUUCAGAAUUUUCAUUGUUUUAAAAUGAGAGGAAAUCUCUCUAUUUAUAGACAACAAAAGGUAGUGUCACUACUAAAAAACUGUCAAAAAGAGACGGACGAAAAAGCGACGGACGGCAUCUCUUAGUCCGUCGCUUUUUUCGCAGAUUUUUACGCCAAAUAUAUAUAUAAUCAAUAAUUAAUUAUUUUAUAUAGGUAGCGACGCAGUCCGUCGCUUUUUAUUAAAAAUAAUUAUUUAUAAAUUAAAAACUAACCACGCGGUCCGUCGCUUUUAAUUAAUUUUAAUUGAUUAAUUAUUUUUUAAAAUGAGCGAUGAACGGCAUCUCUAAGUUCGUCGCUCUUUGGUCAAAAUGACUAGUUAAACAUUUAAGAAAAGCGACGGACAGCGUCUCUUAGUCCAUCGCAUUUUGGUCAAAUAUUUUUAAAAAAGCGACGGACAAAGAGACGCUGUCCGUCGCUUUUUUUAAAUAUGUUGAACCAAAAAGCGGGUUUUCCCCCCAUUUUUCCCAUCUCUCUUUCUCUCUCUUCUCUCUCUUCUCUCUUCUCUCCCUUCUCUCUAAAAUCAAACUGUUGCGCCGCCGCCACGCCACCCCACGCCGUCGUCGCCCUUCUCUCCUUGAACAUUAGUCCCGUCGGCGCCGCCACCCGACGUCCCCACUGCCUCUUUUCCUUAGCUUGUUAAGGUUAGGGUUUAAUUUUAGUUUCUUUCACUUGUAGUAAUAUUUGAUUUUUUAUAAAUUAGUAUAUUGUUUUAGUUUGAUGAAUUGUGUUAUUCAAUUGUUAAUCUGUAUAUUUGAUAAUUGUUAGUUAGGGAGAGAAUUGAAGAUUUUUUAUUUUAGAAUUUUCUUCUAAAUUGGUUUUUUUUUAAUAUGAUUGUGAAUUGAGUAUUAGAAGUUAGAACUAACAAAUAAUUAGAAGUUAGAAGUUAUAAAGUCAGAAAUUAGAUUAGUUGCAUUUUCCUACUUUGAAAUUCUUGAAUUUAGUAUGUUUGACGGUUGAAGUUAGAAAACCAUUGAAUUGUAUAUGAAAGUUAGAUUACUUUGAAGUUAAGAAAAUAUUGGAUAGUAUAUGAAAGUUGAAAUUAGAUUAGUUAAAUUUUCCAACUUAGAAGUUCUUGAAUUUAGUAAGUUUUGUAAAGUUGUAAGUUAGAAAAAUUGGGGUUAUUUUGAAUAUGAUUGUAAUUAAGUAUUAGAAGUUAGAACUAACAAAUAAUUAGAAACUAGAAGUUAGAGAUUAGUUGAAUUUUUCAAUUUGCCAUUGUAUUUGUGGUUAUAUGUAUUAUAUUGUUGUUGAAAAUUGGAUUACUUGAAUUAUAUUCUUGAACUUACAAAUUCUUGAACUUGGAAAUUCUUGAACUUAGAAAUUCUAGAAAUUAGAUAUGAACUUGAAUUUUUGUAGUAUUUUAGAACUUUUAUUAGGUUCUGAACUUUAGAAAUCUUGAAUUAUUAUAGGAUUUUAGAACUUUAGGUUGUGAACUUUAGAAAUCUUGAAUUUUUGUAGGGUUUUAGAAGUUUAGGUUGUGAACCUUAGAAAUCUUGAAUUAUUGUAGAAUUUUAGAAAUUUAGGUUGUGAACUUUAGAAAUCUUGAAUUUUUGUAGGGUUUUAGAAGUUUAGGUUGUGAACCUUAGAAAUCUUGAAUUAUUGUAGAAUUUUAGAAAUUUAGGUUGUGAACUUUAGAAAUCUUGAAUUUUUGUAGGGUUUUAGAAGUUUAGGUUGUGAACCUUAGAAAUCUUGAAUUAUUGUAGAAUUUUAGAACUUUAAUUAGGUUGUGAACUUUAGAAAUCUUGAAUUAUUGUAGGAUUUUAAACUUUUGAUAGUGAACUUUAGGAAUCUUGAUUUAUAGAAUUUAUGAACUAAUUAUUAGGUUGAACUUUCAAAAUCUUGAUAAAAUAUAGUCUUUAUGAACUAUUUGUAAUUUUGAAAUGAAUUUUUUGUAAUUUUAAAAUGAAUUUUGAAAGAAUUUAUAAGUCUUUAAAUUGUGAUUUAGAUAUUUUUGAAUGUUAAUUUAAGUUUGUUGUUUUAUAUUUUGUGUAGCUUCUUAUAAUGUUUUGUGUUUGAUUGGGGCUGAAUUGAAUUGAAUUGCUUUUAGCAACAGAAACUGGCAGUUUCUGUUGUCACAAAAAUUGCAGAAAAAUCGACGGACAGGAUGGUUUUGUCCGUCGCUUUUCUGGAUUUUAUUUUUUUUAAAACCUAGAAAAGCGACGGACAGGGUCCUUUAGUUCAUCACUUUUCUAGAUUUUUCAAUUUUUUAUUUCCAAAAAAGUGACGGACUUCGUCUCUUUUUUAAAAUAAAAUAAAAAGCGACGGAUGAUGUCGCAUUCUUCAAAAAAAGCGUCGAGCCAAAAAGCGACGAGAAUGAGUGCAUCCCUUUUGGCCAAAAAAGCGACGCAGUCCGUCGCUUUUUUCCGUCUCUUUUUGACAAUUUUUUAGUAGUGUAUGAACAAAUGUUUAUUGUGCCUUAUCGGAAAGGUCACAACUCUGGAAAGUCACAGCCCUUCGAAAAGGUCACAACCUUUCAUAAACGUCACAAUCUUUCAUAAAAGUCGCAACUGUUAAAAAAUUAAAGGCUAUUUUUGCCACAACUUUUUAUGAAAGGGAAAGACUAUUUUUGGAAAUAAAUAAAUUAAAAAGGACACCUGAUCUGUGGUGGCUCCACGUAGGCAGGACUAAGGUUUUUUUUUUAUAUAUAUAUAUAUAUAUAUAUAUAUGAUUAAUUAGAUAUUUCUAUUUGAUUUGCACUUUAUGUGUUUACUGUUCUAAGUUUGUCAAUUAUCAUUUGAGUUUUUAUUUACUUUUUAGUCUCUAAUGCUAGUCACAUUUAUAGUUGUCGCAAGUUGAGUAUGUUAGAUUAUUUUUUGACUCUCUUUAGUAUUUGUAUACACAUUUACUAGGUUAUCUUGAAUGAAUAUCUUGAUUUUAACUUUUAUUCUACUUUUUCUUUCUUUGUCUUCUUAUUUGCAUCUUUUCAUUGUGGUUCAAAAGUGAGUAUGUUACAAUCAAUGACAGAGUUAGGAGCGGCUCAAAAUAAUUGGAGGCUUAAAGCAAAGUUUCAAUCAGAUGCCUAAAAUAUAAACGAACUUCAUAUGUAUUUAUUUAUUUUUCUAACUUUUUAGAUGCAAAUUAUUACUCAAUAUCUUUUUUAUAAUUGAUUUCUUUGAAUACCUUUUUUGAAAUUAUUAGUUUUAGAUAAGAUUUCAACAAUUCAAUGUUGAAAAAUACAUUUUUAAUAAGGCAAUCAUUAUAUGAAUUAUGAACAUAAUUCUAUUAAUUAUAAGUUGAUAAACUUUAAAUAAACAUAAGUUAGAACCAUAAAAUCUGAUUCAAGAAUUUGAUAAAUUGGUAUACCCUACUUUAAUAUAUUUGUUGUAAUGCUUGAAAACUUAAGAAGAAACAAAAAAUAAUAUUUUACUUUGUUCAAUACUAUUUGACUAUUGAUGGGAUAAGGCAUAAGUACCCCCUAAACUAUGACUGAAAUCUCAGAGAUGCACCUUAACUAAACUAAGGUCCUAUUACCCUAUGAACUAAUUUUUUUUGUAAUUUUGUACACCUUUUGUCUUACGUGGUAUACUCCAUGACUCCACGCAAUUGAGGCACAUGGGAAAUACUUGGAUGCCAUGUAAGCCAAAAAGAUGUACAAAUUUACAAAAAAAAAAAUGGGUUAGGGGGGUAAUAGGACCUUAGUUUAGUUAAGGUGUGUCUCUGAGAUUUCGGUCAUAGUUUAAGGGGGUACUUGUACCUUUUCCCAGUAUUGAUUGAUAUUUUUGAUAGAGUUACAAAAUUUUGAAGAAAGAAAGUGCAAAAGGAGUGAAGAAAGAUAAAUAAUGUGAGUGUUAGCGAAAAAAAUGUAAGAAGAUAAAACAAUGUUUUCUUGAUUUCUUCUAUUUAAAUGGGGUUAAGGAGAAUAAAUUAGUAUAACCUUUUUAAAUAAAAACAUAUACACAAGAAUCUAACUCAAAGUAACUCUAAUAAUCGACAUUAAACUCUCAAGAACUCCUCAAUCUCAAUCCAAAUUCAAGAAUAAAAGCAAUUCAAGAACACCCAUCAAGAACAUUCAAACUUCCGAUCUUUUUAGGAAGAAUUCACGCUAAAAUAAACAUGUUUGGCACGUGGGUGAACGAACCCAACGUUAUGAAAGUCUCACAUACCUCGUAGGAUCAAAUCCUUGACGAAAUCCGCAAUCAAUUCCAAUUUACUUUUAUCAUAAUUUAUUGAGAAAAUAGCCAAAUGACCCCCAACCUAGUAUCAAAUUCCCAACUGCACACUUAUACUUCACAGGGGACCUAUUACCCCAUUGAACUAUUUUUCAAUGAAAUAAAUAACACCCUAAAAUGGAAAAAUGCAUAAGUACCCCCCUAGACUAUGCCCUCUGAGACACACCUAACCUUUACUAAGGUCCUAUUACCCCCGAACUUAUUUUAUAAAUAAUUUUCUACCCCUUUUCGGCCUACGGACACUAUCAAUCAGAUAGCUUGAAAAAAUUGUCAACACGCAUUGGACCCAGAAGAUAGUGCCACGUGGGCCAAAAAUUGGUAGAAAAUUAUUUAUAAAAUAAGUUCGAGGGUNNNNNNNNNNNNNNNNNNNNNNNNNNNNNNNNNNNNNNNNNNNNNNNNNNNNNNNNNNNNNNNNNNNNNNNNNNNNNNNNNNNNNNNNNNNNNNNNNNNNNNNNNNNNNNNNNNNNNNNNNNNNNNNNNNNNNNNNNNNNNNNNNNNNNNNNNNNNNNNNNNNNNNNNNNNNNNNNNNNGGACCUUAGUAAAGGUUAGGUGUGUCUCUGGGAUUUCGGGCAUAGGCUGGGGGGGUAGUUAUGCAUUUUCCCAAAAAAAAUCAAUAUAUAUACUUGACAGUUGGUUGUGCGUGUCCAUCACCGCAAGUUAUGAAUGUGGGUGUUCAAUUUUAGGGUGUUAUUUAUUUCAUUGAAAAAUAGUUCAAGGGGGUAAUAGGUCCUCUAUAAAGUAUAAGUGUGUAGUUGGGAAUUCGAUACUAGGUUGGGGGGUCAUUUGACUAUUUUCUCUUCUUUAAAGUUCACAACCUAAAGUUCUAAAAUCCUACAAAAAUCAAGUUCUCUAAGGUUCACAACUUAAAGUUCUAAAAUCUUACAAUAAUUCAAGAUUCCUAACGUUUACAACCUUAUGAAGUUCUAAAAUCCUACAAAAAUUCAAGUUCUCUAAAAUUCACAACUUAAAGUUCUAAAAUUCUACAAUUAUUCAAGAUUUCUAACGUUUCAUAACCUAAAGUUCCUACAAAAAUUCAAGUUCUCUAAAGUUCACACCUUUAAGUUCUAAAAUCCUACAAUAAUUCAAGAUUUCUAAAGUUCACAACCUAAAGUUCUAAAAUUCUAAAAUAAUUCUAGAUUUCUAAAGUUCACAACCUAAAGUUCUAAAAUUCUAAAAUAAUUCUAGAUUUCUAAAGUUCACAACCUAAAGUUCUAAAAUUCUAAAAUAAUUCUAGAUUUCUAAAGUUCACAACCUAAAGUUCUAAAAUUCUAAAAUAAUUCUAGAUUUCUAAAGUUCACAACCUAAAGUUCUAAAAUUCUAAAAUAAUUCUAGAUUUCUAAAGUUCACAACCUAAAGUUCUAAAAUUCUAAAAUAAUUCUAGAUUUCUAAAGGAACCUAAUAAAAGUUCUAAAAUCCUACAAAAAUUCAAGUUUAUAUCUAUUUUCUAGAAUUUCUAAGUUCAAGAAUUUCCAAGUUCAAGAAUUUCUAAGUUCAAGAAUAUAAUUCAAGUAACCCAAUUUUCAAGGGAUAAGGGUCUAAAAAAUACCCAACUUUGCUCGAAUUUGUUGUUGCGAUACUAAACUUUCAUGAAGACUUAUUACCUCCCUAGACUAUUUAAUACCGUAUUUUAAAUAUAUAUAUUUGCCCACAUGGACAUAAAAAAUAAUGCAAAAUUAAAAAUAGUAAUGUGUCCACGUGGGCACAUAUAUAUCUUUAAAAUACACUAUUAAAUAGUUCAGGGGGUAAAAAAUACGGUAUUAAAUAGUCUAGGGAGGUAAUAGGUUAUCAUGAAAGUUUAGUAUCGCAACAGCAAAUCUGAUCAAAGUUGGGGUAUUUUUCAGACCCUUAUCCCAAUUUUCAACAUCAAUAUAAUACAUAUAAGCACAAAUACAAUGGCAAAUUGAAAAAUUCAACUAAUCUCUAACUUCUAGCUUCUAGUUAUUUGUUAGUUCUAACUUCUAAUACUUAAUUUACAAUCAUAUUUUAAAAUCCCCAAUUUUUCUAACUUCAAACUUACUAAAUUCAAGAACUUAUAAGUUGGAAAAUUUAUACUAUCCAAUAUUUUUCUAACUUCAACGUAAUCUAAAUUUCAUAUACAAUUCAAUAUUUUUCUAACUUCAACCAUCAAACAUACUAAAUUCAAGAAUUUCAAAGUAGGAAAAUGCAACUAAUCUAACUUCUAACUUUCUUCUAUUUUAUUUUUUCUUUUUCUUUUAAAACUUGUAAACGAUACAUAUACACAAAUUGAUCCAUCAAAUUUUAGAUUGCUAUAACACUUGCCUCAAAAUCAUUCAAUUGUUUUCUUGGCUUUAUUAAUUUCUGAAAAUUUGAAGAAAAAACUUAUUGUUCUCCAUCGUGUUCAUCGGAUUUGUGCGAAUUUGUGAGUGUGAUCAAGUUUGGUGUAUGGAAUCUACACAUUACUUGUUAAUUUAUUUUGAAUUUGGUGUGAAGAUUUGGGCCAAAAACUAGAAAACUCCAUUGACGUACAAAGCUAUCAAAAUCAAAAAAGAAAUGUGGGUUUCUGGGUUCGAAUUUAAAUCUGAAAAUCUUCAUUUGCAAUUACUAAUUUGUAGAGACUAAAUUGAAUCUUUUAUGAGAAUCCCAUUAUUGAGUUCCUGAGUUUGAAAACAUCUAAAUCAAUUGAUUUGAACUAAAAAAAUUGACAAAUGAAGGGCGAAAAUACAAAUCCAUGGACAACCAUUGUUAAAGAGCUUCGAAGCUCAAGUAUGAAUUUUUGAAUUUGUAGGCGAAUUCAUCUUUUCCAAUGAUUAUUUCCUCGUCAUUGCCGGCUCGUUCGAUAAGUUUCUCUAACAAAUAUAAAAUUUAUCAGCCAUCAAAGAUGGGGUCGGGACUGCUGAUUCUUCUUCUCCAAAGUGAAAGGGAAAGUAAUAUCCACCAUUAAAACAGUGCCAUUUUGCUUAUAAAAAUAAAUAAAUAAAAUAUAAACUAUUUAAUUAUUAAAAAAUAAAAUAAAAAUAUUCUUUUUACUUGUUUUUUUGCUUUUCACUCUCUCAAUGAGACACUCUUUGUGCCAACUCAACAUUUAAUGAGUCAUUUAUUUCAUUUUUAAAUAGUUCAAGUGCAUGAUAAAACAUCCGUAAAAUUAAAGUGUGUAGUUAGAAUUUUGAGUAUAGAUUGAGGGGGUUUUAGACAAUUUUCUCUAAUUUAUUCUUUGUAAAAAUUUGGGUGCCCCUCCCCCAAUUUUGGGAGUCAGGGCAUAUGCCUAAAUCUUUUUAAGCAAGAGUCGGCUCCGAUUCCACUUUAAUACUAAAAUCAUCUUCAAUACUCUCAACUGCAAGAAAAAACAAUUGAUGCCUUCAGUUGACUAAACCUAUUUCUGCCAACCUCCCAGUUUCGAGCAGCCAUCGUGAAGUUACCAAAAUCACUAUUUAUAUGAUUCACUUAAUCCAUACAAGUAGAGGUGUCAAAAUUGAACUCAAGUGUAGGUGACCCAACUAUAAUUUUAAGGGUUGGGCUUAAGAUGAUUCAAAGUUGUGGAUAAUUUGAAGGAGGAGUCGGAUGAGGGGUCAAAUUUCAGCUUCUAGCGUGGAAAAUUCUGCUAGUAACGAAGUUAAUGACGGUCCAAUUUUAGUUUGGGAAUUGUAUAGAGGUUGAGCAGAACAAUGAGACAAUGCAUGUUCAGAAAAAGUAUUGUGAAGGUAAAAAAAGAGUAAAAGAGGUGAACGAUGUGCGAAAAUUGAAAAGAAGAUGCGUUUAUAUUGCAUCUACCGCUAAGAAUAUAGUUAAUAGCGAUGACGAUUUUGAGGAUUUACCUCCUCAAUUUCAGUCGAACAAAUUGAAAAAUAAAGUUGUGCCGGAGAAGAAGAAGUCAGGGAAGGAUGCAAAGCCACGGAAGUGAUUGGCGAACAAUGUCAUUCUACCGGAGAGUGGAGAUCCGGUAUGUGAUAGUAUUUUCAAUCUAUUUCUAUGUGUUUUCUUAGUUAGUUGUUGCUUAGGACUUGUAUACUGAUUACUAACCUGCUUUGAUAUGUAGUUUUUGUAAUUCAUCAUUAAUUCAACUUUAAUAUGUAGUAAUACAUUUUUAAUUCAAGUUUAAUACAUUUUACAGUUAAUUGAUUUAUGAUUAGUGAAAGUUAGUUCGACUAAUUAAAAUUGAAGUUAAAUUUCUAUUUAUAUGCAGGAUCGUAAAUUCUAGAAACAUUCAGAUGUUGUGUAUAUUGCGAGUAGGUAGUCAUCUUACAUUAAUUAUAGUGUCAUCGACCAAAUUAAAAUCUCUUUAUCCGAAAAACAGCUUGAGCUGUUUAGGAAUACAUGUUUUUGUGACUUUCUUUACCUUCCAAAAGUGAACAUACAACUCCAACUUAUUCAUUGCCUUAUGAAUAAGGAGUUAAAACACACUCCAGAUAAUGUGUUUGCUAUUGAAAUACAUGACAAAAAAUUGGUUUUUAGUCUAAGAGAAUUUGGAUUAGUUAUUAGCUUAAAUUGUGUUAGUGAUGACACUCCUGUCAAUGUUCCAGAUUCUAAGUUAGUUUGUUGAGAAAUUAUUUUCCAGAACAAAUCACUGUUCAAAAGAGUCAUCUACGUGAGUUGUUUCUAGCUAAAAAAAUCAUAGAUGAUGACUCCGUUGUUUCAUUGGUUGUUCUCUUCUUUGUUAAUGAAUUUUUAUUUUCCUAUGAGAACAAUGAACACCAAAUUAGUAAUAGAUAUUUUUACAUUGUGGAAAGUGGACAAUUCAAUUCAUAUCCGUGGGGAUUAAAUGUCUACAAGGAGUUGCUUGAUUCUGUGUGGCACGCGCUUAAAUCAACCCAUAAAUACUAUAGAUUGGGUGGCUUGUCUCUUGCUCUUCAAAUUUGGAUAUUUGAUUGUUGUUCAAAAGUCGAUGAAGAUAUAGCUAUUCGGGUUUUUGAUUCUAUUCCAAGAAUCUUGAAUUGGAAGACAACUGUUGAUAGUCCAUGACAAAAAUAUAUUGAGAAAUAUCUCUUCAUGCCUACAAAAAAAUAAGGUAUUUGUACAAAGUUAAUACAUUUUAUGACAUUUUUUAGUUCAACUCAAGUUAAUAUAUCUAUUUUUAUUUUCUUUAUUUGAUUUUUCAGUUUGAGAACAUAGUGGCCGGUGAAGAUGAAGUUUAUAAAUUCAGGCUUCUUGAACCUCGUGAUUACAAUGCUGAAAUUUUAAAAUUGGAGCCCAAAGAAUCAAGUCAUGGUCUAGACAUGUUGACUAAGGAAGUUAUAGAAUUGAGAAAAGAACUUAUAAAGGUAUAUAAAAACUUGACUUUAGGCUUGAUUAUUUUCAAAAUUGUUAUUUUAAUAUUUGUGUUAUGUUUGAUUAUCUAUUAGGCGAAUGAAAACCACAAAGCACUUGAAAAGAAGAAAGAUUUAGGAUUUAAUCAAAUCAAAGAAUUUGUGGUGAAUUCUAACAAACAACUAUUUGAGGAUAUUUCUUUGUUGUUUGCUAAGAGUGAUGGUAGCAGCUCUGUUAUCCGAAAAGCUGGAAACCAUAUAACAGGAAGGCAUUUCAGAUAACAGAGUUGCUACCAUCACUCUUAACAAACAACAAAGAAAUAUCCUCAAAUAGUUGUUUGUUAGAAUUCACCACAAAUUCUUUGAUUUGAUUCAAUCCUAAAUCUAUCUUCUAUUCAAGUGCUUAGUGGUUUUCAUUUGCCUAGUAGUUAAUCAAACAAUACACAAAUAUUAAAAUAACAAUUUUGAAAAAAAACAAGCCUAAAGUCAAGUUUUUAUAUACCUUUAUAAGUUCUUUUUUCAAUUCUAUAACUUCAUUAGUCAACAUGUCUAGACCAUGACUUGAUCCUUUGGGCUCCAAUUUUAAAAUUUCAACAUUGUAAUCACGAGGUUCAAGAAGUCUGAAUUUAUAAACUUCAUCUUCACCAGCCACUAAGUUUUCAAACUGAAAAAUCAAAUAAAGAAAAUAAAAAUAGAUAUAUUAACUUGAGUUGAACUAAACAAUGUCAUAAAAUGUAUUAACUUUGUACAAAUACCUUAUUUUUUUUGUAGGCAUGAAGAGAUAUUUCUCAAUAUAUUUUUGCCAUGGACUAUCAACAUUUGUCUUCCAAUUCAAGAUUCUUGGAAUUGAAUCAGAAACCCGAAUAGCUAUAUCUUCAUCGACUUUUGAACAACAAUCAAAUAUCCAAAUUUGAAGAGCAAGAGACAAGCCACCCAAUUUAUAGUAUUUAUGGGUUGAUUUAAGCGCGUGCCUCACAGAAUCAAGCAACUCCUUGUAGACAUCUAAUCCCCACAGAUAUGAAUUGUCCACUUUCCACAAUGUAAAAAUAUUUAUUACUAAUUUGGUGUUCAUGGUUCUCAUAUGAAAAUAAAAAUUCAUUAAUAAAGAAGAGAACAACCAAUGAAACAACGGAGUCAUCAUCUAUGAAUUUUUAAGCUAGAAACAACUCACGUAGAUGACUCUUUUGAACAGUGAUUUGUUCUGGAAAAUAAUUUCUCAACAAACUAACUUAGAAUCUGGAACAUUGACAGGAGUUCCAUCACUAAUACAAUUUAAGCCAGUAACUAAUCCAAAUUCUCUAAGACUAAAAAACAACUUUUUGUAUUCAAUAGCAAACACAUUAUCUGGAGUGUGUUUUAACUCCUUAUUCAUAAGGCAAUGAAUAAGUUGGAGUUGUAUGUUCACUUUUGGAAGGUAAAGAAAGUCACAAAACAUGUAUUCCUAAACAGCUCAAGCUGUUUUUCGGAUAAAGAGAUUUUAAUUUGGUCGAUGACACUAUGAUUAAUGUAGAAUGACUACCUACUCGCAAUAUCCACAACAUCCGGAUGUUUUCAGAAUUUACGAUUCUGCAUAGAAAUUGAACUUCAACUUUAAUUAGUCAAACUAACUUUCAGUAAUCUUAAUAAAUCAAUUAACUGCAAAAUGUAUUAAACUUGAAUUAAAAAUGUAUUACUACUACAUACUAAAGAUGAAUUACAAAUACUACAUAUCAAACUAAGUCAGUAAUAAGUAUACAAGUCCUAAACAACAACUAACUAAGAAAACACAUAGAUAUAGAUUGUUCUUGAUACUUCUCCGGGUAAAACCAGACUGCGCCUUGAAUAUCAGGUCUAGGCUAGAGCAUCCCAGUUCUGACUUUUGAAUCAAAUGUCAAGCAGAAUUUCAAAUCCCGGAAUAAAUCUUGAGGAGUUGAGUCUGCAAAAGGUCUAGGCUUUGCUUGCACUACAUAUCUGAUCUUGCAAUGUGAGCUUCAUUGAAAUAGAACAAGCUUCAAGAAGUCUCAUUAUAUUCAAUUUGUACUUUAAUGUAAAAGGGGUGUGAAGAGAGGUAAUUCCAAUAACAGCCUAAGUUUCUCAGUGGAUAUUUUAGACAUUGUUACCCAUUCUCAACUGGUUUUAGGUGGAAGAGUUUUCUCCACUGUCUGUCUUUGCUGGCAUGGCAGAGAUUCCCUGUUUUGCUUUUAGGACUCCCUUAGCUGUGCAGAAUGUAGAGUAAAGAGAAGAGGAGAAGAGCUUAUCCGAUCUAUCAGAUGUAAAUGUAAAAUAUUUUUAAUUGGUUCGACCAAAAUAUACUCUGAACUUUGUGGGAAGACUAAUAGAUUGAGAAUCCAACUUUAAAUUAUCUGUCAAGGGACCACCUCGAUUGCAUGUUGUGUUUUGAUUGCCGUGUUUCAUAUUUUUGUAUGGGAACUUCUAUGGUGUUAUACUCAAGAAGAUUGUACUAGUUACCUCAUUGUUGUUGCCCAAUUUUUCUUCUUCAUCUGCUGUAACACCUAAUGAUGGCAUCUGGCUUUUAGUCAAAUAUCUGGCUUUCUUUUAGGCAUUGCGGAUCCUUCACAUCAUAGUAUCUCUCAUUAUCAACUAUCCCAAAUGCCUUGGCUAUAACUCUUAAAGCUCUAUGUAUUGUCUCUUAAGAGAAAGAAAAGCAUAAGCUUGAAGAGAAGAACCCUGGAAUGCUGCAGGAAUUAGAGGUGGGAAAACCUAGAUAUCUUACUAUGACUAGACCUGACAAUUGACAUUACUAAUACCUAAAACUGGAAGUAGUUCUCCAGCUUAAAAUAGUAUGGAAAUGUACUUGCUUUUAACUGUGGAAUUAACAAAUUUCUGUAAUGAUGUCAUACUUGUGAUAUUCAUAAAAAACCUUCCCGAUUAAGUGUUUUUUGUCACUCAGUGCUAUUCAGAUGAACUAAAUUUGUUGGUUUCCGUGUAAGUAUCCAUUUGCCUAUGUUGGUAAAUGAUUUAAAGAGCCAAGCUUUGAUUUAUUAUCUUUAAUCUGAUAGUUGUUCAUUUAUUAACUGGACAAUUUGUUUCUUGCAAUGGUCUUAGUGGUUAUGGACAGUGAAAAAUGGUUGUUUGCUGCAGGUAUUUGGUUCAGCAGGAGUUAUUGGAAAUCCUAUGGGGUUUGCAAGGAGCAUGGGUCUUGGCCUCAAAGAUUUCUUGUCAGCUCCUGUGCAAAGUGUUUUCCUGGUACCUUAUGCAUUAUCUGCUCUUUUAUCCUUCCAACUAGAUGUAAACCCAGCUCUUUCUGCAGACUCGUGCAGGUUUAUUAAAGGCAUGGCACAAGGGACCUCUAGUCUUUUGAGUAACACCGUCUAUGCCUUAAGUGAUGCUGCCACCCAAUUCAGAAAAGCUACCCACAAGGUACUUUUGCAUCAAGCAAUAUUUUCAAAUUUUGUAUGUUAUCUGACCCUCAUAUUAAUUUACUUCAUUUUGUAGGGUAUCGUGGCAUUUACUUUUGAUGAUCAGGCUGUCGGAAAUAUGGAAAGACAGCAGAAGGGAAUAUCAUCCCAUAGCAAAGGGGUGAUAAAUGAAUUUUUUGAGGUAUAUUAUUUUCAGUUCUUAGUCGCAUGGGGAUAGAGGCCUAUUCACUUCCUCUUUUAUUCCUUCGACUCUUCAUGCCUUUAGAAUACUAUAGCUCCUUGGAGUCUCACUGUAUCUCAUGUGUGUCAAGACGUCACCGCUAAAGAAGGAUUAGCAUGUAUUGACAGUUCAUGUCUUGCAAUUUUGAUUCAUUUCUUUUUUGCAAUUCAUACCUAAGAAAGGGUUGAAAGAAGACUUGCAGGGUGGCAAAAGAGGUAUAUGUCAAAAGAGGGAAAUGAAGUGUUCAUGUUGGUGUUUUUUAAAAUGGGGCGGCACAAAAAGAUUGAAAAUGUCUCUCAAUGGAUUGAAAUGACUUUCAAUAAUUUUAUUAAGCAAUGAGGGGCUUCAAAUAGCCAACAUAAAAUACAUAGUCUGCAUAAUUUAAAAUUUAAACAACCUAAAAUAUCUCAACAACAUAAACAAACUAACUAAAAUUCAAAAUUCAAAUUUAUUCAAACUAAAUAACUUAUUUUGCUAAAAGUUACUACAGUAACUAAAAGCAAACUUCAACACUCCUCCUUUGCUUUAGUUAUUGCAAUUGAAAAAAAUGCUCCUUCUCAAUUUUUUCUUUGGUAGUUGAUGCUGGAUUUUUUUCAUUGUUUUUGAACUUGCAAAAUUUCUUCUUUUUUCUUUUUCUUCUUUUGAUUUUGUUCUUCAAAAACACAUGUGAUGGCAUUGUCUUGUGUAGAAGUUUUUUUGAAAGUGUUUUAAUUUGAACUUUUGUAUGAUUUGCAGAGAGAGGUUGUAAGGGUUUUUCUUCCAUCCCAACCUCACAUAUCACAUAGGUUUCAAAAUAUGGUUUUAUUCUCACAGACCAAAUUUGAUAGUUUUCGUCUGUGAAAAUUUGUGGAGCAUUCAAAGAGAGCCUGCUGCUUGCCAUUAUUUUUGGUUAAAAAUUGAUUUAGAAAAGUCUUUGUGUUGAAAAAAACACGGCUUGAAAAGGUAGCCUUGAUAGGUUAAAAUGGGUAACCCUGAUGGGUUAAAAAGGUAGCCCUUACUAGUUAAAAAUGCAUGGUAGUUCUUUGGAAGAUUUCACAGAUCCCUUAAGAUCAAUGAAGCUCUUGAUACCACUGUUGGUGUUUUUUAAAAAUGGGGCAGCACAAAAAGAUUGAAAAUGUCUCUCAAUGGAUUGAAAUGACUUUCAAUAAUUUUAUUAAGCAUUGAGGGGAUUUAAAUAGCCAACAUAAAACACAUAAUCUGCAUAAUUCAAAAUUUAAACAACCUAAAAUAUCUCAACAACAUAAACAAAUUAACUAAAAUUCAAAAUUCAAAUUUAUUCAAACUAAAUAACUUAUUUUGCUAAAAGUUACUGCAGUAACUAAAAGCAAACCUCAACAGUUCAUCAAGAGAACCCCGUUGAGUGUUCAUCAAGUUGGUGCUUUAUGUCCAAAAACCCGGGAUAGGGAGUGGGUCACCUUCUUAUAACAUUGUCUGGUUGUUGUUUUGUUUUUUAGUAAAUGUGAGAAAUAUAGGAGAAAAAUAUUACUGAAUUGUAUAUCUACAUUAUUACACAGAGACUAUUUAUAGACAUUAUAAUAUAAUUCUUUACCAAGUAGGAUACUAUAUAUUAUUCCUAUUCCUAUUUUAAGUAGGAUUGUGUAUACCUAUUCCUUUUCUAACACUCCCCCUCAAAUUGGUGCAUACAAAUCAUAUGUACCUAGCUUGUUGCAAAUGUAAUUAGUACGAGGACCAGUGAGGAACUUGGUGAAGAUAUUGCAAGUUAACCACUUGAUUUCACAAAUUUUGUAACAAUAUCUCCUGAGAGUAUCUUUUCUCUGACAAAGUGACUAUCAAUCUCAACGUGCUUAGUCCUGUCAUGAAACACUGGAUUUCAUGUGAUAUGAAGGGCCGCUUGAUUAUCACACACAUGUUCAAUAUGACCGAUUUUUCCAAAUUUUAGUUCUCUCAGCAACUACUUGAUCCAAAUUAGCUCACAAGUUGCUACAACCAUUGCUUGAUAUUCUAUUUUUGCACUAGAUCGAGCAACCAUUUUGUUUCUUACUCUUCCACGACACCAAAUUACCUCCUACUAAAACACAAUAUUAGGAUGUAGAACGUCUAUUAGAGGGUGAUCCUACCCAAUCAACGUAUGUAUGUCCGAUGAUAUGGUCAUGGCCUUGAUCCUCGAAAAGUAGUCCUUUAUCGAGAGCUGACUUAAUAUAUUACACAAUACGAGUAACUGCAUCCUAAUGAUUAUCACAAGGGGAAGUGGAAAAUCCUCUUUCAGUUGUGGUCUAAUUGCGCUCUGUCGGUGAAAACCUCCUACUUCACAGCAAGAGAUCGUAUUGGUGCUAUCUUAUUAGGAGGUCGUAAACUAAGGGCUUAGAGCGUUAUGCUCAUCCAAGAGAAAGAUUCCAUCUCGUCUUUAAAGCAAUGGUCUACGACUCCGCCACUUGCUUAGGUUAGGAGAGCUCCUUUCUCAUUUUUGUUCUAUCAUUAAGAGAAGGAUCAUAAGCCUAGUCCCAAGUUAAACAACAUAACACCCACAAGAAAAGAGAUGUCAGGUGUAAUUAUUGUGAGAUAAUUCAAGUUUCCAACUUGUAGUCUAUACCUUUCAGGAAUACUAAGUGGCUCUCUUUGUCCUAGAAGGAAUUUAACUUUUGGAUCCAUAGGAAUGUCUAUGGGUUAACAUCCCAACAUUCUUGUCUCCUUAGAAUGUCUAACGCAUACUUGCGUUGAGAAAUAACAAUAUCGUAUCUAGAUUGAGCAACCUCAAUACCUAGAAACUACUUCAGUCUACCGAGGUCCUUAGUCUGGAAAUGUUGCUUCAAAUUAGUGAUACCAUCUUGAUCAUUACCGGUGAUAACGAUAUAAUAAAUGUAAAUAACCAAAUAAAUACAUAGAUUUGGUGUUGAAUGCUCACAAAACACAGAGUGAUCGGCUCCAUUACGAGUCAUGCGAAACUCUUGAAUUACUGUGCUGAAUUUUUCAAACCGAUCUCGAGGAGACUAUUUCAGACCAUAGAGUGACCUAUACAAUCAACAUACAAGGCUAUUAGACUCCCUUUGAGUAACAAAACUAGGUGGUUACUCCAUAUAGACUUCUCCCUCAAGAUUACUAGAUAGGCUGAUGAAGAAGCCAAUGACGAACGAUAGCCAUAGAUAGAAAAAUAUGGAUAGUCGCUAUUUUAUCCAUGGGAGUGUAAGUCUCACUAUAAUCUCGCCCAAAUAUUUGCGCAUACCCUUUGGCAACAAGGUGAGCAUUUAGCCAAUCAACCUGAUCAUCUAGACCAAUUUUGAUUGCAUAAACCCAGUGGCAAGCAACCAUAGAUUUACCUAUAGGAAGAGAGACAAGCUCCCAAGUGUCACGCCCCGAGCCUACACCCUGGGCGGGACUGACACUCGAGAACCAUUGCUGGCCCCAAGCGAACCCUUGGCCUGACUUACUUACUCAGCGGAAGACUAUAUGCAAUAAGAAAGGAAUUCAAAUGCUAAACAACUUAACUGUCUCAAACUGAACUCAUAAUGUUUUGAAAAUAAACAUUUAACUUAGCCAAAAUGACAACUCAAAUCUGAACAUAAGUCAAUAACAAAAUGAUGACGAAUGAACUAACAUCUGACUGACUAUCUAUGAAGCCUCUAAAACAACUGAGAUGGAUGUCGGGACAGGCCCACGACAUCCUAAUNNNNNNNNNNNNNNNNNNNNNNNNNNNNNNNNNNNNNNNNNNNNNNNNNNNNNNNNNNNNNNNNNNNNNNNNNNNNNNNNNNNNNNNNNNNNNNNNNNNNNNNNNNNNNNNNNNNNNNNNNNNNNNNNNNNNNNNNNNNNNNNNNNNNNNNNNNNNNNNNNNNNNNNNNNNNNNNNNNNNNNNNNNNNNNNNNNNNNNNNNNNNNNNNNNNNNNNNNNNNNNNNNNNNNNNNNNNNNNNNNNNNNNNNNNNNNNNNNNNNNNNNNNNNNNNNNNNNNNNNNNNNNNNNNNNNNNNNNNNNNNNNNNNNNNNNNNNNNNNNNNNNNNNNNNNNNNNNNNNNNNNNNNNNNNNNNNNNNNNNNNNNNNNNNNNNNNNNNNNNNNNNNNNNNNNNNNNNNNNNNNNNNNNNNNNNNNNNNNNNNNNNNNNNNNNNNNNNNNNNNNNNNNNNNNNNNNNNNNNNNNNNNNNNNNNNNNNNNNNNNNNNNNNNNNNNNNNNNNNNNNNNNNNNNNNNNNNNNNNNNNNNNNNNNNNNNNNNNNNNNNNNNNNNNNNNNNNNNNNNNNNNNNNNNNNNNNNNNNNNNNNNNNNNNNNNNNNNNNNNNNNNNNNNNNNNNNNNNNNNNNNNNNNNNNNNNNNNNNNNNNNNNNNNNNNNNNNNNNNNNNNNNNNNNNNNNNNNNNNNNNNNNNNNNNNNNNNNNNNNNNNNNNNNNNNNNNNNNNNNNNNNNNNNNNNNNNNNNNNNNNNNNNNNNNNNNNNNNNNNNNNNNNNNNNNNNNNNNNNNNNNNNNNNNNNNNNNNNNNNNNNNNNNNNNNNNNNNNNNNNNNNNNNNNNNNNNNNNNNNNNNNNNNNNNNNNNNNNNNNNNNNNNNNNNNNNNNNNNNNNNNNNNNNNNNNNNNNNNNNNNNNNNNNNNNNNNNNNNNNNNNNNNNNNNNNNNNNNNNNNNNNNNNNNNNNNNNNNNNNNNNNNNNNNNNNNNNNNNNNNNNNNNNNNNNNNNNNNNNNNNNNNNNNNNNNNNNNNNNNNNNNNNNNNNNNNNNNNNNNNNNNNNNNNNNNNNNNNNNNNNNNNNNNNNNNNNNNNNNNNNNNNNNNNNNNNNNNNNNNNNNNNNNNNNNNNNNNNNNNNNNNNNNNNNNNNNNNNNNNNNNNNNNNNNNNNNNNNNNNNGAUGCUGUUCCUAGUUACCUGUGUCUGCAUCAUAAUCAGAUGCAGGCGAACUGGCAUCAGUACAUUGAAUGUACGAGUAUGCGAGUUGGAAUGCUAAACACAACCUAGGCUUGAAAAGAAUCUAAAAGGAACUGAGGAACUUACCUGGCUCAACUCAACUCAACUCAACAACCCUGAACUCAUUUCAAUAUAAAGCAGUUUAAAACAAGUGCAAAUAUAAAGAAAAGUUGUUUAAAACAUGAUGUCAACUCUGUGUGUAUGCAAAGAUUCAAAUAACUCUGAGAUGUAUGCAAAUAAACUGAUGUAUAUAAAAAUACAAUGUAUUGUUGUGGGAGUUUCUCUAACCGACAAUAAUCACAUAAGAGCUAUUGUGAUGAUACAACGAUCUCCCUCACGUUGCCAGCGCAUCCUAUAGCGCAUCCUAUACCCUGCCAAGGGUAUAGGACCUAACUAACUAAGUGGAUCCACUAAUCUAUGCGAAAAUGAUUCAUCUAAAAAGUAUGACCCUUUUCUACCCAUGAUGGCUACAUGGUUUAUGGAGACGCGCCCAUAUCGGUGCUCAAUACUACUCCCAAAAUAUGAUACUAGCUCGUUAUGUUUAAAACAUACUUCUUUCUGUGAUUUGAGAUUAGUGCUCAAAAACUUAGUUCAAAGGCUAUCUUGGAAAUCAAAGUUUCCCCUCUUGCUUCAUUUAGAAAGCGAUUACUCUUUUCUGAAAACUAGCCGAAGGCUCUUUGGAAAUCUCAGUUUCCGUUCUUAUUUAAAUGUGAAAACAUUUUAAAUCUCUUUGGGAAUACUUAGUCCCCAUAUACUUUUUGAAGAAAAGAACUUCAACUUUAUUCUUUACUGAACUCAAAACUCAAGUCUUAAAACCAAGUUAAAACGUUUGCAAAAGACUUUUGGAAAACUUUGAAGGACUUCCCUUGACUUGACUUUUGACUUCUCUUGACUUUGAUCUUAACUGCUCUUGACUUGACUCCUAACUGGUCCUUGAAUUGAAUUAUGGAUUCAAGGAUUUGUGAUUUGUGAUUGGAAAGAUCUCAUGAUGUUUAGGAAUGAUUUUAGAUAACUAAACAUGAGAAAAGACCAAAAAUCAAUAUCUGAGGGUGGGUUCGCGACGCGAAGAAGCUUUUAAAAUUUAGUUUUGAAAAUGACUUUUGAGGCAGAGGACUCCGUGACGGCUCCACGACACGAAACGAAAAUUCCAUUUCUGGGAACCAGCUUCGCGACGCGCCCCCACCUCCCAAUUUCGUUCGCCGAAAUUUCUUCUUCGUUUUUCAGCUCUAAACCCCCUAAACUCCAUGGGUUCUUUUACCCAACACUUAGAAUCGAUUAAAUGUUCAAAGUACAUCAGAUUCUACUCAAAAUCGAACCUAAAAUCACAGAUUAGGAUAAAACAACUCCUCAACGAAUUCAACGAAACAAGAAUCUAAUGAAAUUCAACAAACCCCAUUCAAGAACUCAAUUUCUAAGCUUUCAAGAACUUAAAUUCGCUGAAAUAAAUCUUGAUUGGCGCAUGGGCGAAUUAACCCAACGCUAUGUGAUCUCACAUACCUUGUAGGGAUCACCCCCGACGAAAUCCACAAGCCAAACUCGACGAUCUUGACGAAUCUUGAACGUUCUUCUCCUUUUUCCUCUUUUCUCUUCUCUCAAAACCUUAACUCUUUUUCCAAAAGCGUAAACUGACUAAGUUCAAUUUAGACCCCUAAGUAAUUACCAAAAACGAAUUAAAAUAAAAGGGUAGGAAAAGACCAAACUACCCUUCAAAAAUCCGGAUUUGGACUUUCCUUAAUCCAACAGCCCAACUUCCAAAGGGCAUAACUUACUCAUACGAACUCGGAAUCGCGCAAACUCGGCGGCGUUGGAAAGAUCAUUCCAACCAUAUCUGGAAGUACACCUAACUCAUCUUGAGCUAGGAGUUAUGGCCGUUUGAAGUUGACCAAAAACUCACUUUUCCUAACCUAAACAAAUUUUCAGAUUUUCAAUUCUUUCCAAAAAUGACUAUUUCCAAUUCUUAGCUUCUUCCUUGCUAUUUCAAAUUGCGAGAUGUUACACCAAGUACCAUUCGUAUGUAAAGCAGACAUCUCAUCAAUCAUAGCCUGCCUCCAUCCAAAAUGAGAUUGUUUCACCUAUAGUCUUAGAAAUGGAAAUAGAAGACAAAGAAUGUUGCAUUGGCAAAUUUCAAUGGGUUAUCGGCGGAAAGGAUUCUAUCAUAUGGAAAUACACUAGAGAUGGAAGCCUUUUUGUUAACAAGCUAUAUAUUAAGGAGGUGAAGGAGCAUCCAGGUGGUAAGCUUGGCCCCUGGAAGUAGAUUUGGAGGAACAAGGUGCCAACCAAGAUAAAGUGUUUCUCUUGGUUGGUUGCCAAAAGAGCAUGCUCCACACAUGAGAAAUUGAAAAGGAGAGGUUUCUAUAUUGCCUCUUGGUGCUCUCUCUGUAAUGAGACUGAGGAAACCAACAACCACUUGUUCCUCCAUUGCAGAGUGACAAUACAAUUGUGGAUCCUUUUUUUGGGACUAACACAUACAAAAUGGAUUAUGCCUACUUAGGUGCUGGAUCAACAGAGACGGGAGAAAAUUUAAGAAAAAGUGGUGGAGUAUAAUACCAUCAUGCAUUUGGUGGUCUAUUUGGAAAGAAAGAAAUAGCAGAUGCUAUUAUAACAAAGCUAAUUCAAUAGAGAAAGUCAAAUGGAACUGCUUGACAACUUUUUAUUUUUGGUAUAAAGAGGAAGGAAUAGAAGAAGAUGCACAAAUUUUAGAUUUUAUAGGCAAUUUGUAAUCUAGUAGCCUUUUUGUUUUUUUUUCUCUUGUUGGAAACCAAUUUUUGGAGGUCUCCAUCAUAUCCUUAAUGCUGAGGAAUACAACAUUAUCUUUCUAAAAGAAAAGAAAGUAUCGAUGAAGAUCAGGUAAAUAACAACGAUACCCUUUUUGAACUCAAGAGUAAUCAAGAAAGACACAUUUGAGAGCAUGAAGGAUAAUUCAUCUUUCUUUGUGGCUAAGUUAUGAGCAUGUUCUCCCAAAGACACGAGGGGGGAUAGAGUUGAGAUGUGACACAUGUUCUCCCAAUGCCUAAGGCAAAAAGUACGACAUGAUCAUUUUCACUUCAAAAACAUGUUUAAUCCAACCCAAAACUUAUCAACUGAUUGAGGUUAAGCGUAAUAUCCGCUCAGCAGUUAUUGGAUCCAGGAAAGCAAGAAUUAUACACUCACACUCCACAGCCAAACUAGAAGAAAUUUAUUUAGGUGUGUGCACUAUCAAGCAGAAAUUUCUCAAUAUUCUGUACCUGACAUCAGUAUAUUACUAAGAGGUCCAAAACACACAGUCCCCAAAAACCCUCUCUCUCCUACUUCCUAGGAGGGAGAAACACUUAUCUUUCCGGUAGUCUUGCCGGGAACUACCACCUUUCCUUCACAUCAACUGAGUUACCACCUUCUGUGGUACCUCAAAAUCCCUUUUCUGUCCUCUUAUACCUCUGCUAUACCAUGGGGGAUAAUAGAAUAUACUUCAAUCAAGGAUUCAAAUCCUACGACAUUACCAGAUGGACUUCCAAUCAUGUCUUUUGGUAUGACUGGGUAGAAAGAAGCAGAAACAAGAUGAGUAGGAUUACACUUAGUGAGAAGGUGAUGGAAUGGAUUUGCUUCAUCCUCAGGGAAGCCUCAUCUGACCAGAAAAAUUUAGUGAGAAGAUGGCGAUAUAAGGACCAGGCAGCUGAGUUUUUUGGUACUAGGAAAUAUAAUGCUCAUGGGAGAUACAUGAGUAUUCUGUCACUAAAGGGAGAAGACAGAUCAGUUAUCAUAGUACCUGAAUUAGACAUUAAUGCUGGGUGGAGGAGUGUGGCAUUUAAGAUACAAAGCUUUAUUAAAUGCAUACCACAGAAGGAGUUGAAGAUCAAGUCCCAAAAAUGUGACAUAAAUGUCUCCUUUGCAAAGGUGGUUGAGGGCAGUAAAUGGCAGAGCAGCAAAUAUGAGGCACCCACAUCUAAGGACAAAAAGACUGAAUCCGAGGUAAUUGUCAAAAGCAGAGAACAAGGUCUGUUGGGAAGGUGCAUUAUUGGAUUCUUUGACAAAAACAAUGCAGAAAGGCCUACCUUGUCUGAUGUUAGACAAUGGUCUACAACAGUGUGGAAGAAGGCUUUUGGAGUCAAUAUAUACGAGAUGCUGGGUGGACACUAUCUCUUCGAGUUCCCCAACAGGUAUAUGGCGGAACAAAUCCUUCAAGGAGAAUGGAUAUGGAAGAGAAACAAAAUAAAAUUAGAGUGGUGGAACCCAUAUGUAGGCUGUGAACCAACUACAUACAAACCCAAAUCCACUUGGAUUAGGGUUAUGGGUCUGCCUAUGCAUUUAUGGACGGAUGAGACCUUCAAGGAGAUCGGCAAGCUCUGUGGUGGAUGGUUGAUGACGGAGGAGGAGACAGAACUGAGAAACCAUCUCAAGUGGGCAAGGAUCGAAAUACGAGGUGAUGGUCGGAGCAUUCCAAGUGAAGUCUCUAUUUCUAGAGAUGGAACUAAAUUCAUAAUUCCGAUCUGGGNNNNNNNNNNNNNNNNNNNNNNNNNNNNNNNNNNNNNNNNNNNNNNNNNNNNNNNNNNNNNNNNNNNNNNNNNNNNNNNNNNNNNNNNNNNNNNNNNNNNNNNNNNNNNNNNNNNNNNNNNNNNNNNNNNNNNNNNNNNNNNNNNNNNNNNNNNNNNNNNNNNNNNNNNNNNNNNNNNNNNNNNNNNNNNNNNNNNNNNNNNNNNNNNNNNNNNNNNNNNNNNNNNNNNNNNNNNNNNNNNNNNNNNNNNNNNNNNNNNNNNNNNNNNNNNNNNNNNNNNNNNNNNNNNNNNNNNNNNNNNNNNNNNNNNNNNNNNNNNNNNNNNNNNNNNNNNNNNNNNNNNNNNNNNNNNNNNNNNNNNNNNNNNNNNNNNNNNNNNNNNNNNNNNNNNNNNNNNNNNNNNNNNNNNNNNNNNNNNNNNNNNNNNNNNNNNNNNNNNNNNNNNNNNNNNNNNNNNNNNNNNNNNNNNNNNNNNNNNNNNNNNNNNNNNNNNNNNNNNNNNNNNNNNNNNNNNNNNNNNNNNNNNNNNNNNNNNNNNNNNNNNNNNNNNNNNNNNNNNNNNNNNNNNNNNNNNNNNNNNNNNNNNNNNNNNNNNNNNNNNNNNNNNNNNNNNNNNNNNNNNNNNNNNNNNNNNNNNNNNNNNNNNNNNNNNNNNNNNNNNNNNNNNNNNNNNNNNNNNNNNNNNNNNNNNNNNNNNNNNNNNNNNNNNNNNNNNNNNNNNNNNNNNNNNNNNNNNNNNNNNNNNNNNNNNNNNNNNNNNNNNNNNNNNNNNNNNNNNNNNNNNNNNNNNNNNNNNNNNNNNNNNNNNNNNNNNNNNNNNNNNNNNNNNNNNNNNNNNNNNNNNNNNNNNNNNNNNNNNNNNNNNNNNNNNNNNNNNNNNNNNNNNNNNNNNNNNNNNNNNNNNNNNNNNNNNNNNNNNNNNNNNNNNNNNNNNNNNNNNNNNNNNNNNNNNNNNNNNNNNNNNNNNNNNNNNNNNNNNNNNNNNNNNNNNNNNNNNNNNNNNNNNNNNNNNNNNNNNNNNNNNNNNNNNNNNNNNNNNNNNNNNNNNNNNNNNNNNNNNNNNNNNNNNNNNNNNNNNNNNNNNNNNNNNNNNNNNNNNNNNNNNNNNNNNNNNNNNNNNNNNNNNNNNNNNNNNNNNNNNNNNNNNNNNNNNNNNNNNNNNNNNNNNNNNNNNNNNNNNNNNNNNNNNNNNNNNNNNNNNNNNNNNNNNNNNNNNNNNNNNNNNNNNNNNNNNNNNNNNNNNNNNNNNNNNNNNNNNNNNNNNNNNNNNNNNNNNNNNNNNNNNNNNNNNNNNNNNNNNNNNNNNNNNNNNNNNNNNNNNNNNNNNNNNNNNNNNNNNNNNNNNNNNNNNNNNNNNNNNNNNNNNNNNNNNNNNNNNNNNNNNNNNNNNNNNNNNNNNNNNNNNNNNNNNNNNNNNNNNNNNNNNNNNNNNNNNNNNNNNNNNNNNNNNNNNNNNNNNNNNNNNNNNNNNNNNNNNNNNNNNNNNNNNNNNNNNNNNNNNNNNNNNNNNNNNNNNNNNNNNNNNNNNNNNNNNNNNNNNNNNNNNNNNNNNNNNNNNNNNNNNNNNNNNNNNNNNNNNNNNNNNNNNNNNNNNNNNNNNNNNNNNNNNNNNNNNNNNNNNNNNNNNNNNNNNNNNNNNNNNNNNNNNNNNNNNNNNNNNNNNNNNNNNNNNNNNNNNNNNNNNNNNNNNNNNNNNNNNNNNNNNNNNNNNNNNNNNNNNNNNNNNNNNNNNNNNNNNNNNNNNNNNNNNNNNNNNNNNNNNNNNNNNNNNNNNNNNNNNNNNNNNNNNNNNNNNNNNNNNNNNNNNNNNNNNNNNNNNNNNNNNNNNNNNNNNNNNNNNNNNNNNNNNNNNNNNNNNNNNNNNNNNNNNNNNNNNNNNNNNNNNNNNNNNNNNNNNNNNNNNNNNNNNNNNNNNNNNNNNNNNNNNNNNNNNNNNNNNNNNNNNNNNNNNNNNNNNNNNNNNNNNNNNNNNNNNNNNNNNNNNNNNNNNNNNNNNNNNNNNNNNNNNNNNNNNNNNNNNNNNNNNNNNNNNNNNNNNNNNNNNNNNNNNNNNNNNNNNNNNNNNNNNNNNNNNNNNNNNNNNNNNNNNNNNNNNNNNNNNNNNNNNNNNNNNNNNNNNNNNNNNNNNNNNNNNNNNNNNNNNNNNNNNNNNNNNNNNNNNNNNNNNNNNNNNNNNNNNNNNNNNNNNNNNNNNNNNNNNNNNNNNNNNNNNNNNNNNNNNNNNNNNNNNNNNNNNNNNNNNNNNNNNNNNNNNNNNNNNNNNNNNNNNNNNNNNNNNNNNNNNNNNNNNNNNNNNNNNNNNNNNNNNNNNNNNNNNNNNNNNNNNNNNNNNNNNNNNNNNNNNNNNNNNNNNNNNNNNNNNNNNNNNNNNNNNNNNNNNNNNNNNNNNNNNNNNNNNNNNNNNNNNNNNNNNNNNNNNNNNNNNNNNNNNNNNNNNNNNNNNNNNNNNNNNNNNNNNNNNNNNNNNNNNNNNNNNNNNNNNNNNNNNNNNNNNNNNNNNNNNNNNNNNNNNNNNNNNNNNNNNNNNNNNNNNNNNNNNNNNNNNNNNNNNNNNNNNNNNNNNNNNNNNNNNNNNNNNNNNNNNNNNNNNNNNNNNNNNNNNNNNNNNNNNNNNNNNNNNNNNNNNNNNNNNNNNNNNNNNNNNNNNNNNNNNNNNNNNNNNNNNNNNNNNNNNNNNNNNNNNNNNNNNNNNNNNNNNNNNNNNNNNNNNNNNNNNNNNNNNNNNNNNNNNNNNNNNNNNNNNNNNNNNNNNNNNNNNNNNNNNNNNNNNNNNNNNNNNNNNNNNNNNNNNNNNNNNNNNNNNNNNNNNNNNNNNNNNNNNNNNNNNNNNNNNNNNNNNNNNNNNNNNNNNNNNNNNNNNNNNNNNNNNNNNNNNNNNNNNNNNNNNNNNNNNNNNNNNNNNNNNNNNNNNNNNNNNNNNNNNNNNNNNNNNNNNNNNNNNNNNNNNNNNNNNNNNNNNNNNNNNNNNNNNNNNNNNNNNNNNNNNNNNNNNNNNNNNNNNNNNNNNNNNNNNNNNNNNNNNNNNNNNNNNNNNNNNNNNNNNNNNNNNNNNNNNNNNNNNNNNNNNNNNNNNNNNNNNNNNNNNNNNNNNNNNNNNNNNNNNNNNNNNNNNNNNNNNNNNNNNNNNNNNNNNNNNNNNNNNNNNNNNNNNNNNNNNNNNNNNNNNNNNNNNNNNNNNNNNNNNNNNNNNNNNNNNNNNNNNNNNNNNNNNNNNNNNNNNNNNNNNNNNNNNNNNNNNNNNNNNNNNNNNNNNNNNNNNNNNNNNNNNNNNNNNNNNNNNNNNNNNNNNNNNNNNNNNNNNNNNNNNNNNNNNNNNNNNNNNNNNNNNNNNNNNNNNNNNNNNNNNNNNNNNNNNNNNNNNNNNNNNNNNNNNNNNNNNNNNNNNNNNNNNNNNNNNNNNNNNNNNNNNNNNNNNNNNNNNNNNNNNNNNNNNNNNNNNNNNNNNNNNNNNNNNNNNNNNNNNNNNNNNNNNNNNNNNNNNNNNNNNNNNNNNNNNNNNNNNNNNNNNNNNNNNNNNNNNNNNNNNNNNNNNNNNNNNNNNNNNNNNNNNNNNNNNNNNNNNNNNNNNNNNNNNNNAAAAUAAAAAAUCACAUAAUAAUUCAAGGGUAUAAUUGGAAAUAAGCUUCUUGUAGAGUCUUAAACCACACACAAGAUUAGGUUGGAAAUAAUGAACCAAACACUUGAUAAAAACAGAUAAGUUCUGGUGGCAUUCAAGACUUCAAAUGGCCUUGGAAGCAAAUCUGGAGGAACAAAGUGCCACACAAAGUGGCAUGCUUUACAUGGCUACUAGCCAAUAAAGCAGUUUUGACGUUGGAUAAUGUGGCCAAGAGAGGAAUCUCUCUAUGUAACAGAUGUUCCUUAUGUGGUAAGGCUAAUGAGACAGUGAGACAUCUUUUCUUACAUUGCAACUUUACUGAGCAGCUGUGGAAGAUUUUCCUUAAUCUCAGAGGCAUAUCUUGGUGUAUGCCUAGCAAGAUUGAUGAGACUCUAUUCAGUUGGGAGAUGGCUGGAGUUGGGGCUACAAACAGAGAAAGAUGGAGGAUGAUCCCUGCUAGUAUUUGGUGGACUAUAUGGAGGGAGAGAAACGAGAGAUGUUUUGAGAAUAGGAACAACAACUUGCAGGAAGUAAAGCUUAAGUGUAUUUUGUUGUUCUGCUUUUGGUGUACAAAUGUCUACUCCAAUGAAACUGAGUCAAUCAUAGAUGUUUUAGGAUCCAUUUAGAUUUGGUUCAGUUUUUGGAUAGAUUUUACUCCUUUCUGCUUUUGUAAAUAUGGUUUUUCAGUACUACCUAAGUACUAAAUGAAAUACAAAUGUUACUAGUUUCAAAAAAUAGUAUGGAAUGUGGAACCUGAUUUUGCAUAGAAGAUCAGGGUAUUCUAUUAAUUAAAUAAUAAGACGCAAGAACUACAUUGCCCCAAAAACGCAACGAAACAUGGGAUUCAAUGAGAAGUGUGAGUAGUCUCAAUGAGAUGCUUAUUCUUCCUUUACACCGUUUUGUUGCGGGGUGUACGGAUAAGAUGUCUGGCGAGUAAUUCCUUGGUGAGUCAUAAACUCCUGAAAUUGGGAGGACAAGUAUUAUAAGGUAUUAUCACUACGAAAACUAUGAAUAGAAACUAAAUGGAGAAGCCAAAAUUCAAGUUAGUGGGGAAAAUUAUGAUGAUGGCACAUUGUAUUGGUACAAGGUGGAUGAAAUGGAGCUCAUCUCCAGAGUUUUGUCUGAUAAGAAAGUAUCACCAAAACUUAAUGGUAAGUUCUACAGAGUAGUGGUUAGACCAAUAAUGUUGUAUGGGGAAGAGUAUUGGUCAGUCAACAAUUCUCAUGUUCAAAAGAUGAAAGUUGCAAAAAUGAGAAUGUUGAGAUAGAUGCACGGGCUUGACGCAACUUCAGCUUACCAAGGACAUGACCUUAGAUAGGAGGUUAUGGAGGAUACAUAUUAGGGUCUAGGGUAAGUAGAUAGUUGAGUGUUGUCUCGCUUACCCUUUCAUACUAGUAGUCAUAGUAGUUUCUUGGUCUUCCAUUUCUGUUACUAUUUGUUGUUUCUUCUACUUCGACUAUAGUAUUAUUUUGUUGUAGUUAUUGUUCUUUUGUUAGAAGGCUUUGUCAUGCUAUCUUUAAUAUUUUGUCAUCGCUUCUUCACUUUGGUAUUUCUUUCCUAAGUUGCUUUUCAAUGCUUUUCCUUGAGCCGAGGUCUUUUAGAAACAACCAAUCCUUCCGAGACCCCACUUGUGGGGUUACACUGGGUAUUUUGUUAUUUUUGGUGCACUCGUGAGAUUUCUAUUUGUACGGAUGAAUGUCUGACCAUGGUAGAGAACGAUCAACUUUUGUAGGUUCUCUUUUUUGGUUUACUACUUUUAUUUGGGAGUUUCCCCCUUUUAUUAAUAAAAUUAUUCCUUCAUUAAAAAAAAAUAUUAAAAAAAUUGGUACCUAUUUUUGAUUUGUAGGGUCUGACUGGCCUAUUGCAAUCACCUAUUAAAGGGGCAGAGAGACAUGGCCUUCCAGGAGUUCUCUCAGGUAUCAAGUUUAUCCAUGCUAAUCUUCUGGUCACUAUUGCAGGAAAAUUGAAGCUCCUGGGAAGUGAAAGGACUUCUCUUAGAUAAUAUAUUUUUUCUUGCAGGUAUAGCUCUUGGAGUGACUGGACUGGUGGCAAAACCAGCAGCCAGUAUCCUUGAUAUCACCGGCAAAACUGCACAAAGCAUCAGAAAUCGGAGCAAACUGCAUAAUCUGGGAUCUCAUCGCUUUAGGGUCCGAUUGCCAAGGCAUUUAAACAGAGAACUUCCUUUACGGCCAUAUUCUUGGGAAGAAGCAAUUGGAGUAUCUGUACUUAGAGAGGCUGAAGACCAUAUUAAGCUCAAAGACGAAACAUUAGUAGUGUGUAAAGCUCUUAGACAUGAUGGGAAGUUUGUUAUCCUCACUGAGAGACUUAUAUUAAUCGUGUCUUGCUCCAGUAUAGUAAAAUACAGAAUGCCUGAGUUUCAAGGAGUGCCUGCUAACCCUGAAUGGUUGGUAGAAACAGAAAUCGGGAUGGAUAGUGUAAUUCAUGCUGAUAACGACGACGAUGAGGUAGAUAUUGUGGGAAGUAGCUCAGACGCAUUGUUAAGGCAGAACCAUAUCUCACAUAAAAGAAGCUGGGGACCUAAGGGAAAGAGAUGGAACAACAACCCUCGCACAUCGCUUCCGCAACUCCAGACUAAUUUGGUUUUCACAUCAAAAGAUGAAGCAGAAGACUUCCUGCAGGUACUUCUAUCUACAAUUGACAAAGCAAAAGAACAAGGUCGGAGCUCUGUGCAUCUUCUUCAUCAAAGUAGUCUCAGACAACUAUAGAAAGAUGUAAAGGAUCCAAGUAAUUUUCCAUCUGUACAUUGUACAUUAUGUACAUAAUCUACUUUACCCCUCUUCUGUUAAUUUAUGUCCAUAACUGUUCAAUUAGUGUAGGACUUCCAAUUCUUUAAAGGCACAGCCCUUCUCUCAGACUCUUCACAAAUCAACAAAAGCUUGAAGCAAAAUUAAAUGAAAUUGUGAUUUUUUGUUUUUUGGUCAGUGGAUAUACAGAAAAUCACAAUCACUACAAAAUUUUACCUAGUUAAAUGUUGUAUAUUGGUUGAGCUGCAAUGCAUGGUGAUGUGAUUCUUAAGAAAUCUUCCAAUUUUAAUUAUAGUUUGGGAAAUUCACGUCUUAACUCAUAAGGUAUAAGUUAUAACCCUUGAACCCUGAUUGAUUUCUAUUUAGACGGAGGUUAAAUUCAACCAAACACAAGGCGGACACUGAAUUAUUGAAGGGCCAUUUGCAAGAAUACCCCUGUUUUGGGGUGAUUUUUAAUUUUGGUCGUUAAUCUUUGUUCUUUAGCACUUUAAAUAAUAAAAAUUGAACAAAAAUUUACCCCUAGUGUUAAAAAGAAUCACUAGGUACAGCCGUACAGGUUAUGUCUUAUAAGACAUAAAUUCAGCUUUAGAAUCUUAUGUCUUAAAAAGUUCAUACACAUUUUAUGUUAAGCAAGAAGAGAAAAAAGCCCCUAGGCCAUGUGUUAUGUACAAGUAAAGGGGACAAUAUGUCAUAUGUUAUGAACUUAUAAUUGUCGAGAGGUAGGAUAAGACAAUAGGGCUCAAACUCUCGUUACAUUUAGAUAAGAUGUGGUUAAAGUUUCCUCCACUCUAUAAUACGUAUAUUACCCUAAAAUGGGACCUACUGCUAUGAACACAUGUUAUGUCACGUCUAUCCACAUGACACUGUAAUGUGAAGAUACAGACGAAGCAGCUAAAGUCAAAUCAGAAUAUUCCGCUGAAGCAGAAACGAUAGGAUCGUAAGAAGAAAAAGGCUAUACGCCUAUCCGUAUUAUGUAGAAUAGCCCGACCCUUGAGUGUGGAUCCCUUGCAUUGUCCCCCCUUUGAUUUUUGUCGAUCUCUCUCAAACUGCACACAACUUUUCCCUAUCCUCCUAUAAGUAUGACGGUCCAUUCUGAUUGGGUCAAGGAUUGGAUUUCAUGUCAUAUACAUGGUGAAUUAUAUUAUGUCGAUAUUUAGGUGAUUCUUGUUAAAAGAUGUUAGUUUAUUUUCAAGUCUAAAUGUUUGUUUGAAUCAAUAAAUUUGAAGAAUAUAUCUUCCAUGUUGUGAUUCAUUGUUCAUGUUUCAUUGUAUAUUAUGUGUAACAAUUGAGGAAGUUUUGGAUCGGAUCUAGAAAUAGAAGCUUAAUAAAUUAGAUAUUUCUAUUUCAUUUGCACUUUACGUGUUUACUAUUCUAAGUUUGUCAAUUAUCAUUUGAGUCUUUUUAUUUACUUUUUAGUCUCUAAUGCUAGUCACAUUUAUAGUUGUCACAAGUUGAGUCUGUUAGAUUAGUUUUUGGGUCUCGUUAAAUAGUAUUUGUAUAUACAUUUACUAGGUUAUCUUGAAUGAAUAUCUUGAUUUUAACUUCUAUUCUACUUUUUCUUUCUUUGUUUUCUUAUUUUCAUCUUUUUCAUGGUGGUUCCAACAUUGCAUUUCAUUGUAUUGCAUAUAUUUAUCAUGGUAAACUUGUGAGUGAUUUUAUGUGGAUCUGGUGAUUGAUGACUUUAUCCAGUGUAUUGUUGUUUCGAAAUUAUCGGAGUGUUGUACUUGAGCUAUGAACUAUUUAAAUUGUAAGCUGUUAGGUUGGGCUGAUUUUAUGCAGGUUGUUGUGGAGGUUCGGUUAGAGUGAAAGGGGUACCCAUUUUCUAUAUUCUUAGCAUGGUGUUUAUGAGUUUGCUUGUUGAGUAUUGUGCGGUUUGGAACUCACCCUUCUGCUCCGGGGCGCCAGUUCCAUGGGUUAUAACAAACGAAAAAUCAAAGAUUUUGGGUAAUUCCUAAAAAAGGUCUGUAAAUGCGGAAAUAGACGUUAAAAAUAUGUUGUGAGUAUAUGUGGUGGUUCCCCAACUCAUUACGGAGGUCCUCAUAAAGUUUUUUGUGAAAAAUAUUUUGGGUGCUCCGGGCGCCAGAUCAAUGGGCUACAACACACGAAAAAUCAACGAUUUUGGAAAAUUCCUAAAAAAGGGCUUGUAAAUGCGGAAAUAGGUGUUAAAAAAUUAUGUGAGUAUAUGCGGUGGUUCCCCAACUCAUUACGGAGUGCCUCAUAAAAUUUUUUGAGAAUACAAUUUUGGGUUCACCGUGGCGCCAGAUCCUUAGGUAUAAACACACGAAAAAUUGAGGAUUUAGGUUAAUUCCUAAAAAUGGGCAUAUAAAUGUGGAAAUAGGCAUUAAAAAAUGGUGUGAGUAUACGUAGUGGUUCCCCAACUCAUUACGGAGGUCCUCAUUAAUUUUUUUGAGAAUUUUUUUUUGGUUGCUCUAGGCGCCAAAUCCAUGGGCUAUAACACACGAAAAAUUGAGAGUUUCGGGUAAUACCUAAAAAAGGCUUGUAAAUGCGGAAAUAGACGUUAAAAAUGGUGUAAGUAUACGUGAUGGUUCACCAACUCAUUACGGAGGUUCUCAUAAAUUUUUUUGAGAAUUUUUUUUUGGGUGCUCUACGGAACCAGAUCCAUGGGAUAUAACACACGAAAAACUAAGAAUUUGGAUAAUUCCAAAAAAAAGGCAUGUAAAUGCGGAAAUAGACGUUAAAAAAUAGUGGAAUUAUACAUGGUGGUUCCCCAACUCAUUCAGAGGUCCUCAUAAUUUCUUUUGAGAAAAAGAUUUUGGGUGCUCCGGGGUGCCAUAUCCAUGGGCUGUCCCAGACGAAAAAUCGAGGAUUUUUGGUAAUUCCUAAAAAGGGGUCUGUAAAUGCAAAAAUAUGCUUUAAAAAAUCGUAUGAGUACAUGUGGUGGUUCCCCAACUCAUUACGGAGGUUCUCAUAAAGUUUUUUGAGAAAAAAAUUUGGGUGCUCAGGGCGCCAAAUCCAUGGGUUAUAACACACAAAAAAUCGAGGAUUUUGGGUAAUUCUAAAAAAUGGUCUGUAAAUGCUGAAAUAGACGUUAAAAAAUGGUGUGAGUAUGCGUGGUAGUUCCCCAAAUCUUUAAGAAGGUCCUCAUAAACUUUUUUGGAAAAAAGAUUUACGGUUCUCCGGGGCGCCAGAUCAAUGAGCUAUAACACACGAAAAAAAUGAGGAUUUUGGGUAAUUCCUCAAAAAGGGCUCCUGUAUAUACGGAAAUAGACGUUAAAAAUGGUGUGAAUAUAUGUUGUGGUUCCCUAACUCAUUACGGAGGUCCUCAUAAUGUUUUUUGGAAAAAAAAAAGGGUGCUUCGGGCGCCAGAUCCAUGGGCUAUAAUACACGAAAAAUCGAGCAUUCUAGGUAAUUCCUAAAUAAGGCUUGUAAAUGAAGAAAUAGGGGUUAAAAAAUGGUGUGAGUAUACAUGGUGGUUCUUUAACUCAUUAUGGUGGUCCUCAUAAAAAAAUUUGACAAAAAAAUUUAGUGUUCUCCGGGGCACAAGAUCCAUGGCUAUAAGACACAAAAAAUCAAGGAUUUUGGGUAAUACCUAAAAAAGGCCAGUAAAUGCUGAAAUAGUCGUUAAAAAUAAUAUGUGUAUACAUGAUGGUUCUCCAAUUCAUUACGGAGGUCCUCAUAAUUUUUAUUGAGAAAACAAUUUUGGUUGCUAUGGGAACCAGAUCAAUGGGUUAUAACACACGAAAAAAAAUGAGGAUUUUGGGUAAUUCCUAAAAAAGGGCUUGUAAAUGCUGAAAUAGGCGUUAAAAAUGGUAUGAGUAUACGUGGUGGUUCCCGAACUCAUUAUUGAGGUCCUGAUAAAUAAUUUUGGGAAAUUUUUUUUGGGUCGUCCGAGGCACCAGAUCAAUGGGAUAUAACACACGAAAAAUUGAGGAUUUUGGGUAAUUAAAAAAAAGGGCCUGUAAAUGCGGAAAUAGGUGUUAAAAAUAGUGUGAGUAUACAUGGUGGUUCCCCAACUCAUUACAGAGGUCAUCAUAAUGUUUUUUAAGAAAAAAAAAUUGGGUGCUCCGAACGCCAGAUCCAAGGGCUAUUAUCACACAUGAAAAAUUGAAGAUUUUGGGUAAUUCCUAAAAAUGGAUAGUAAAUGCGGAAAUAGGGGUUAAAAAUGGUGUGAGUAUACGUGGUGGUUCCCCAACUGAUUACGAAGGUCCUCAUAUUUUUUUUGAGAAAUUCUUUUUGGGUGCUUCGGGCCGCCAGAUCCAUGGGCUAUAACAUACAAAAAAAAAUGAGAAUUUAGGGUAAUUCCUAAAAAAAGGCUUGUAAAUAUGGAAAUAGGCAUUAAAAAAGUUGUGUGAGUAUACAAUGUGAUUCCUCAAUUCUUUACGGAGGUCCUCAUGAAUUUUUUUUGAGAAAAAAGUUUUGGGUGCUCCGGCUGCCAAAUUCAUGGGCUAUAACACACGAAAAAUCGAGAUUUUUGGGUAAUUCCUAAAAAAGGGUUUGUAAAUGCGGAAAUAGGCUUUAUAAAUGGUGCGAGUCUACGUGGUGGUUCAAAAACUCAUUGCGGAGAUCCUCACUCUGGGGCACCAGAUCUAUGGGCUACAACACACGAAAAAUCAAGAAUUUUGGGUAAUUCCUAAAAAGUGCCUUUGAAUGAGGAAAUAGGCGUUAAAAAAAGGGGUCUAAGUAUACAUGGUGGUUCCCCAACUCAUUACGGAGGUCCUCAUAAAAUUUUUUGAGAAAUAUUUUUUGGGUGCUCUAAGCGCCAGAUCCUUUAGCUAAACACACGAAAAAUCGAGGAUUUUUGGUAAUUCCUAAAAAAGGGUUAUAAAAGAGAAAAUAGGCAUUGAAAAUAGUGUGAGUAUACGUGGUGGUUCCCCAACUUAUUACGGAGGUCCUCAUAAAGUUUUUUAUGAAAAUAAUUUGGGUGCUCCGGGGCAUUUGAUCCAUGGCUAUAACUCACAAAAAGUUGAGAAUUUUGGGUAAUUCCUAAAAAAUGGCAUGUAAAUACGAAAAUAGGCAUUAAAAAAGGUAUGAGAAUACGUGAUGGUUCACUAACUCAUUACGGAGGUACUCAUAAGGUUUUUUUUGUAAUUUCGAUUCUCCGGGUGCCAGAUCCAUGGGAUAUUAUAACAUACGAAAAAUUGAGGGGUAAUUCCUAAAAAGAGGCUUGUAAAUACGAAAAUAGACGUUAAAAAAUAGCUUGAGUAUACGUGGUGGUUCGCCAACUCAUUACGGAGGUCCUCUUAAAGUUUUUAUUGAAAAAAAAAUUGGGUGCUCCGGGCUCCAGAUCCAUGGGCUAUAACACACAAAAAGUCGAGGAUUUUGGGUAAUUCCUAAAAAAGGUCUUGUAAUGCGGAAAUAGGCAUUAAAAAUUGUGUGAGUAUACGUGGUGGUUCCCCAACUCAUUACGGAGGUCCUCAUAAUAUUUUUUGAGAAUUUUUUUUGGGUGCUACGGGGCGCUAGAUUCAUGGGUCAUAACACACGAACAAUCGAGGAUUUGGGAUAUUUUCUAAAAAAGGCAUGUAAAUGCAGGAAUAGGAGUUAAAAAAAUUGUGUGAGUAUACGUGGUGGUUCCCCAACACAAUACAGAGGUCCUCAAAAAAAAUUUCGAGAAAAUAAUUUUGGGAGCUCUGGGCCGGAUCCAUGGGCUAUUACACAUGAAAAGUCGAGGAUUUUAAGUAAUUCCUUUAAAAAGGGAUUGUAAAUGUUGAAAUAGGUGUUGGAAAAAUGGUGUGAGUAUACGUGGUGUUUCACCAACUCAUUACGGAGCUCCUCAUAAAUCGUUUUAAGAAAAACAAAUCGGUUCUCCGGGGCGCCAGAUCCAUAGGCUAUGACACACCAAAAAUUGAGAAUUUUGGGUAAUUCCUAAAAAGGGGUUGUAAAUGCGGAACUAGGAGUUAAAAAAGAUGUGUGUAUACAUGGUGAUUCCGAAACUCAUUACGGAGGUCCUCAUAAAGUUUUUGAGAAAAAAAUUUUGGGUGCUCUAUGGCCCUAGAUCUAUGGGAUAUAACACACGAAAAAUCGAGGAUUUUGGUUAAUUUUUCCUAAAAAAAGGCUUGUAAAUGCGGAAAUAAGCCUUAAAAAAAUGGUGUGAGUAUACGUGGUGGUUCCCCAAUUCAAUAUAGAGAUCCUCAUAAAAAAUUUUGAGGAAAAUUUUUUGGGUGCCCCAGGCGCCAGAUGUAUGGGCUAUAACACACGAAAAAUUGAGGAUUUUGGAUAUUUUCUAAAAAAAUGGCUUGUAAAUAUAGAAAUAGGAGUUAAAAAAAUGCUAUGAGUCUACGUGGUGAUCCCCAACUCAUUACGGAGGUCGUUAUAAAGUUUUUUGAGAAAUUUUUUUUGGGUGCUCUGGGUACCAGAUCAAUGGGCUAUACACACGAAAAAUCGAGGAUUUUGGGUAAUUCCUUAAAAAAGGUUGGUAAAUGCUGAAGUAGGUGUUAAAAAAUGAUGUGAGUAUAUGUGGUGGUUCCCCAAAUCAUUACGGAGGUCCUCAUAAUAUUUUUUGAGAAAAAACAAUUAGGAGCUCCGGGCGCUAGAUCCAAGGGCUAUUACAACACACGAAAUAUUUAGGAUUUUGGGUAAUUCCUAAAAAGGGCUUGUAAAUGAGGAAAUAGGUGUUAAAAAUGAUUUGAGUAUGCGUGGUGGUUCCCAACUCAUUAUGGAGGUCCUUCUAAAGUUUUUUAAGAAAAGAAAAAUUGGUGGUCCGGGGCUCCAGAUCCAUGGGCUAUAACUCACGAAAAAUUGAGGAUUUGGGGUAAAUACUAAAGAAGGGCCUGUAAAUAUGGAAAUAGGCAUUAAAAAUGAUGUGAGUAUAUGUGGUGGUUCCCCAACUCAUUAUUGAGGUCCUCAUAAAGUUUUUUAAGAAAAAAAAUUUGGGUGCUCUGGGGUGCCAAAUUCAUGGGCACACACGAAAAAUCGAGGAUUUCGGGUAAUUCCUAAAAAAGACAUGUAAAUGCGGGAAUGAGCGUUAAAAAUGGUGUUAGUAUACGUGGUGGUUCUCUAACUCAUUAUAGAGGUCCUUAUAAAGUUUUUGAGAAAAAAAAUUUAGGUGCUCCGGGAGACAGAUCCAUGGGCUAUAAUAACACAUGAAAAAUCGAGGAUUUUGGGUAAUUCCAUAAAAAGGGCUUGUAAAUGCAGAAAUACGCGUUAAACAAAUGAUGUGAAUAUACAUGGUGGUUCUACAACUCAUUAAGCAUGUCCUCAUAAAGUUUUUAUUUUAAAAAUAAAUUGGGUGCUCUGGGCGCCACAUCUAUGGGCUAAAUAACACACGAAAAAUCAAGACUUUUUGGUAAUUCCAACAAAAGAGCUAGUAAAUGUGGAAAUAGGCGUUAAAAAUUGGUGUGAGUACACGUGUUGGUUCCCCAACUCAUUACGGAGGUACUCAUAAAGAUUUUUGAGAAAAACUUUUGGGUGUUCCGGGGUGCCAGAUCCAUGGACUACAACACACGAAAAAUUGAGGAUAUUGGGUAAUUCCUGAAAAUGGGCUUGUAAAUGCAGAAAUAGGCGUUAAAAAAAAUGUUAUGAGUAUACAUGGUGGUUCCCCAACUCAUUACGGAGGUACUCAUAAAGAUUUUUUGAGAAAAACUUUUAGGGUGUUCCGGGGUGCCAGAUCCAUGGACUACAACACACGAAAAAUUGAGGAUAUUGGGUAAUUCCUGAAAAUGGGCUUGUAAAUGCAGAAAUAGGCGUUAAAAAAAAUGUUAUGAGUAUACAUGGUGGUUCCCCAACUCAUUACAUAGGUCCUCUUAAGUUUUUUGAGAAACUUUUUUUGGGUGCUUUGGGGUGCCAGAUCCAUGGGAUAUAACACACGUAAAAUCGAGGGUUUUGGGUAAUUCGUAAAAAAAGGUUUGUAAAUGCGGAAAUAGGGGUUAAAAAUGGUGAGUAUACGUGGUGGUUCCCUAACUCAGUACGGAGGUCGUCAUUAAGUUUUUUGAAAAAAAAAAUUAGGUGCUUCGGGCACCAAAUCUAUAACACCCCGGAAACUAGUAGGCUAAGCUACAGCUUAACAUGAGGGUUAGAGUCGUAAAUAUAACUCCUCAUACUUAUAAUAAAGGACUUUGUGUUAGGACGUCAAGGUACGACCCCUCAAGGACCAACCAUGUGCCCUUGAGGAGGACCCUGAAAACUGCCAAAAAACAGUGGACCACACCAGGACCCACACCCCGUAGGUGGGUCCACAACCCAUAGGUCAGUGGGUCAUCAAUUUCCCUUAAGUCUCUGUCAAGACCACAGAUGAAAAGGAUGCACUGUAGGUCCAUCCACGGUCCGUCGACGUGGUCUUGUGGGUGGGCAAAAAUAAGGCAGUUGGGUGGUUAAGUGUAGGGGUACUUUGGGGUAUUCUGGUUUUAAUUAAUAACUAAGUGAGGUGGUUUUAGCCUUUAGUAGAUCACCUAUAUAAGGCUUUUAAUUCACUAAACUAAGGCAAUUGCCUCAUUAUUUCUAAAACCCAAAACUAUUCCCAAAAGUUCAUCUCCUCUCCAAAAAAUUCUCUCUCUAGAACUUCAAGGAAGAAGAAGAAGGAAGUUGGAGCUAGGGUUCAAGGAGCAAGGUUUUCUUCUAAAAUUCAUUGGAUUUCAUUGCUAAGGUAUGGUAGCUCUUCAUCUAUGGAGCCCUUUCAAAACCCCAAUUUCAAAGAUAGAAAUCCCCAAAGGUUAGGGUUUGAUUCCAAAGUCAUGGAUUCCUUUCAAAAACAAUUCUAAUGCUUAAAUUACUUUAUAUUAUGAUUGAAUUGAUGAUUUAUUAUGGUUUUUAUGUUGAAAUCCUCAAGAACUCAUGAAAUCCCCAUAUUUCCCUAUUAUGAUCUUGUGAUGUGGGUUUGUGGGUGACAGAAGAAUGUUAUGAAAUUAUGCUUGUAGUAAUUGGGUUACUUGAAUUAUGUUAAUAUCCAUGUCAAAUGUAGUGAAUUCUAGAUGUGUUGAUUGAUAUGAGCUUUGAUCCUUGAAAGGACAAAUUAUGGUAUUAUGCAUGUUUAUAUGCUCUAAGAACACUUUGAGAGUGAAGUGAAUAUGAUUAUGAUCUAGUUGUUGUGUUGUUGAAAGGUUAUUCUCAUAUACACACUUAAGUAUGAAUAUUAUGUGAUGUGAAAGAGUUUUCUCACAAUAUGAUGGUUCUAGGGUUGAAAGACUUUCUCACCUAAUUGAAUCUAAGAGUAGAAGUGAUCAUGGAUGGUGGUAGUUGCUCAUGCAUGGUCUACAUAGUUAAUCUGAUGAAUUAACAUGGAUUGAAUGUCAAGGACAUCUCUCCAUGAGACAUGAGUUAAAGUAAGACUUAAUAAGCUAUCUUGUGGGAUUUAUGCCUAGCACCGAGUGGAUAUUUAAAUGAGAUGGGGGUUCACACCUAGUUGAGUUCGGUCAUCCAAAAUAGGAACUCACACUUAGUAGAGUCCGGGUUUUCCAAAGUAUGUCUCAUGAGAUAGAAGCCUUCACCUAGAAAAGUACGGGUUUCCAGUAGCAAUCUUCGUAUCCCAUAACUACAUGCCCCGUAGGAAAGUUAGCUAGUGGAUCCAACUAAGCUAAAAAAUCGGUUCUACCUUAUGCAAGUAGACCAAACCUUGACGGUGUGGGUAACAUCGGAGAGGAUCAUAUGAUAGCUCACAUGGUCUCGUGUCGGUUAAGGCAAUAUCCCAAGUCACAACAAGACUAAGAUGAACUAAGACAUGCUUGAAGAAGUAUCUCAAAGUGUUCAAAGUAAAAAUUAACCAAGACAUGCUUAAUGAAGUAUCUCAUAGUGUUCAAAGAAUAACAAGAUAAGUAAUGAACUAAGAUAUGCUUGUAGGAGCACCUCACAUUGUUCAAAUGCAAUAAUGAACCAAGACAUGAUUAUGGAGGUAUCUCAUAGUGUUCAUAGACAACAAAAAUAUGAAUUAUGAAGUAUGGUUACUCAAGGAGCUUUACUUAGCAUGGGUGAGAUUUAUGAGGUCUUAUUCAUGCAUUGCACAAGUAUGCUUUGAGGGUGAUUAUGGUAUGUCCUUUUAUGUUAUGAUGAUGUUAGCUUGUAUUGAAGAUGAUGAGUAUGAAUGAGGGCCUAAAGUAACUUGCUUAGCAUGGGUGGGAUUAUAGGGUCUUAUCCAUGCAUUGCACAAGCAUGCCUUGAGGUUUCUUAUGAAAGGUUUCCCUUUUAUCUUUUGAUGAGUUAGAUACAUUAAGUAUGCCAAUGACUAUGUUGUCCAUGAUUAUGACUUAUGACUUCUAAUGCCUCAUAUGAUGUUUAAACUUGGCAUAUAGCAUGUGUUUCAAAUGAAAUGUCCUUUUUAGCAUGUUUUCAAUGUUUUUAUGCAUGACUAUCAUUCUUAGUGGAUUUUUGUACUAACACCUACUUUUCCUACAUUUUCCCAAGUGUAGGGUUCGGUUCUCAAGGUGCUAAUCAUUGUGGCUAGAAGCUUGAAUUUGCUUAUUCUCCUAGCUGUUGGUAAGUCCUCAAGAUUUGAGGACGAAUUUUAUCUCAUAGUAGUUUCCUUUAUCGUAUUUCCUUUUUGGACAUGUUGUAUGGGCUAGGCCUUAUAUCAUUCAAGUAUUGUAAUAGAUGGCUAUAUUGAGACAAGUCUAGACUUCCGCUUUUCUUUUAUGAAAAUUUUAAGACUUGGAAUAUGUUUUUACUCCUUAUUGUUCUCAGCUGAUGUUAUGAUAUGCUAAGUGGCUUACAUGGAGCCUUCCGGAGUUCUAUGUGUCAUGUUACAUCUAGGAGGUACCCUUGGGUCAUGACAAGAUCCAUGGGCUCACACGAAAAAUCGAGAAUUUUGGGUAAUUCCCAAAAAAUGGCUUGUAAAUUUGGAAAUAUGCGUUAAAAAUGGUGUGAGUAUACGUGGUGGUUCCCCAACUCAUUACGAGGUCCUCUUAAAGUUUUUUGAGAAAAAAAUUUGGGUGCUCCGGGGCACCAGAUCUAUGGGUUAUAACAUAGAAAAAUAGAGGAUUUAAAGUAAUUCCUACAAAAGGGCUUGUGAAUGCGUAAAUAGGCAUUCAAAAAAUGGUGUCAGUAUACGUGGUGGUUCCCCAACACAUCACAGUGGUCCUCAAAAAGUUUUUUGAGAAACAAAAUUAGGAGCUCCGGACGCCGGAUCCAUGGGCUAUAACACAUGAAAAAUUGAGGAUUUUAAGUAAUUCCUUUAAAAGGGGAUUGUAAAUGUUGAAAUAGGUGUUGAAAAAAUGUUGUGACUAUACGUGGUGUUUCACCAACACAUCACGGAGGUUCUAAUAAAGCUCUUUAAGAAAAAAAAUUGGGUGCUCUAGGGCGCCAUAUCCAUGGGCUAUAACAAACCGAAAAAUUGAGGAUUUUGAGUAAUUCCUAAAAAGAGGCUUGUAAAUGCGGAACUAGGAGUUAAAAAUGGUGUGAGUAUACAUAGUGGUUCCCAAACUCAUAACGGAGGUCCUCAUAAAUUUUUUUGAGAAAAAAUAUUUGGGUGCUCUAAGGCGCCACAUCCAUGGGCACACUCGACAAAUCAAGAAUUUUGGUAAUUCCUAAAAAAGGGCAAGUAAAUGCGGAAAUAGGCGUUAAAAUUGGUGUGAGUAUACCUAGUGGCUCCGCAAUUCAUUACAAAGGUCCUCAUAAAGUUUUUUGAGAAGAAAAUUUUGGGUUUCUCUAGGCGCCAGAUCCAUGGGUUAUACCACACGAAAUAUCGAGGAUUUUGGAUAAUUUCUAAAAAAAUGGGCUUGUAAAUGUGAAAAUAUGCGUUAAACAAAUGUUGUAAGUAUACGUGGUGGCCCCCAACUCAUUACGGAGAUCUUAUGAGAAAAAACCAUUUGGGUGCUCCAUGGUGCAAGAUCCAUGGGAAAUAACACACCCAAAAAUUGAGAAUUUUUGGUAAUUCCUAUAAAAGGGCCUAUAAAUAUAGAAAUAGGCGUUAAGAAAAUAAUGUAAGUAUACUUAGUGGUUCCGCAACUCAUUAUGGAGGUCCUCAUAAGGUUUUUUGAGAAAAAAAAUUUGGGUGCUCCGAACGCCAGAUCCAUGGGCUAUAACACACUGAAAAUCAAAAAAAUUGGGUAAUUCCUAAAAAAGAGCUUGUAAAUGCGGAAAUAGGCAUUAAAAAAAGGUGUGAGUAUAAGUGGUGGUCCCUAAUUAAUUAUGGAGGUCCUCAUAAAGUUUUUUGAGAAAAAAUUUGGGUGCUCAGAGCUCCAAAUCCAUGAGCAACACACGAAAAAAUCGAGGAUUUUUGGUAAUUCCUAAAAAAGGGCUUGUAAAUUCGGAAAUAGGUAUUAAACAAAGGUUGCGAGUAUACAUGGUGGUUCCCCAACUCAUUACGGAGGUCCUCACAAAGAUUUUUGAGAAAAAAAAUUGGGUGCUCCGGGGAGCUAAAUCCAUGGGCUAUAACACACGAAAAAUUUGAGAUUUUUGGAAAUUCCUAAAAAGGGCUUGUAAAUGUGGAAAUAUGCGUUAAAAAAGUGGUAUUAGUAUACGUAGUGGUUCCCCAACUAAUUAUGGAGGUCCUAAUAAAGUUUUAUGAGUAAAUAAUUUUCGAUGCUCUUGGGUGCCAGAUUCAUGGGCUAUAUAACAAUCAAAAAAUCGAGAAUUUUGGGUAAUUCCUAAAAAAGGCUUGUAAAUGUGAAAAUAGGCGUUCAAAAUUGUGUGAGUAUACUUGGUGGUUCCCCAACUAAUUACGGAGGUCCUCAUAAAGCUAUUUGAGCAAAAAAAAUCGAUUCUUCGGGUGCCAGAUUCAUGGUCUGUAACAAACAAAAAAAUGAGGAUUUUUGGUAAUUCCUACAAAAGGUCUUGUAAAUGCGGAAAGAGGCGUUAAAAAAUGGUGUGAGUAUACGUUGUUGUUACCAUCUCAUUACAGAGGUCCUUAAAAGAUUUUUAAGAAUUUUUUUUUUUGGUAUUCCAGGGCACCAAAUUCAUGAACUAUAACACACAAAAAGUUGAGGAUUUUGGGUAAAUCCUAAAAAAGGGGUUGUAAAUGUGGAAAUAGGCGUUACAAAAUGGUGUGAGUAUACGUGGUGGUUCCCCAACUCAUUAUGGAUUUUCUCAUAAAGUUUUUUGAGAAAACAAUUUUUAGUGCUCCGGGCGCCAUAUUCAUGGGCUAUAACACACGAAAAAUCACGGAUUUUGGGUAAUUCCUAAAAAGGGGCUUGUAAAUGGUAGGGGUUAAAAAUUGUAUGAGUAUACAUGGUGGUUCCCAACUUAUUACGGAGGUCCUUAUAGCGUUUUUUGAGAAUAAAUUUUUGGGUGCUCUAGGGCGCCAAAUUCAUUGGCAUAACUCACGGAAAUUGAGGAUUUUAGGUAAUUUCUAUAAAAGGACAUAAAUGCGGGAAUAGGCAUUAAAAAUGGUGUGAGUAUACGUGGUGGUUCCUCAACUCAAUACGGAUUUCUUCAUAAAGUUUUAUGGAAAAAAAUUGGGUGCUCUGGGCGCCAUAUCCAUUGGCUAUAUAACACCUGAAAAAUCAUGGAUUUUGGGUAAUUCCUGAAAAAGGUCUUGUAAAUGCUGAAAUUGGCGUUAAAAAUGGUAUGAGUAUGCAUGGUGGUUCUCCAACUCAUUACGGUGGUCCUCAUAAAGAUUUUUGAGAAAAAUAAUUUCGGUGCUCCUGGGGGCUCGAUUCAUGGGCUAUAUAGCACACGAAAAAUCUAGGAUUUUGGGUGAUUCCUUAAAAGGGCUUCUAAAUGUGGAAAUAUGCGUUAAAAUGGUAUGAGUAAACCUGGUGGUUCACCCACUUAUAACGAAUGUCCUCAUAAUGCUUUUUGAGUCCUAAAAAAGAAUUUGUAAAUGCGGAAAUAGGCAUUAAAAAUGGUGUGAGUUAUAUGUGUUGUUUCCCGAAUUCAUUACAGAGGUACUCAUACAGAUUUUUGAGAAAAAUAUUUUGGGUGUUUCGGGGUGCCACAUCCAAGGGCUAUAAGACACGAAAAAUUGAGGAUAUUGGGUAAUUCCUAAAAAGGGGCUUCUAAAUGCAGAAAUAGGCGUUAAAAAAAUAUUAUGAGUAUACAUAGUGGUUCCCCAACUCAUUAAAUAGGUCCUCUUAAAGUUGUUUGAGAAUUUUUUUUUGGGUGCUUCGGGGCGCCAACUCCAUGGGCUAUAACACACGUAAAAUCGAGGGUUUUGCGUAAUUCCUAAAAGGGGUUUGUAAAUGCGGAAAUAGAGGUUAAAAAUGGUGUAAGUAUACAUGGUGGUUCCCUAACUCAUUACAGAGGUCGUCAUAAAAAAAAAUUGAAAAAAAGUUUUGGGUGCUUUAGGCGCCAAAUCCAUGAGCUAUAUAACACACGAAAAAUUAAGAAUUUUGGGUAAUUCUUAAAAGAGGUUUGUAAAUAGGAAAUGGACGUUAAAAAAAUGGUGUGAGUAAACGUGGUGGUUCGCCAACUCAUUAUGGCGGUCCUCAGAAAGUUUGUUAAGAAAAAAAAUUUGGGUGCUCUGAGCGCCAGAUCCAUGGAUUACCACACGAAAAAUUGAGGAUUUUGGGUGAUUGCUAAAAAAAGGAUUGUAAAUGCGGAAAUAGGGGUUAAAAAAGGUGUGAGUAUACAUGAUGGUUCCCUAACUCAUUACAAAGGUCGUCAUAAAGUUUUUUGAAAAAAAGUUUUGGGUGCUCGAGGCAUCCGAUCUAUGGGUUAUAACACACAACAAAAUCAAGAAUUUUGGGUAAUUCUUAAAAAGAGGCUUGUAAAUGCGGAAAUGGACGUUAAAAACCGGUGUGAGUAUACGUGGUGGUUCGCCAAUUCAUCAUGGAGGUCCCCAUAAAAAAAUUUGAGAGAAAAAAGUGGGGUGCUCCAAGCGCCAGAGCCAUAGGCUAUAACACACGAAAAAAUCGAGGAUUUUGGUCAUUUUCUAAAAAAAAAAGGAUUUUAAAUGCGGAAAUAGGCAUUAACAAUGAUGUUAAUAUACGUGAUGGUUCCCCAACUCAUUAUAGAGGUCCUCAUAAGGUUUUUUGAGAAAUAAAUUUUGGGUUCUCCGGGGUGCCAAAUCAAUGGGCUAUAGCAUAGGGAAAAUGGAGGAUUUUGGGUAAUUCAAUAAAAAGGACAUGUAAAUGUGGAAAUAAGCGUUAAGAAAUGGUAUGAGUAAAACUGGUGGUUCCCAACUCAUUAAGGAUUUCCUCAUAAAGUUUUUUGAGAAAAACAAUUUGAUGCUCCGGGGAGCCAGAUCCAUAGGCUAUAACACCCGACAAAUUGAGGAUUUUGGGUAAAUCCUAAAAACGGUCAUGUAAAUGCCGAAAUAGGCGUUAAAAAUGGUUUGAGUAUAUGUGGUGGAUCCACAACUCAUUACAUAGGUCCUCAUAAUAUCUUUUGAGAAAAAAAAAUUAUUGGAUGCUCCAGGCGCCAGAUCCACUGGCUAUAUAACAUACGAAAAAUCGUAUUUUGGGUAAUUCCUAAUAAGGAACUUAUAAAUGCGGAAAUAAGUGUUAAAAAUGGUGUGAGUAUACGAUGUUGUUCAGCUACUCAUUACGGAGAUCCUUAAAAGUUUUUUUAAAAAAAAUAUUUGGGUGCUUAGGGGAACCACAUCUAUGGGCUAUAACACGCGAAAAAUCGACAAUUUUGGAUAAUGCCUAAAAAGGGUAAUGUAAAUACGAAAAUAGGCUUUAAAAUGGUGUGAAUAUACAUGGUGAUUUCCCAAAUCAUUACAGAGGUCCUCAUAAAGUUUUUGAGAAAAACAUUAAGGGUUCUCUGGGCGCCAGAUCCAUGGCUAUAACACACGAAAAAUCGAGGAUUUUGGUUAAGUCCUAAAAAGGGCUUGUAGAUACGUAAACAGGCAUUAAAAUAGUUUUAGUAUACAUGUUGGUUCCCCAACUGAUUACAGAAAUUCUCAUAAAAAAAUUUAAGAAAAAAAAUUUGGGUGCUCUGGGGCGCCAGAUCCAUGGGCUAUAACACAUGAAAAAUCGAAGAUUUUGGGUAAUUCCUAAAAAAUUUCUUGUAAAUGCAGAAAUAGGCGUUAACAAAUGUUAUGAGUAUACAUGGUGGUUCCCCAACUCAUUACGGAGGUCCUCAUAAAGUUUUCUGAGAAUAUUUUUUGGGUGCCAGAUCAAUGGGAUAUAACACAUGGAAAAUCGAGGAUUUUGGGUAUUUACUAAAAAAAUGGAUUAUAAGUGCGGAAGCUUUAAAAAUGGUAUGAAUAUACGUGGUGGAUCCCAACUCAUUACGGAGGUCCUCAUAAAGUUUUUCAGAAAAAAGUUUUGGAACGAAAAUUUGAAGAUUUUGGUUAAUUCCUAAAAAAAAAUAUGUAAAUGCAGAAAAAUGUUUUUUAAAUGGUGUGAGUAUCCGUUGUGGUUCCAUUACUCAUUAUAGUGGUCCUCAUAAAGUUUUUUGAGAAAAAAAUUGGGUUCUCUAGGGCGCCAAAUCCAUGGGCUAUAACACACGAAAAAUUGAGAAUUUUGAGUAAUUGUUAAAAAGGGGCUGUAAAUGCGGAAAUAAGCGUUAAAAAUGGUGUGAGUAAACGUGGUGGUCCCCAAUUCAUUAAGGAAGUCCUCAUAAAAAUUUUUGAGAAAAAAAUUUGGGAUGCUCUGGGCGCCAGAUCCAUGGUCUUAUAACACACGAAUAAUCGAGGAUUUUGGUUAAUUCUUAAAAAGGCUUGUAAAUGCGAAAAUAAGCAUUAAAAAAUUGUGAGAGUAUAAGUGGUGGUUCCCCAACUCAUUACGGAGGUUCUCAUAAAUUUUAUGAGAAAAAAAUUUAUGGUGCUCUGGGCGCUUGAUCCAUGUGCUAUAACACAUGAAAAAUCAAAGAUUUUGGGUAAUAUCUAUAAAAGGGCUUGUAAAUGCGGAAAUGGAAAUUAAAAAUGGUAUGAGUAUACAUGGUGGUUUCCCAACACGUAAUGGAGAUCCUCAAUAUGUUUUUUGAGAAAAAAAUUUGGGUUCUCCGAGGCGCCAAAUCCAUGGGCUGUAACACACGAAAAAAUCAAAGAUUUUGGGAGAUUCCUAAGAAAGGGUAUGAAUGCGUAAAUAGGCAUUAAAACAAUGGUGCGAGUAUACGUGGUUGUUCCCCAACUUAUUAAGGAGGUCCUCAAAAAGUUUUUUGAGAAUUUUUUUUUUGGAUGCUUUGGGACACCAGUUCCAUUGGCUAUAACACACAAAAAAUCAAGUAAUUUGGGUAAUUCUUAAAAAGGUCUGUAAAUGCAGAAAUAGGCGUUAAAAAAAACGGGUGUGAGUAUACGUCGUGGUUCCCCAACUCAUUAUGGAAAUCCCCAUAAAUAUUUUUGAGACAAAAAAUUGGUGCUUCGGGAGCCAGAUUCAUGGGCUAUAACACACGAAAAAUUGAGGAUUUUGGGUAAUUCUUAAAAAAGGGUUUAUAAAUGAGGAAACAUGCGUUUCAAAAAUUGUGUGAGUAUACGUGGUGGUUCCCAACUCAUUACAGAGGUCCUAAAAAAGUUUUUUGAGAAAUAUUUUAGGGAGCUCCGCGGAGUUAGAUCCAUGGGCUAUAACACAUGAAAAAUUGAGGAUUUUUGGUAAUUCUUUAAAAAGGGCCUAUAAAUGCUGAAAUUUGCAUUAAAAUGGUGUAAGUAUACGUGGUGGUUCCCAACUCAUUACAGAGGUCCUAAAAAAGUUUUUUGAGAAAUAUUUUAGGGAGCUCCGCGGAGUUAGAUCCAUGGGCUAUAACACAUGAAAAAUUGAGGAUUUUUGGUAAUUCUUUAAAAAGGGCCUAUAAAUGCUGAAAUUUGCAUUAAAAUGGUGUAAGUAUACGUGGUGGUUCCUAAAAUCAUUACGGAGUUCCUCAUAAAGUUUUUUUAGAAAAUAACUUUGGGUUUUCCUAGGCGUCAGAAGCAUGGGCUAUAACACACGAAAAAUUGAAGAUUUUGAGUAAUUCCUAAAAAAGGGUUGUUAAAUGCGGAAAUAGGUGUUAAAAUGCUCUGAGUAUACGUGAUGGUUCCCCAACUCUUUACGGAGGUUCUCAUAAAGUUUUUUGAGAAAAAAACUUUGGGUGCUCAAGGCGCUAGAUCCAUGGGAUAUAACACACGAAAAAUUGAGGCUUUUGGGUAAUUUCUAAAAAAGGCCUUGUAAAUGUGGAAAUAUGUGUUAAAAAUUGUGUGAGUAUACGUGGUCGUGCCCCAACUCAUUACGAAGGUCCUCAUAAAAAAAUUUAAGAAAAACUUUUUGGGUCCUACAAAGCGCCAUAUUCAUGGGCUAUAACACAUGAAAAAUUAAGGAUUUUGGGUAAUUCCUAAAUAAAAAGGGGUUGUAAAUGCGGGAAUAGGAGUAAAAAAAAUUGUCUGAGUAUACGUGAUAGUUCACUAAUUCUUUACGGAGGUGCUCACAAAAUUUUUUGAGAAAUUUUUUUUUAGUGCUCAGGAGCGCCAGAUCCAUGAACUUUAACACACGAAAAAUUGAGGAUUUUGAGUAAUUUCUAAAAAAAGGCUUGUAUAUGCGAAAAAUAGGUGUCUAAAAAUAUAGUGCGAGUAUACGUGGUGAUUUCCUAACUCAUUACGGAGGUUCUCAUAAUUUUUUUGAGAAAGAAACUUUAGGUGCUCCGGGUACCAGAUCCAAGGGUUAUAACGCACAAAAAAUUGAGGAUUUUGGAUAAUUCCUAAUAAAUGGCUUGUAAAUGCGGAAAUGGGGGUUUUAAAUGGUGUGAGUAUACGUGCCGGUUCUCCAAAUCAUUACGGAGGUCAUCAUAAAAUUUUCUGAGAAAAAAAUUUAGGGUGCUCCGAGGUGCUAGAUCUAUUUCCUAUACACACGAAAAAUCGAGGAUUUUUAGUAAUUUCUAUAAAGGGCUUAUAAAUGCAGAAAUAGGAAUUUAAAAAUAUAGCGUGAGUAUACAUGGUUGUUCCCCAACUCAUUCGGGAGGUCCUCAUAACUUUUUGAGGAAAAAACUUUCGGUUCUCCUGGACGCCAGAACCAAGGGCAAUAACACACAAAAAAUUGAGGGUUUUGGGUUAUUUCUAAAAAGAGCCUGAAAAUGCAAAAAUAGACUUUAAAAAAAUGGUGUGAAUAUAUGUGGUGGUUAACCAACUCAUUACGAAGCUCCACAUAAAGUUUUUUUGACAAAAAAGUUUUAGGUGCUCCAGGCGCCAGAUCCAUGGGCUAAAACGCACGAAAAAUUGAGGAUUUUGGGUAAUUCACAAAAAAUGACUUGUAAAUUCAGAAAUAAGUGUUAAAAAUGGUGUGAGUAUACGUGGUGGUUCCCCAACUCAUUACGAGGUCCUCAUAAAGUGUUUUGAGAAAAAAAAAUUAGGUGCUCCGGGGUGCUAGAUCCAUGGGAUAUAACACACGAACAAUUGAGGAUUUUAGGUAAUUUCUCAAAAAGGGCCUUUAAAUGCGAAAAUGGGCGUUAAAAUGGUGUGAGUAUGUGUGGUGGUUCCCCAACUCAUUGUGGAGGUCAUCAUAAAGUUUUUUGAGAAAAAAAAAUUUAGGUACUCCGGGGCAUUAGAUCCAUGGGCUAUAACACACGAAAAAUUGAGGAUUUUAGAUAAUUCCUAACAAAGGGCAUGUAAAUGCGGAAAUAUGCCUUAAUAAAAUGGUGUGAGCAUACGUGGUGAUUCCCAACUCAUUACGGAAUCCUCAUAAAGUUUUUUGAAGAAAAAAAUUGGGUGCUCGGGAUGCCAGAUCCUUGGGCUAUAACACACGAAAAAUAGGGAUUUUGGGUAAUUUCUUAAAAAGGGAAUGUAAAUGCGGAAAUAGGUGUUAAAAAUGCUGUGAAUAUUCGUGGUGGUUCUCCAACACAUUACAGAGCUCCUCAAACGAUUUUUUGAUUAAAAAAAAAAAUUGGUGCUCCAUGGCGCCAGAUUCAUGGGCUAUAACACACGAAAAAGCGAGAAUUUUGGAUAAUUCCUAAAAAAGGGCUAGUAAAUGCAAAAAUAGGUGUUAAAAAUGGUGUGAGUAUACAUGGUGGUCCCCAACUCAUUACGGAGGUACUCAUAAAGUUUUUUGACAAAAAAAAAUUUGGGUGCUCUGGGGCAUCAGAUCUAUGGUGCUAUAUAUAUAACACACGAAAAUUGAGAAUUUUGAGUAAUUCCUAAGGCCUGCAAAUGCGGAAAUAGGUGUUAAAAAAAUAAUGUGAAUAUACGUGGUAGUUCCCUGACUCAUUACAGAGGUCCUCAUAAGGUUUUUUUAAAAAACAAAUUGGGUGCUCCGAGGCGCUAUAUCCAUGGGUUAUAAGACAUGAAAAAUCAAGUAUUUUGGGUAUUUUCUAAAAAAUGGCAUGUAAGUGCAAAAAUAAGCGUUAAAAAUGGUGUGAGUAUAUGUGGUGGUUUCCCAACUCAUUAUGGAGGUCCUCAUAUAGAUUUUUGAGAAAAAAAUUUGGUGCUCCGGGGAGUCUGAUCCAUGGGCUAUAACACAUGAAAAUCGAGGAUGUUGGGUAAUUCCUAAAAAAAGGGCCUUUAAAUGCGGAAAUAGGCGUUAAAAAAUUGUGUCAAUAUACGUGGUGGUUCCCAACUCAUUACGGAGGUAAUCAUAAAGUUUUUUGAGAAAAAAAAAUUGGAUACUCCGGGGCGCCAGAUCCAUUGUCUAAACAUUCAAAAAAUUGAGGAUUCUGGGUAAUUCCCAAAAAAUGGCCUAUAAAUGCGAAAAUAGAUGUUCAAAAAAUUGUGUGAGUAUACAUGGUGGUUCCCAACUCAUUCGGAAGUCCUCAUAAAUUUUUUUGAGAAAAACUUUUUGGGUGCUUCAGGGCACCAAAUCCAUAGGCAAUAACACACGAAAAUCUCGAAUUUUGGGUAAUUUCUAAAAAAAAGGGUCUGUAAAUGCGGAUAUAGGUGUUAAAAAAUUUGUGUGAGUACAGGUAGUGGUUUCUCAACUCAUUACGGAGGUCCUCAUAAAGGUUUUUGAGAAAAAAAAUUGAGGAUAUUCUAAAAAAGGGCAUGUAAAUGCUGAAAUAGGCGUUAAAAAAUGGUGUCAGUAUACGCGGUGGUUUCCCAAUUCAUUACGAAGGUCCUAAUAAAGUUUUUUGAGAAAAAAAAAUUAGGUGCUCCGGGUCGCCUGAUCCAUGGGCUAUAACAUACAAAAAAUCGAGGAUUCUUGGUAAUUCCUAAAAAGGGCCUAUAAAUGCGGAUCUGCUCAUUACAGAGGUCCUAAUAAAGUUUUUUGUGAAAAAAAAAUUUGGGUGCUCUGGGGAGCCAGAUCUAUAGGCUAUAACACAUGGAAAAUUUAGGAUUUUAGGUAAUUCCUAAAAAAGGCCCUGUAAAUGUGGAAAUUGGCAUUGUGUGAGUAUACGUAGUGGUUCCCCAACUCUUUACGGAGGUCCUCAUUAAGUUUUUUGAGAAAACGAUUUUGGGUGCUUCGAGGCGCCAUAUCCAUGGGCUAUAACACUCAAAAAAUCUAGGAUUUAGGGUAAUUCUUUAUAAAGGGUCUGUAAAUUCGGAAAUAGGCAUUUAAAAUGGUGUGAGUAUACGUGGUGGUUCCCCAACUCAUUACGUAGGUCCUCAUAAAGUUUUUUGUGAACAAAUUUUUUGGCCUAUAACACACGAAAAAUCGAGGAUUUUUUGUCAUUCUUCAAAAAGGGCCUGUAAAUGUGGAAAUAGGCAUUAAAAUGGUGUGAGUAUACAUGGUGGUUUCCCAACUCAUUACAGAGGUCCUCAUAAAGUUUUUUGAAAAAGAGAUUUUGGGUGAUUCAGAGCGCCAAAUCCAUGGGUUAUAACACAUAAAAAAUUGAGGAUUUUGGGUACUUCCCAAAAAAGGGCCUGUAAAUGCGGAAAUAGACGUUAAAAAUGGUGUGAGUAUAUGUGGUGGUUCCUCAACUCAUUGUGAAGGUACUCAUGAAGUUUUUUGAGAAAAAAAAUUUGGGUUCUCACGAACGCUAGAUCCAUGGGCUAUAACACACAUAAAAUCGAGGAUUUUGGAUAAUUCCUAAAAAGGGACUGUAAAUGCGGAAAGUGACGUUAAAAAUUAAUGUGAGUAUACGUGAUUGUUCCCCAACUCAUUACGUAUGUCCUAUAAAUUUAUUUGAGAAAAAAAUUGAGUGCUUCGGGGCACCAGAUCCAUAGGUUAUAGCACACGAAAAAUCGAGGAUUUUAGAUAAUUCGUAAAAAAGGUCUGAAAAUGUGGAAAUAGGCGUUAAAAAGUGGUGUGAGUAUACAUGGUGGUUCCCCAACUCACUGCGUAGGUCCUCAUAAAGUUUUUUGAGAAAAUAAUAUUUGGUGCUCUGGAGCGGCAGACAAUGGGCUAUACACACGAAAAAUCGAGGAUAUUGGGUAAUUUCCAAAAGAGGUCUCGUAAAUGCGGAAAUAUGCGUUAAAAAUGGUGUGAGUAUACGUGGUGGUUCUCCAACUCAUUACAGAGGUCAUCAUAAAGUUUUUAUCGAAAAAAAAUUUGGGUUCUCCGGGGCGCUAGAUCCAUGGGAUAAAACACACGAAAAAUCAAGAAUUUUGAGUAAUUCCUAAAAAAAGGGUGUGUAAAUGCGGAAAUAGGCGUUAACAAAAUGGCGUGAACAUACGUGGUGGUUCCCCAACUCAUUACGGAGGUCCUCAUGAAGUUUUUUGAGAAUAUAAAUUUGGGUGCUCUGGGGCGCCAUAUCCAUGGGAUAUAACACAAGAAAAAAUUGAGGAUUUUGGGUUAUUUCUAAAAAAAAAAAUUGUAAAUGCGGAAAUAAGCGUUAAAAAAUGGUGUGAGUAGACUUGGUGGUUCCCCUACUCAUUACAAAGCUCCUCAUAAAGUUUUUUGAGAAAACAAUUUGGGUACUCUAGGGCACUAGAUCGUUGAGCUAAACACAAAAAAUUGAGGAUUUUGGAUAAUUUCUAAAAAGGGCUUGUAAAUGCGAAAAUAGGCGUUAAAAAUGGUGUAAGUAUAUGUGGUGGUUCCCCAACUUAUUGCGGAGGUCCUCAUAAAGUUUUUUUUUGAUAAAAAAAAAUUGGGUGCUCCGGAGCGCUGAUGUGCCGCGAAAUCUUGGCACAUUUGAUGCUUGAAAACUAAGGAUUAAUACUAGAAUCGAGUGUAUUUAUGUGGAUAUGAAGUGUUUGGUAGUGUUUGUGCAGGUAAAACAUGUGGACUUGAAAGAAGAAAGAAAAGAAGAAAAUGCAGAGUGAAAGUGAAUUGAACCAAGUGAAGAUCACGAACACUUAGACGGGCCAUGAAGAUCAUGACUGAUCGUGAUAUGGCUCGUGAAUUAGAACCAGUGAGAAGGCAUGGAAGAAUUACAUUUUAGUGGAGCAAGUAAGGACCACGGACGACCUUAUGGGCCGUGGUUCUCACAACGGUUCGUGGAGGUGAUCGUGAAGUGGAUCCAGUAAAUAGGCAUCAAAAAGCUGAAGAGUGAAUUGGCCAAGUGAAGACCACGGGCACCUAUACGAACCGUGGUCAUUGUCACGACCCGGGGUGAUGUUCGUGGUGCUUUUUCAGUGUGCAGGCCUUAAAGACCCAAGUUUGGAGAGGUGCCAAGUAAAGACCACGAAGGGCAUCACGGACCGUCAAGGCACUCGUGAAUAUGCGCAACAGAUCAUUCCUACUUCGAGUAGGACUCUUUUUAGACACUUUAUUUGAAUUAAUUAGGUCGUUUAUUGUUUUUAUCUUGUCAUAUCUGGAACGAGCGGCGAUGGUUGAAGUACUCUUGACUUUAGUUUUUAUCGAUUAACAUUGAAUCGAUCUUGGAAGUUGGAUUUUGAUUUUUCUCAAUAUCAAGCGUUCAUUGAAUUUGCAGAUUUUCGUAAGUAAACUUUCUUAAUGUUUUCAUUACUAAUCUUUGUUCAUUUAGUAGAAAUCAUGAGUGGCUAAACACCACAACUAGGAUUGUGGGAACUAUGACAGAAAUCUAAACGCGAAUUCGUAACACGAGUAGAAGGUGAAUUGUAUUUGCAAUAUUUAACUCAACUUUCGUUGUUCAUUUGUUCUAAUGAGUGCACGUAUUAGAGUCAGCAUGUAUCUAUCAAUUCUUUGACAGAAAAGAGAUAGUUGGGAAAAAGCGGAGAGAAAAGCGAACUUUAACAUCAUUGUACGCGGGGGUAGAAUUUGUUAAUGCUCAAGGAUCGAGAGGAAUUGAGUGAAAAUUAUCUAACUAGACUGAGAAGUGUUAGAUAUAGUCAACUCGCUUAUAAUUUGCAAAGACUAAAUUACCUGAAACUCAGUUACGGAUGAACAAUAGAUGUAAUGUCAUGGAAAACACAACCCUGGUUCUAUUUAUUUAUCAAAACAACUUUAGAAUCAACACUCUGUUAAUUGUUAAUCUGGAUUUAUUUUAACAAUCUUAGUUACUAAAAUUUUACAGCUAAACCCAAUUUACAUUUUGUAAUUGUUUUCUCUAGGAAAUAAUAAUAACAUUUGGGUAAACGCGACAGUGAAAUCAUUUAUGUAAAGAAAUUCUCUGUGGGAUCGACCUCAACUCACGUUGAGUUCUAUAAAUUGACUUUGACCGUUUAUAAUUCUUAAUUGAAGUGUAAGUUUGGACGUAUCAAGCGUCAGAUCCAUGGGCUAUACACACAAAAAAACCGAGGAUUUUUGGUAAUUGCUAAAAAAGGGACAGUAAAUGCGGAAAUAGGUGUUAAAAAUGGUGUGAGUAUACGUGGAGGUUCCCCAACUCAUUACUUAGGUACGCAUAAAGGUUUUUGAGAAAAAAGUUUUGGGUGCACCGGGGCGCCAGAACAAUGGGCUAACACGAAAAAUUGAGGAUUUUGGGUAAAUCCUAAAAAUGGCCUAUAAAUGCGAAAAUAGGUGUUAAAAAAAUGGUGUGAGUAUAUGUAGUGAUUCCCCAACUCAUUACGGAGGUCCUCAUAUUUUUUGUUGAGAAAACAAUUUUGGAUGCUCCGAGGCGCCCGAUCAAUGGGCUAUAACAUACGAAAAAUCGAGGAUUUUGGAUAAUUCUUAAAAAGGGCAUGUGAAUGCGGUAAUAAACGUUAAAAAUGGUGUGAGUAUACGUGGUGGUUUCCCAACUAAUUACGGAGGUCCUCAUAAAGAUUUUUGAGUAAAAAAUUUAGGGUUCUCCGGGGUGCCAAAUCCAUGGUCAUAACAUACGAAAAAUCGAUGAUUUUGGGUAAUUCCUAAAAAAGGGUCUAUAAAUGCAUAAAUAGGCGUUAAAAAUGGUGUGAGUAUACGUGGUGGUUCCCUAACUCACUACGGAGGUCCUCAUAAUAUUUUUGAGAAAAACAAUUCGGGUGCUCUGAAGCGCUAGAUCUAUAGGCUAUAACACAUGAAAAAUUGAGGAAUUUGGGUAAUUUCUAGAAAAAAAGGCUUGUAAAUGCGAAAAUAGGCAUUAAAAAUGGUGUGAGAAUACGUGGUGGUUCCCCAACUCAUUACGGAAGUCCUCAUAAAGUUUUUUGAGAAAAAAAUUUGUGGUGCUCCGGGGCACCAGAUUCAUGGGCUAUAACGCAUGAAAAAUCGAGGAUUUUGGGUAAUUCUAAAAAAGGGCUUGUAAUAGGAAAUAGUCGUUAAAAAAAUGGUGUGAGUAUACGUCGUGGUUCCCAAACUCAUUACGGAGGUCCUCAUAAAGUUUUUUGAGAAAAAAAUCUUGGGUGCUCCGCGGCGCCAGAUCCAUGGGUUAUAUAACACACGAAAUAUCGAGGAUUUUGGGUAAUUCCUAAUAAAAGGCCUGCAAAUUCAAAAAUAGGCAUUCUAAUAUGGUGUGAGUAUACGUGGUGGUUCCCCAAAUAAUUACGGAGAUCCUCAUAAAGUUUUUUGAGGAAAAAAAAUUAGGUGCUUAGGGGCGCCAAAUCCAUGGGUUAUAACACACGAAAAAUUGAGUAAUUUGGGUAAUUCCUAAAAAGUGCCUCUAAAUGCAACAAUAGUCGUUAAAAAAAGGUGUGAGUAUACGUGGUGGUUCUCUAACUCAUUACGGAGGUCCUCAGAAAGUUUUUUGAGAAAAUAUAAUUUAGGGUGCUCCGGGGCACCAGAUCCAUAGGCUAUAUAACACAUGAAAAAUCGAAGAUUUUGCGUAAUUCCUAAAUGGUGUGAGUAUACGUGGUGGUUCCUCAACUCAUUAUGGAGGUCCUCACAAAGUUUUUUGAGAAAAAAAAUUCAGUGCUCCAAGCGCUAGAUCCAUGUGCUAUAAAACACGAAAAAUCGAGAAUUUUGGUUAAUUCCUAAAAAAGGCUUGUAAAUAAGGAAAUAGGCGUUAAAAAUUAUGUGAGUAUAUAUGGUGGUUCCCCAACUCAUUACGAAGGUUCUCAUAAUAUUUUUUGAGAAAAGAAUUUUGGGUGCUCUGGGGCACCAGAUCAUUGGGCUAUAACAAACGAAAAAUUGAGGAUUUUGGGUAAUUCAUAAAAAAGGGCCUCUAAGUGCGGAAAUAGGCAUUAAAAAUGGUGUGAGUAGAUGUGGUGGUUCCCCAACUCAUUACGGAGGUCCUUAUAAAGUUUUUUGAGAAAAAAAAUUAGGUGCUCCAGGCGCCAGAUCCAUGGGCUAUAACACAUGAAAAAUUGAGGAUUUUGGGUAAUUCCUAAAAAGGGACUUGUAAAUGUGAAAAUAGGCAUUAAAAAAAUGGUGUGUAUACGUGGUGGUGCCCCAAAUCAUGACGGAUGUCCUCAUAAAAAAUUUUGAGAAUAAAAUUUUGGGUGCUCUGAGGUGCCUAAUCCAUGGGCUAUAACACACGAAAAAUCGAGAAUUUUGGGUAAUUUCUAAAAAAAAGCAUGUAAAUGCUGCAAUAGGCGUUAAAAAGAUAGUGUGAGUAUACGUUGUGGUUCUCCAACUCAUUAGGGAGGUCCUGAUAAAGCUUUUUAAGAAAAAAUUAUGGUUGCUCUGGGUGCCAGAUCCAUGGGCUAUAACACACGAAAAAUCGAGAAUUUUGGGUAAUUUCUAAAAAAAAGCAUGUAAAUGCUGCAAUAGGCGUUAAAAAGAUAGUGUGAGUAUACGUUGUGGUUCUCCAACUCAUUAGGGAGGUCCUGAUAAAGCUUUUUUAAGAAAAAAAUUAUGGUUGCUCUGGGUGCCAGAUCCAUGGGCUAUAACACACGAAAGAUCGAGGAUUUUGGGUAAUUCCUAAGAAAGGGCUUUAAAAUGCCGAAAUAGGCGUUAAAAUGGUAUGAGUAUACAUGGUGGUUCCCCAACUCACUAUGGAGGUCCUCGUAAACUUUUUUGAGAUAAAAAUUUUGGGUGAUCCGGGGCACCAGAUCUAUAGGCUAUAUAACACUAGAAAAAUCGAGGAUUUUGGCUAAUUCCUAAAAAAGGGCAUGUAAAUGUGGAAAUAGGCGUUAAAAAUAUGGUGUGAGUAUACGUGGUGGUUUCCCAACUAAUUACGGAGGUCCUCAUAAUAUUUUUUGAGAAAAUAAUUUUUGGUGCUCCAAGCCAGAUCCAUGGGCUAUAUUAACACAUGAAAAAUUGAGGAUUUUGGAUAAUUCCUAAAAGAGGGCCUGUAAAUGCGGAAAUAUGAGUUAAAAAUAUGGUGUGAGUAUACGUGGUGGUUCCCCAACUCAUUACAGAGGUCCUCAUAAUUUUUUUUGAGGAAAGAAUAUUUGGUGCUCCGGGUGCCAGAUCCAUGGGCUAUUAUAACACACACAAAAUUGAGGAUUUUGUGUAAUUUCUUAAAAAAAGCUUGUAAAUGCGGAAAUAGGCGUUAAAAAAUGGUGUGAGUACACGUGGUGGUUCCCCAACUCAUUACGGAGGUCCUCAAAAUGAUUUUUGAGAAAAAAAUGUUGGGUGCUUCCGGGCGCCAGAUCCAUGAGAUAUAACACACGAAAAAUUGAGGAUUUUGGGUAAUUCCUAAAACGGGGUCUUCAUAUGCGGAAAUAGGCAUUAAAAAAAUGGUGUGAGUAUACGUGGUGGUUCCCCAACUCAUUACGGAGGUCCUCAUUAAAUUUUUUGAGAAAAAAAUUUUGGGUGCUCCGCGGCCAAAUCCAUGGCUAUAAGUCUAUAACACACGAAAAAUCGAGGAUUUUGGGUAAUUUAUAAAAAAAAAAAAGACUUGUAAAUUUGAAAAUAGACGUUAAAAAUGGUGUGAGUAUACAUGAUGGCUCCCCAACUCAUUACAGAGGUCCUCAUAAUGUUUUUUAAGAAAAAAAAACUGGGUGUUCCGGCACUAGAUCCAUGGGCACACACGAAAAAUCGAGGGUUUUGGGUAAUUUUAAAAAAGGGCCUGCAAGGCGGAAAUAGACUUUAAAAAAUGGUUUGAGUAUACGUGGUGGUUCCCCAACUCAUUACGGAGGUCCUCAUAAAGUAUUUUGAGAAAAUAAUUUUGGGUGCUCCGAGGCUCUAGAUCCAUGGGCUAUAACACGAGAAAAUCGAGGAUUUUUGGUAAUUCCUAAAAUAGGUCUUGUAUGCAGAAAUAUGCAUUAAAAUGGUGUGAGUAGACGUGGUGGUUCCCCAAAUCCUUAAGGAGGUCCUCAUAAAUUUUUUUGAGAAAAAAAAAUUGGAUGUUAUGGGGCGCCAGAUCCAUAGGUUAUAAUACACGAAAAAUCGAGGAUUUUUGAUAAUUCCUAAAAAAGGGGCUUGUAAAUGCUGAAAUAGGCGUUAAAAAAAUGGUGUGAGUAUACGUGGUGUUUUUUCAACUCAUUACAAAGAUUCUUAUAAAAAGUAAAGGGUAUCACAUAAAUUGCCAUAGAGGGAUAAUUAAAAGUGUUUAUCAUAUGAUUGCUUUAAACAAUAGAAGAAGGCACAACAGAAUGAUUAACAUUGAUUCUCCAUAAUUUCAAAUAGAUUUGGAAGACUCAAUUCUCAUAAAUUCUUUAUUUAGAUAGUCUCUCUUAACAGGUUGCCCACUACACAGCCCCUUUACGAAAGAGGUAUUACCAACAAUACCAUAUGUCAUGCCAACGGUCAAGAACCUAAAAUUAUGGGGUUGUUUGGUAGGCCGCAUUAAAAGAAAUAGUCAAUGUAUUAUGUAUGCUAUUAUUUAGUAUUACUAUGUUUGGUAGAAAUUAGAGUCUAUGUAUAACUAAUACAUGAAUCAGCUAUACAUCCUAUAUGGUAUUAUAGGAUGUAUUACUAAUACCUUCCAUUUGGAGGUAUUAGUAAUACAUAGGAUAUAAUACCAUGGAAUAAGUUAAUGUAAAGACAAAAAUAUCCCUCAAAUCAUUUUAAUUAUUUUCUUGAUUUUACGUUUUAUAUUUGUACUAGUAAAAUUAUUUAAAUAAAUUAGCUUACAAAUUAUUUAAAGAGAGUUGUUUGUUACUAAUUAAAUCCAACACAAAUUUGAAAUGUGAGUUAUUUAACAUUUACUAAUUAAAAAGGCAAAUAUAUCACUACAUGACGUUUGCAAUCUUAAUUUAAUGUAUUAUGAACAAUUUAAAAAAUUACAUACAUAUUAAAGGGAAAAUGCAUAAGUACCCCCAACAUAUGCCCAAAAUCUCAGAGACACACUUGUACUAUACUAAGGUCUUAUUACCCCCCCCCCCGAACUUAUUUUAUAAAUAAUUUUCUACCCCUUUUCGGCCUACGUGGCAGUAUCUUCUGAGCCCAACGCGUGUUGACAAUUUUUUUCAAACUAUCUGGUUGACAGUGCCACGUAGGCCGAAAAGGGGUAGAAAAUUAUUUAUAAAAUAAGUUCGGGGGGUAAUAGGACCUUAGUAUAGUAUAAGUGUGUCUCUGGGAUUUCAGGCAUAGGUUGGGGGGUACUUAUGCACUUUCCCACAUAUUAAAACUAUAACUUGCAUUUUUUAUGUGUAAAUGUAGAUGGUUUAUUCAAUCUUACCAUUGUUGACCAAUUUUCAAUUUUAAAAGUAGAUGGUUUAUCUUUUUUAAAUUGAAAAUAAACAUCUUGUGAGUGAUCAAUUAAUAAAGAUAACAAUUAUUUAUCCUCAAACAAUUCAAGUGAAAAAAUAGGAAACAUGACAACAAAAUCGUUCUUUCUCAUAGCUAUUGAAUAUUGUCUACUAACUAAGAAACAAUAGAUAGGAAAAGAUAAUGUACUCAAAGUUGCUACAUAAAAUGGUAAACCACUGGAUGAAUGUACUUGUAAACUCAAGAAUAGAGAAACAUGUAGACUCCAAGAGGAAUCGAUGGAGUAAUCAGAGAAACACAGAAACUGGAUUAUAGGGUUCAGCAAGAAUAUUCCAUACACAACAAACAUCUAUGCUGAAAUCAUGGCACUAAAAACAGGUUUGAAAAUAAUUUACCCCCUGGUUUUUCUGUCUUCGUUUGAAAAUAAUUGUCCAGGUACAAGAUAUCCUAGACAAAUCAAGCUAUGUAAUUAACUGUUCUAGUAUUAAUGAAAAUUAGUCCUUUUUCGGCCGAAAAAAGGAUAGAGCUAGAACAAGAUUGAUCUUUGACAACAGAAAGGAUGAUCAGUUCUCCUCAUUUGCGAUCCAGGUAUGAGAAGAAAUAGGUGUGCUCAAUAGAGGGGAGGCACAUAAUGGCAGAUGACGAUAAGGUUUUGCAAAAUAAAAGCCUUUUUGAAUUCUGUCUUGUUUUCCAGGUUCCAUGCUCCCUUGUGCAAUAUGCUAAGUCAAUAUUGAUGGCACAUCAUGGAGUGGAUGGCCUUUGCUGUUUCUUUCCAUAACCCUUCGAGCAAGAGAAACUUGCUUCCCAACGACAAAUAUGAAUGCCUUUCCUUUUCCUCCAGCACCCCUGGCAGUUCUGCCAACACGACGUACAUAUUCACUAGGGUCUCGGGGAUAAUCAAAGAGGACUACGUGGUCUACACCUUCAAAGUCAAUACCUCGGGAUGCUCUGCAACAUUGUUUAGAAGACAUCAGUUCAGAUUUCUUGUCCCUUCUUCUAGUGAGGGAAACAGCUGAAGUGCGU